UUGAGCUCUUUAGAAUCUUAGAUAUCUCUUCUACCUGCCAUUUUACUAAAAUAUGUUCCACCACAUAUUUAUCAGUUAACCACUGUUAUUACAUGAGUGACACAUAUUCACAAAUCGGCUGAUCACUUAUUUUCCAUUAUGACGUUGAUAUAUAAUUUGCAGACUCCACAAAUGAAGAAAAGAGCACAAAUGACGUUGGCAAACCUGAAACUUUCCCAUUGGGCAAUAAACAUUACUCCAGUCAAAAACAUUAUGGAAGAGGCAAACCUGAAACUUUCCCAUUGGGCAAUAAACAUUACUCCAGUCAAAGACAUUAUGGAAGAGGCAAACCUGAAACUUUCCCAUUGGGCAAUAAACAUUACUCCAGUCAAAGACAUUAUGGAAGAGGCAAACCUGAAACUUUCCCAUUGGGCAAUAAACAUUACUCCAGUCAAAAACAUUAUGGAAGAGGCAAACCUGAAACUUUCCCAUUGGGCAAUCAGCAUUACUCCAGUCAAAAAAAGUAUGGAAGAGGUGCUUCUCCAUCCGACAAUCAACCACCAAUUCCAUAGAAAUUCAAACACGGCUACUUUCUUGCCACGAGAAAGCGCUCAAUCGAUCCCCUUCUCCUCUAACAAACUACCAGAAAUUUUCAACCAUUUUUCAGUGAAGCCAACAUCUGAGGAAGCCAAAACAAUUAAGCAAACAAUCGAAGAGUGUGAAGCUCCAGACCUUAAGGGAGAGGAAAUAUAUUGCGCCACAUCUUUAGAAUCAAUGGUUGAUUUUAGCACUUCGAAGCUUGGAACAAGAAACGUUGAAGCAAUCUCGACGGAGGUAUUGGAAAAAGGAGCCACCAUGUCCAUCCAAAACUAUACAACAAUGCCGGGACUGAAGAAGUUGGCAGGUGACAAAGUCGUUGUGUGUCAUAAGCAGAACUAUCCCUAUGCUGUGUUUUUCUGCCAUGCAAUAAAACAUACAGCAGCUUAUGCUCUCUCCCUGAAAGGCGAUGAUGGGGAGAAGGUUAAAGCAGUAACCAUCUGCCAUCUAGACACAUCAGAAUGGGACCCAGAGCAUAUGUCCUUCAAAAUCGUCAACGUUAAGCCCGGAACCAUUCCCAUCUGCCAUUUCAUUUCCACUGAUGCUAUUGCCUGGGUUCCGAACCACAAAUCUGCAUGAUCAUCACUUAGCACUAGUACUGUGCGUAUAAUAUGCCUGUAUAAUUAUCUCCCUACUUAUUUCUGCCUGUUCAUCAUGUGGUGUAAGAUAUAUGUUGAGAUGAAGUUUUUGGGAUUAGUGGUCGAAAUUAACCCGAUCAUGUUUUCUCUUGUAACUAUAUAGACUUCAACUUGUACUCAUAAUAAAGCAUGCUAUAUUUAUGAAGAGAUAUUAAUCUUCAGGCAAAUAGAUAUUAUGAAAACAUAUAUAGCAAUUUAUCCAGAAGAAAUAUUAUGAAAUGAAAAGAAUAAAAAGUAAAAAAACAGAAGGAAAGGAAUUCGCACCUGCUAUGUAUGAAAGGACCAAGAUUGUUUUCCCUUUGGUUAAUGACUAGAAAAGCUCACUUGCAGAUUGCUUUCUCUGACCGUAGAUGCAACAGAAAUUUUCUCUUAAUAAUAGCACAAUGAUCGGGUAAUUGUAAGAACAAGUUGAUUUAAAAUUCCUUGACCCAAAAAAAAAAAAAAAAUCAUUUCAAAUUCAGGUCAACCCAUAGAUUUCUUGCCUUUUUCUUCUUCAUCACGUUGGGCUUGUCUUCUUCUUGAGGAUUGUAUAGGCCCAGGAAAUGCUUUGAGGUAGUUUUUGGCCUUGGAAGUUGGGACCCAACCCAACUUCACAAAAAGAAAACAGAUUUGCCAAAAAUCAAAUUUCAAGUCUCUCCUCAGAUCACUAAUACAGAUCAAAUUUUGGAUUUGAUGAACUAAAGUGGUUUUACUUUCUCUGUCAGUGUUUGAUGACUUAAUUUGUUAUUUACUUCUUUUUUUUUUUUUACUUGAUCUUUGUAGGGGUUUUUUUCUUCCGGUAACUUAAACGGGCUGGGCUGCCGUAAAGGGUAGAUUGAUGAAAUUGUCUCCUUUGUCUGAGUUCGAAAAUCAAGCCCCAAAAGCGCUUCGAAAGGGCAGUAGAGCCUUAGGAAGCGUUCUAGUCAUCUUCACCAACUAAAACAACAGCAACUUACAGAUGAUUUCUUAAGGCUUACAGAUAAAUUUUCUAGCUUGGCAUGAGAGGCUUGUGACAUGGAAGCAAAAUCAGCAUGAGUUUAGCACCAAAGAGGAAAAUAUGGCUUCCUAGGGAGAAAUGGGAGUGUUUAAGGUGAGGAAGAAGAGGUUUGCAGGCUGAUUUGGCUGAGGAGAGAGAAAGAAAGAACAAUGUUCUUCCAGUAGCUUGACAAAGCUUCUGACAGAUGUGAAAGUCGUCUGCCAUAAGAGGAAAAUGAAGAAGAAUGGUGAAUAGUGCAUGAAAUUGCUGGGUUUUUGCAGGUAAGAGAGAAAGCUUGCUCUCUGAAUUUGAGUUGGUUUUUGGUUGGGUAGAAGAGGCCCCCUUUUAUAGCUGCGGGAAACCAUCUUUUUUCAAGAAACCCUAAUGGUUUCUAUCCAUUUUGGCCAAGCUUUUCCCUUCAUUUCUCUUCUCCUCCCUUGACUUUUCCUAUCUUGGUGAAAUUUCCUCUGCCUAUUUGCACAAAAUUAGAGAUUUUGAGGAGCUCAAGACCCCUUUCCCGCAGCUGCCUCAGUGGAGAAUCCCCAUUUUCAGUCAUCUUUCUUCCUUCUUUUCUCCCAUCUUCCAAGGUUAGGUCUGAUGAGGGAAAGAAAUGGGUAUGCACACUGGUUUGAAGGGUAUUUUUGCUUGAAACUUGUUCUCUCCCAUGUGCUGGAGCUUCCCAGCAACUUACACACAUGGAUAUUUUGGCUUUCAUCGUGGCUUUUGUUUUCAGCUAGGUGCUGGAGAUUUCGCAGAUAUUUUCAUGAGUUGCUUGGGCCUUCUAGGACAAUAGGUUGGUUUAUCAAGUGAAUGGGCUAACUUCAUCAAUUGUUGGGCUAUUUUGGUUGAGUUAAUGGACUAUUUUGGUUGAAGUAAUGGGCUAUUUUGGUUGAAUUAAUGGGCUAUUUUUCUCUCUUUGUGCUCACCCACAUAUUUGGGCCUAAGAAAUGGGCUUGAGUUCCGGGGCUCCCAAGCAACCCCGGGACUUCCAUUUCUCGGCCCAUCAAUGGGCCUCAUAUCAACUUAUUACCAUCCAUAUCACAACCCACUCAAGCAAGCCCUGGGCAUCUUGCGUGGCUUGGGCCCACUUAAGCUUGUAGCGUGACGUGUUGCUUAUUUGCUUGGCAUGGCAUGUGUGCAAGCGCAUAUGACGAACUUUAGCGUGCCCAAAUUGGGUUUAUUCUCGGUAAGGUAUCGCAUUGGGCCGAGAAUUUAAUUGGGCAGAACUGUGGAUUUUUGGGCCUCAACAAUCUUAUAUAUAUUGGUUUUCUUUUUUUCCUUAAUAUUCACCACCUUUCUGUUGCAUAAGUAUUUCAGUCUUAACGGGUUUCCAUCUACCACUCAUCUUUGCUCUUUUAAGUGUAAGCUUUUUUUUUUUUUUUUUAAGCACAAGAUUAGAGGGGAGGGGGAUUUCUCAAUGUAAGCUUUGCAGUUUCAUAAUUAAUAUUUCCAAUAUCUCACUGUUAGUAAAAUAUGGAACAGGAAAAGUAUGAAUAAAAUACACACAUGUUUUAUUUAGCAAAAUUUUGACAAGAUACAACUGAAAAGUUUGGCCACUAUAUAAUAUUUUGAUAUAAUUUCUACACUUCUUCUCAAAAGAUUAGAUCACUUCACAUCUUGUGUAUGUGAAAACUAAUGUAAAAAGUUGAAACUUUAUCGUAAAACCUCGACAAAAAUGAGCUCUACUAGAAAAUGUUCAAUUUGGAUUCGUUGAUUUAAAUGGCAAUUUGACACUUGAUAGAAAUUUUUACAUACAUGUGUUAGUGUUUGAUCACUUCACAUGUUACUUACUAUAUUUAUUCCACUCAAGUUAGGUAAAUAUUAUUAUCAAACAUUUCAAUUAAUUUGUGAUUUUUUUAUUAUUUAAUCAAUUAUGAAUUAAUGGAUUCUUCUUGUUGUUUUGAAGACCAAUAAAAAAAAAAGGGUAAGGAUGGCUUAUAACUCUGAUAAAACAACAGUGACGUGGACAGCAGAUGUUACACCGUACUGAAGAUUUUUGAAGAUUCUUUAUUUGGGUUUCUUUCAAGAUGAAAACCAUAUUAUCCACAACCACAAUGAAGAAGACAGAAAAUGGAGUAAUUCAGAUGUUACCAGCCAUCCACGACAAACUGAAGUCUGCAAAGCAUUCGUAAUCUAAAGGGAGACUUUGGAAAAGCCCAAAGGAGAGAGAAAAUUUUUAAAAGAAGCAAAAAUGGACAAAAUUGCCCUUAUUUAUUUUUUGAUUUCCUAAGAAAUCCUUUACAUUUGCAUGUCUUUGGUUUGAAAGUUGAGAGGUUAUUCUGUCUUUUUUCAAAAAGCUUUGGCUUUUUCCAAAAGUGAAAGUUUUUUUAUGGGUAAAACCUAAAUUUACUUAAUCCCUAAAAAGGAUGGGGAGGCUGCGCAAUACUUAGCCACGUGUAGGCCAGGAGGCUUUCCAAUUUUAAUAUAUAUAUAAAUUGAAAAAAUAAAAUAAAAAUCAAUCUAUUAUCCUAUAUAAAAUAAAGAUUAUUGCUUCCAUGGGCAGUGCUAUGCACAGGACAGUGCCUGCCCAGCACAAAUUUUUUUUAAAUAAAAAAAAAAAAUCUACAUAUGUUAUAAGCUCAUCCAAAAAAAUAAAAUAAAAUAAAAGUAAAUUCUACAUAUAUGUUGCCCAUCUAGGUGGUUCCAUAUCUUCUCUCUCCUUCUCUUUUGGCUAUUAGACUUCUUGUUUCUCUCUCUCUCUUUGCUACCUCACAUCAGCAAGUUUCUCCCUCUCUUUUUUUGGGGUCAAAUUCUUCCUCUAUUGACAAAAUCUUCUAUUAUCUUGGGUGGGCAACUUGGCAACAACAUCUUCUCUUCUCCUUUUGUCAACAACAAGUAUUAUUCUCAUUCUCUCAUUUGCUAUAUAUCUUUAAUUAUAGUUUUAAUUUAAAAUUGAGUAUUCUAGGGUUUAAUUAGGGAUGAAUUAUAAUUUUAGAAUUUUGUUGAAAUUAAUUAAGGCUUCGAUUAGGGGUGAAUUAUUCUACUGCUUUGGUUUGGAAUUUUGUUAAAAUUGAGUAUUAUAGGGUUUAAUUAUGGAUGAAUUAUAAUUUUUGAUUUUGGUAUUAUUGAGAUGUUAUUAUGAGAAUUUGUUUCAUUUUUUUAUUGGUAUAUUUGAUUAAAAUUCUUUCUACAUAUUAUUCAUAGGCUAUCUUUUAUUAUGUCGGAUCACAAUCGGAAUCCCAAGAGAACAAAGAAUUUGAAUAGUGUUGUUUUGUAUUGCAUUGCAUUUACUUUUGGUUUUAGUUUUGCUUUUAGUGUAAAUUACUCAAAUGGUCCUCAAAUUUGUACCCGAUUUACAUUUUGGUCCAUAAACUAAAUUAUUCAUUCAAAUGGUGCACCAACUCUUUAUUAAUCAGUGCUUUGGUCCUACCGUUAUGUUUUCUAUUAAAUUUAGUCAUGUGAGCAGCACAUGCUACAUUUGUAGGGGUAAAUAAGACUUUUGACCACUUUAUCACCUAUGUAUCACCACUUUAUAACCUAUUUGGAGAACAUAGGUCAGUUAUGGACGGUUUUACAAUUAUAUUUGACGGCAACAUUAACAUAAUGUAACAGUGGGAUCAAUGGAGCGAUUAAUAUAGAGUUGAUGGACCGUUUGAACGAAUAAUUUAAUUGAGGGACCAAAACGUAAAUUGAGUAUAAGUUUGAGGACCAUUUGAGUAAUGUACCCUUCGCUUUUAUAUUUGUUGAACUUUUAUUUAUGGAUAGAUAUGCAUUUGAGGGUAAGACCCAUUAUGUUCCCCCUGACUUGGUGUAUCUUUUUAUGUUUAUUAAUGAAAUUCACUCGAACUGUUGAGUUUAGUAUGUAAGUUUUGCCUAACCGGCUUUUGAAUCCUAGAACCGCCACUGUUGCUCCAUCCUCCAUGCACUUGCAUGUGCUCUUACAAAGUGUGAAGUAGAUUUUGUGUGCUCCAAGUCAUUGACUAGAGCUGAAACAUGGUUAGCUAGAUUUAUAAGGACCCAUCUCUCUAUUUCCUAGACAUAUACCCAUCUCUCUAUAAAUCUAUAUGUAAAACUCAAUUUCAAACUUAAAUGACCAGUAAGAUAUAAGAGGUCAUAGUAUUCCUAUGUUUUUACAUCGUUGCCACCAGACUUCUUAUUUUAUUUAUAAUUUAUUUCAAGCAUUUCAUUAACUGCCAUAAUUGUAAUUAAUACUCCAUAUUAAUAGCAUAUCAAUCACCCCAUUUCUUUUGAUUGCCAUUCCCUCUAACAUAUCGCCCCUUAAAAUUGAAAACCAAAAAAAAAAAAAAUGUAAAUUACAUAUCCAAUAAUGUACCUAUGAAAAAUAUAAAUAUAAAUAUAUACGUAUAAAAAUAUAGGUUUAUUAUUUACCAAAUAAAAAAUAUAAAAAAACUAGGUCAGUUGCUUUGUAAUUGAAAUUUCUAUACAUUUUCCACAAAUUAAAAAUAGGUACACAAUAAUUUAUAGAAAAUAUAGGUGCAUUAUUUAUCCAUAGGUAAAAAUACCUAUAAAUGCACAUAGGUAAAUUAUUUACCCAUAUAUUAUUUUUUUGCUAAGGAUUUACCUUAGUUUUUAGUAGAUUAAUUUACCUACCUAGAGGCAUAGGUAGCUUAAAAAAAUUGUAGCACCUUAGUUGGUUGCAUACUAAUUUACCUACCUAGAGGCAUAGGUUGCUAAGAAAAAAUGUAGGUAAAUUCAUGUACCUAAACACAUAGGGGUCAAAUAGAGAAUAACAUGUUAUUUCCCUUCGAACAAAUUAAUUUCAAACCAUAACAAUAAUUGAAUUCGGAAAUUGGUAUAAAUAAAAGGAAAUAAAUAAGCUAUCAAUUUGAAAAUUAAAAUAAGAAAUGAUCAAGUAGUCAUAUUUGAAAAAAAAGAAAAGAAUAUAUUCUUGGUUUUUAUAGGAACAACGUGUAUAUUCAAACCAAAUGGCAGUAACUACACCAAGCUUUAAUUACUUUUUUUUAAGGCCAAAAGUCACUUUUGGUCUCUGUAGUUUGACACUUCUAUUACUUUUGACGCUGUAGUUUCAAUUCCGUCAAUUUUGCCAUUGUAGUUUCAUAUUUGUAGCAAUUCAAGGACAUGUUAAUAUUAAUGUCAAUUUGUUUAAUGAUGCAAGGGGUAAUUUCGUCAUCCCAAAAUCCUUGAGCAUAAAAGCUUGUCUGAAAUUCUCCCCAUUUCAUAUUAGGGCUCGAAAUUCAACCACUAAUCCCAAUUUUUGAAGAACCCUAUACCCAAAUGACCAAUUUCAAGCCCUAAUAACAAAUUAGGGAAGUUUUAGAUGAGCUUUUAUGCUCAAGGAUUUUGAGUUGAAGAAAUUGCCCCUUGCACUGUCAAAGAAAUUGAUAGGAAUACUGACUUGUCCUUGAAUUGCUACAAAUACAAAAAUACAGGGUCAAAAUUAACAGAAUUUAAACUAUAUGGUCAAAAGUGGUUAAAGUGCCAAACUACAAGGACCAAAAGUGACUUUUAGCCUUUUUGUUUAAAUAAGGAAAAAACUUACCUAUUAAAUCCUUGGAAUCUAUACAAAAUUGAAACACAGUUAAUCAGCAUUGAAUUGCAGCUAAUUUCUUAAACAAGGGUAUUAUAGGAAUUUAAAAAGUAUAACAUUUAAUCCAUUGAGCUUGAUUAGGAAUCUUGAUGAGUUGGAUCCUAGUUAUAUAGUUUCUCUUAUAAAAAUCGGGUUUUAUUUAUAGACAAAUAAAACAAUGGGUUGUAGGUAAGAAAAUAUUAAUUUGAAGGGAAAGUGUCACAUCCUGGGAUCGGCUCCGCCGUAGCACGAUAUUGUCCGCUUUGGGCCCCCCUCUCUGCCCGCACGGUUUUGUUUCUGGGAGCUCACGAGCAACUUCCCAGUGGGUCACCCAUCCUGGGAUUGCUCUGGCCCCCAACUCGCUUAACUUCGGAAUUCCUAUGACUCCGAAGCCAGUGAGCUCCCAAAAGGCCUCGUGCUAGAUGGAUGCGGGUGUGUACAUAUAAGACACAUCACCCCCUCUCCGUUGGUUGAUGUGGGAUCUUACAGAAAGAGUCAAAUUUACUAAAUUAAUAAAGCAUAAAUUGGAAAGGGAAAAGAUCUAGAGGAUGCAUUGUAGGAUUGCUCAUGCCAAUAAUUGCACCCUCUCGAUAUUGAAAAACCUAUUGUGUAUUAUUAUCUUCAAUCAUGAAUGAUGCACCUAAAACCCAAGUGUCCCAAGCCAACCAUUGCGCUCAUACCACUUGUUGCAGUACACAUUCACCCGUUUUUAAAGAAAGAAAUUCUACCAAUCGAUAUUGUCUCAAAUUUAAUCACAUAGGUCUAUUAUGGUUAACCAUAUGUACUUUUAUCGGCCAUAUAGAGGUACCUUUUUCCAACGUGCAACAAUUGUAUUUGAUUCACAAUUAUGUCUGAUAUACAUCACAUCAUGCCACUUGCCUCAAAUGAAUUUAAUUGAGUGAGGCAAUGGGAAGUAAUUAAGCUCUAUAUUGGUGGGUGGAGUGUUACUUCUGGAACCCUCAUCAUUCGUCCAUACAAGGGAACAAUUCCCUUCCUUCUAUAAAAUGGUGAAGCCAGUUGCUAUUGUUUGUUAGAGUUUUAGGAUCUGAGUGUUAGAUUUUGUGAGAAGAGAGAAGAGAAUUUAGUGAAAACUUCCAAUACUGCUCUGCUAUACGUGUAGCAGAGAGAACAUUCUGUUUUGUUAUAUAUUUUCAGUACAACAACACACACUUGGUGUGAGAAGAAAAAUGACUGUUAUGCACAGUACCAGCUGGAUGCUUUCCAUCAAAGUAAUCUCAGCCAUUCACUAUCUAACCAAUCAAGCUAUGACACCUGGACUAAGUAUAAAGAAAUACAACUAAGCAGAAAACAAGACUCUUAAUCCUGAAAUCAACUUAAGCACUUAUAAUUCAACACUCCCCUUUAAGUCUUGAGGUGAUUUCACUCCAAGCAUGCCUCUGAGAUAAUUGAAUCUGUCUUUGGCCAGAGGUUUGGUAAAAAUGUCAGCCAAUUGUUCAUUUGUAGGACAAUAUUCCAGAUUGAUUACCCCUUCUUGCAAUGCAUCCUUGAUGAAGUGAUACCUCCUGUCAAUAUGCUUUGUCUUCUGGUGGAAUACAGGGUUUUUAGUGAUUGCAAUUGCUGAGAUAUUAUCACAAUGCAAUGGAGUAGCUUCAGUUUGAAGCUCUCUAAAGUCUUCUAGCACAAAACGGAGCCAAAUAGCUUGAGUAGUAGCCUCAGCUGCACUGAUGUACUCAGCUUCUGCAGUAGACAGUGCAACACAGUUCUGUUUCACUGAGGCCCAAGAAAAUACUCCACUUCCAAAACUAAACGCAUACCCUGAUGUGCUCUUGCAAUCACCAACUGAUCCUCCCCAAUCACUGUCACAGUAACCAACUAGAAUUGAUCUUUUGCCUUUCACAUAUUCAAGACCAUAGUCCAGAGUUCCUUUGAUGUAUCUCAAAACCCUUUUAGCUGUUCCAUAGUGUCUAUUUGUAGGACAGUGCAUGAAUCUAGCUAGCAAGCUUGAGGCAUACAUGAUGUCUGGUCUUGUAGCAGUUAAGUACAGCAAGCUACCAACAAUGCUUCUGUAUUGUUCUUCAUUUGCAGCUCAACUCCCAUCAUCCUUAGCUAGUUUCUCAGUGGCAACAAGGGGUGUUGUCACAGGUUUGCACUCAGUCAAACCAAACUUGCUCAACAAGGUGCUAGCAUAUUUCUUUUGAUGUAGAAAUAUACUAGACUCAGUCUGAAUAACUCCCAUGCCAAGAAAGUGAUGAAGUAAGCCCAAAUCAGUCAUCUCAUACUUAGCCAUCAUGUCUUCUUUGAAUUCAGCCAACAAUGCUUGACUGCUCCCUGUAUACACAAUAUCGUCUACAUAGAUAGACACAAUUAGAAUCUCCUUAUCUCCCCUUACUUUGGUAUAUAAGGUUGUUUCACUUAAGCUUUUCACAAAACCACAUUGAGUGAAGUAGCUGUCUAUCUCUCCAUACCAAGCCCUUGGGGCUUGCUUCAGACCAUAAAGGGCUUUAUGCAAACGAUAAACCUUGUCUUCUUUACCUUUAAUUACAAAACCUUCAGGCUGACUGACAUAAACUUCCUCUUGCAGCACACCAUUAAGGAAAGCAGACUUCACAUCAAGCUGGAACAAUUUCCAAUCCUUUUGAGCAGCUAGAGCAAUAAGUGUUCUAAUGGUGUCCAAUCUGGCUAUAGGUGCAUAAGUCUCAUUAUAAUCCAGUCCAGGCUUCUGAGCAUACCCCUUAGCCACUAAUCUUGCUUUAUUCUUUUGCACUGAGCCAUCCAAAUUCAGCUUUGUCUUGUACACCCACUUAACUCCAAUCACUGGUUUUUCAGUUAGUCUAUCUACCAAUUCCCAUGUUUCAUUCUUUUCAAUCAUCUGCAGUUCAUCUUCCAUAGCCUUAAGCCAAGAUUCAUCCUGAGCAACAUCAGCAUAUUUUUCUGGUUCCAUGAUACACAAGUUACACUGAGCUAGAACAUCAUCUAGCCUUCUCCAUUUUAGAGGGGUGUGAUCAUAAGCUUGAGUUCUCCUUUCUUCACUGCUUAUAUCACCUGGAGUUGAUGAAAUGCUCUCUUGCAUAUCCAAAGUUUGAGGUGUACCAGUAGAAUUCUCAUUAGAACUGUCAGAUUUCAAGUCCAAAUCAACUUGGUUUUCAAUUGAGUAUGUUGUCAUAACUGAACCAUUUUUGUUUGUCCAAUGCCAAGCAUUUUCUUCAUCAAAUGUCACAUCCCUUGAUAGUAAAAGCUUGUUAGAAACAGGAUCAAAAACUCUAUAUCCUUUUUCACAAGUUGCAUAUCCCACAAACACUCCCUUUGUACUCUUAGGAUCCCGCUUGUGUCUCAAUUCAGUUGGCACAUGAACAUAACACAGAGAACCAAACACUUUCAGAUGUGCAAUUCCAGGCUUCCUUCCACUAUAUGCUUCGAAUGGAGUAAUGUUGUUGAGAGCUUUGGUAGGACAUCUGUUCAGCAAAUAGAUAGCUGUAUGCACAGCUUCUGCCCAUAGGAAAUAAGGCAUUCCCUUCUCAUGUAACAUUGAUUUUGCCAUCUCAAUGACAGUUCUAUUCUUCCUCUCAACUACUCCAUUCUGCUGAGGAGUAUAGGCCAUUGUAAGCUGCCUUUGAAUGCCAUUAGCUUCACAAAACUCCAAAAAAUCAGUAGACAUAAACUCUCCACCCCUGUCACUUCUUAUGCACUGAACCUUGUGUCCAGUUUGUAAUUCAGUCAUGGACUUGAACUUCUUGAAACAAAAGAAGGCUUUUGACUUGUUUCUCAAGAAGUAUACCCAAAUCAUUCUUGUGAAAUCAUCUAUAAUCAGCAUGAAAUAUCUGUUCCUUGCAACAGACUCAUUUCUCAUGGGACCACAGAGAUCCACAUGUAUUAGCACUAGUACUUUGCUUGCUCUUUGAGCUUGAUCUUUUGGAAAAACAUUUCUGUGCUGUUUUCCAAAUUGGCACCCGUCACACACACCACUUUGUUCUUCCAAUUUUGGUAAACCAUGUACCAUUUCUUUAUCACUUAGCUGCUUCAAUCCUCCAAAAUGCAGAUGACCAAAUCUCUUGUGCCAAAUCCAUGUGGAUUGAAGAAAACUAGUCUUCAUUAGUAACUGUUUUUCAGCUAGAAAAGAGACAGGAUAGCAUCUGUUACUCUUCAUUUGCACCUUUAUGAUGAGAUAAUCCAUGGAUGGGCUAUCAAAUACCCUGCACAUCCCUUCUCCAAACACUAGACAGUACCCAUGUUCAUCCAUCUGCCCAACACUUAGCAGAUUUUCUUUCAAUCCUGGCAGAUACAUUACUUCUCUGAUGUAUUUCCUGCCCUUUGCUGUAUCAAUACUCAGUGAGCCAAUACCAGCUACACUCACUAAUGCACCAGUUGGCAUUUGUACUCUCCCAGCUACAUUAGUUCUCACAUCAACCAGCAAAUCUAAAUUUCCUGUCAUAUGAUUGCUGCAGCCACUGUCAAUGUACCAUUCAUUGGUUUUGAUCUCAGUGGUUGAGCAAUUGGCAUAAAACAGGUUUCCUGUAACCUCCAUUUGAUUUACACAAUUAGCCUUCUGCACAUUUUUGCUCACUGUACAGUCUCUAGCAAGAUGUCCAACUCUGUCACAGUUAUAGCAUUUUGGUUUUCCCUUAUACCUGCACUCACCAAAAUGAUGCUUUGAACACACCUUGCAUUGAGGCUUUGUGUUUUCCUGAUUUGAGAACUGUGUUGAAGUGUGGUUCUGUGCAGAAUAAUUAUUCUGCUGUGUCUUGUCUUUUGCCUCCCAUGACUUCCCUUUAGAGUUCCAGCUUCUCUGUGACUUAGAUGAACCAGACUGAGAAGCAUUUUUGUUCUGACCCUUUGAAUUCACAGUGAAUGAGGCAAAUGCCUUCUCAGCUGUAUCAACACUAUGCAUUUCAAGCCUUUGCUCCCGACUCUUCAAAAUGGCAGUUACUUCCUGCAAAUCCACAGUUUCUAGUGUCUUUGUGUUUUCAAUCACAAUGCAUAUAGGGUCAUACUUCUUACUUAGACUAAUUAACACCUUCUGAACCUACCUCUCAUUUGACAGAACUUCACCAAAUGUUUUCAUUUGGUUAAUCAAUUCAGUUAGUCUAGUAAGAUAUUCAGAUAAGGUUUCACUAUCACGCAUCCUACUGUAUUCAAACUCACGUCUAAGGUUUUGAAGCUUUACCGAUCUAACAUGCUCUCCACCAUGAUAUUCUGAGUACAGCAGAUUCCAAGCCAUCUUUGCAGAGUCAGCAUUGGCAAUUCUGGGAAAAAUCUGAUCAGAAACAGCAUUUUGAAUGAUACCCAAGGCCUUCGCAUCCUUCAUGAGAAUCGCAGCUGUUUUCUCAUCAACUUCUUCUUCUGAACCAUCCUCAGAUUCCUGCUUCGUCUUUGAAUCUGGGAUUAAAAACCCCUUCUCUACCAAACCCCAUAAACCAUAUGAUCUGAAUAUGGUUACCAUCUUAAUCCUCCAAAAUUCAUAGUUCUCACCUGAGAAAAUGGGGAUUCUAGCCUCUGAACUUCCAGAUCCAGCCAUUACGAAUUUCAGAUUCGCCUGGAAACAAGAUGUUUUCAGAUUUGACCCUUGAUCGAGCUCAAUCAGCUUCGUGAGCUUAGAAUGAGCUCACCUCGAUCGAUUUUCUUCACAGAACAACGCCCAGCUUCAGAUAAUCAAACUUGGCUCUGAGGCCAUGUUAGAGUUUUAGGAUCUGAGUGUUAGAUAUUGUGAGAAGAGAGAAGAGAAUUUAGUGAAAAUUUCCAAUACUGCUCUGCUAUACGUGUAGCAGAGAGAACAUUCUCUUUUGCUAUAUAUUUUCAGUACAACAACACACACUUGGUGUGAGAAGAAAAAUGACUGUUAUGCACAGUACCAGCUGGAUGCUUUCCAUCAAAGUAAUCUCAGCCAUUCACUAUCUAACCAAUCAAGCUAUGACACCUGGACUAAGUAUAAAGAAAUACAACUAAGCAGAAAACAAGACUCUUAAUCCUGAAAUCAACUUAAGCACUUAUAAUUCAACAUUGUUACCAUAAGAGCCAGCUCCGACUUUCUUUAAUUUCAGUCCUAACGGGGUUUCAUCUUCCACUCAUCUUUGCUCUUCUCAGUGUAAGCUCUGCAAUUUGAUUAACUUUCCCAUUAUCUCUCACUGUACUCUAUAUAAAGGAAUAAGUGUCGUCCACUAAUUAAUUACACUUUGUGAGAUUUGAUUUUAAUUAGAGUUCGAAUUGAUGUUGCAGCUAGCAGCGGUGGCACUGGCAAACCAUGCUGCUCAACCAGCACCUCAACUUUACUGGAACUCCGUCCUGCCAAACACACAAAUGCCAAGAGCUAUCAGUGAACUUCUGCAUCCUGGUUUGUGUUGAAUAAAUAUAGUAUGUUACUGGAGUACGUAUGGCAACAUAUUCACAAAUGUGUCACGUAUUUUCCAAUAUGACGUUGAUAUAUAAUUGCAGACUCCACAAACGAAGAAAAGAGCACAAAUGUCAUGAAUGCUGUUGGGAAUGGAAAGCCAAUUGACCACAAGGGCAACCUGAAAAUACUGUACUACCACAGCUUGCACGACGCCCAUUUUCUUACAAGAGUGAUGAUCGUCCCACUGACAAUCAACUCCAUUAUAAAAACGUAGCUAUUUUCUUCUUGGAGAAGGACAUGCGCCCUGGCACAACAAUGAGCUUCCAAUUCCCUAGAAAUUCAAACACGGCUACUUUCCUGCCACCAGAAAGAGCUCAAUCGAUCCCCUUCUCCUCUAACAAACUACCAGAAAUUUUCAACCAUUUUUCAGUGAAGCCAACAUCUGUGGAAGCCAAAACAAUUAAGCAAACAAUCGAAGAGUGUGAGGCUCCAGGCAUUAAGGGAGAGGAAAUAUAUUGCGCCACAUCUUUAGAAUCAAUGGUUGAUUUUAGCACUUCGAAUUUUCGAACAAGAAACGUUCAAGCAAUCUCGACAGAGGUAUUGGAAAAAGGUGCCACCAUGUCCAUGCACAAGCAUACAACAAUGCCGGGACUGAAGAAGUUGGCAGGUGACAAAGUCGUUGUGUGUCAUAAGCAGAACUAUCCCUAUGCUGUGUUUUACUGCCAUGUAAUAAAACCAACAGCAGCUUAUGUUCUCUCCCUGAAAGGCGAUGAUGGGGUGAAGAUUAAAGCAGUAGCCAUCUGCCAUCUAGACACAUCAGAAUGGAACCCAAAGCAUUUGGCCUUCCAAAUCCUCAAAGUUAAGCCCGGAACAAUUCCCAUCUGCCAUUUCCUUCCCACUGAUCAUAGUGUCUGGGUUCCGAACCACAAAUCUGCAUGAUCAUCACUUAGCACUGUACGUAUAAUAAGCUUGCACCCCUGUAUAAUUAUCUCCCUACUCUACUUAUUUCUGCCUCUUCAUGUGGUGUAAGAUAUAUGAUGAGAUGAAGUUUUUGGGAUUAGUGGUCGGGUUGCCUUAAAAACACAGAUUACAGAAACUGCUUGAACUUAACCCGAUCAUGUUUUCUCUUGUACUCGUAAAGCAUGCUGUUGUGGUUCUACUUAAUUUCGUUCUCCCCAAUGUUUGAGUGUUUAAUUGUUACGUUGGAUAAUGCUUGUAGUUAGAGAAGCCUUCAUUUAUAUCAAAGUCCUCAACUUGUAAAGAUAUCAAUGGUCCUAGUGCUGCCACGUGUAAGAAGAUUGAAGAAUAAAGCUGUUGAGAUAUUGUUAGACCUGUUAUGCAGUUUAGGAAAACUGUUAGUAUUGAUAAGAGAAGGUUAGAGAUGUUAGAGAGGUUAGAAAACACGUGAACAAGGCUUUAACUCAGCUGAUAUAAAGUCUGUAGUUGUGCUCAGUUGAACUUAAUGAGAAAUACAACAAGUCUCUUCUCUAUCUCUGAAAUUCUCUCUGCUCUCUCUGCUUUACUUCUUUUGUCUCUGCUCUACAUUUUUUUUCAAUCUUCCUAUCUUAACAAAACUAUCAAGAAUUAAUGCAUCCAGAAACAUAUAUACCAAGACGCAAAACAACAUAUUUUUCAUGCUCUGUCUGUAACACCAAAGCAAACUUCCUUUAUCACAAAAGGAUCAAAUUCCAGUACUAAUCUAAUCCAUCAUGUAAAGCAUACAAUCUACAAGUGCCUCCCUUAAUUUGUCCAUUGGAUAUAUAUGUCACUUUUUGGUAAUUUGGUAUAGCAGCACCACGUAGUCUUGAAAUAGUAGUGCGGCUAUACCAAAUAUACCAUUUGCCCCUGCAUUUAACAGAAAAGUAAACAAAAUUGACGGUAGAACUAUUUGUCCUAACGAAACUGCAGUUGAAAGACCAUGAGAACGAUUUUGAAAAUUGAGGGACUCAAAUGAAAAUUGGGUCUAAGUUCAAGAACCAAUAAAACGAUUAACCCAUAGAUUUUGGAUCCAGUACCACAUCCCAAAGAGAAAACCACAAGUUUGCAAGCAAGUUUGUCCAUAAUAACACUACGUACAGUAUGGGCAGUGCGCUAGACUCAUCUCACUUUCUCAACCUAUCCUAUAGUUGUCUAAAAGAGUUUCUAAUUUAAUGUACUGAGAUUUACGAAAGAAAUAUCAGAGAAACAAUUUUCAGGCAAUAAAAAAAUGUCUUGGCAAGAAAAUGUACAAUUUGUUACAUAACUUAUUAAAUAUGAACAGUUGAAAGAAAAAAGAAUCUGGAUGAGGGAUUUGCAAAUUCCUAUGGCCCAAUUACCUUUUUUUCUUUGUUGUUUUUUUUUUUUUUUUUUUGGUUCUUUUGAUCCAGUAGCAUAUUCCAAAGAAUGAAAACCACAGGCAUGCAAUGCAAGCUCUUUUCCCACGUUUUCCUCUGUUUUUCUCCUAUCAUGGAAGUGAUUAAAACACACCUCUAAGCUUGUUUUGCGUUUGGUAGCCGAGUGUAAAAGCUCAAUGCAAGAUAGUUUGAGGUAGAAUUUUCUCCUAUUUUAUUAGGACAAUGAUAAUUAAAAAAAAGUGUGAUUCAUUGAAUAUUUGCGGGGUUUUGUUCAGACCUGACAAAGUUCUAAGUCAACACAUCAAAUUCCUUUUUCCAACAUGCAACAAUUGUAUUUGAUUCCCAAUUUUUUCUGAUAUACAUCACAUCAUGCCACUUGCAUCAAAUGAAUUUAAUUGAGUGAGGCAAUGGGAAGUAAUUAAGCUCUGUAUUCGUGGGUGGAGUGUUACUUCUGGAACCCUAAUAAUUCGUCCCUACAGGACUCUAGAACUCUCAAACUUCUUACAAGGACUACUUAACUCUAUAGCUUAAUGCAUAUAGCAUAUAUAUGCAAACACAAUUAGAAAUUCUACAACAGAAGCAAGAUCAAUCUCACUAUGCCUUCUAAACAAACAAACAAAUAAAACAAGCAUAUUAAUUGCUUUAAUCACUCUACUAACAUCAACACAGCACACUUAGUUUACUAACAGAUGAUAUAGAAAGGAAAAAAAAGGACCAAUAGGGAGAAAAUGGUGAACUAAGGAGAGACUAAUACUUCUGGUCCUUAGAAGGCAUAACAGAAAUAAUAGAGCACACUGCUUGAAUGCAAGUCAGUAUUAGGAGCAAAACAGCUGCAAUGAAAGAAAUAGUUGCCCAAGGUGUAUUGAAAUAAUGUUGCCUCAAAUUUGCCUUCCAUUUGUUCCAAGGCUUUCUGCAGUAGCUAUUAAGGCGCUCAGAAAGAAUAGCAAAGUAGAAGCUUUCACGAUACACUGCAAUUCCUUUUCCGAGGUUGUUAAUCAGAGUGCACACCUCAUUGUAGUCACCAAGCAUAUUUUUGACAAUCCCAUCCUUCAGAAGGAACUCCACAUCCUUUUCGGUGUUCACAAACUCAUCCAUGAGUGAAACAUAAUCACUUAUGUAAUUCUUACGGCAAUGGCACUAUUCAAAGGCAAUGAGGUUACGGAGUGUGAGCUCUGUGUAAUCGUGUAUUUUUAGUUUUGGAAUUUCUAGAAUCCCAUCGUUGAAUUGUGUUAACGCAGCUUUCCUUUCCUAGCCUACACGGAAGUCAACUUCACAAUCUCCUCCUAGCAAUUAGUCUUUCCUGCUGUAAAUCAGAUUUCCUACUGUAAAUCGGAUUGUAUUCAUGUCUAUAUUAUUUCCUACUUUAAGUAGAUAUCUUGUACUAGUAUAAAUAGGGACUUUGUGUAAUCUGUUAAAUACAAGGAAAUAUAUACUCUGCAUGGUAUCAGCCUAACCUAGGGUUCUCUCUCUCUCCCUUAUUCGAUCCUCUUCUCCUUUAGGUCCACCUCAUGGCUUUGUCUGAAUCCACCAUCUCCCUCCCAAGCCCCAACUCUUCUAUUUUAUCAAGCUUAUUGACUCCAACUAUCUUCUUUGGCUCCGCCAACUCAAACCCUUUUUAGUCGGCCAUGACCUCUGGAAAUUUAUCGAUGGCAUUCAUAAACAACCUUCUGCCCACACCUCCACCUCUACCACCGCAACACCCACAACCACCACCACUCUUACCCAAAUCAAUCAUGCCCAUGCUCAGUGGUACCAACAAGACCAACUCAUUGUUAGCUACAUCACCAAUACACUCUCUGAGUCCAUUCUCUUUCUCACUGUUGGUUGCACCUCUGCCCGGGAUCUCUGGGAGUGUCUCCAACGCCACUUCUCUCAAUCCAGUAUGGCCAGUGAAUCUACUCUUCGUUUUAAACUCAUGGAUUUGCAAAAAGGCUCUGAACCCACUUAUGCUUACAUUCGUCAUGCUAAGUCCUUUGCCGAUUCACUGGCUGCCAUCAAUGAACCUGUCUCCCCAAAAGAACUUGUCACUACUGUGCUUUGGGGUUUAAGACCCUAUUGCAACAUCCUCGUCACAGCAAUUCUCAAUUUCCCUCUGCUUCCUAACUUUGCUAAUCUUCGUGCUCGUUUGUUAGCAUUUGACGCACAGACUCCUUGAAUCUCUCCUGAUCAAAACACAGCGCAAAUGGCCACCCAAUCCUCUCCUCACACCACCGGUCAUACUUCCUUCCCUUCUCACCGUGGUGGUGGCUCUUCCAACAACAGGCGUGGUGGCCUCGGUGGCUGGCGCAAUAGCGGCCGGGGUGGCUGGCGCAGCUUCUCAUCUUCCUGGAGCAACCCGUGGAAUGGCUUCCAGCAGCUCCAAUGACCUAAUCAACCAUGGCCUCCUUUUGCUCCAAGUUCUGGAUCUCAAAGCAACUGGCCUUCCUUUCAGCCUCCUUGGGCCUAAUCUGCCGCUUCUAUCAAACACUUUGCCCGGCCCAACUCAGCUCCUGGUGUCUUGGGACCCGCUUGGUGCACUACCUGCAAUACCAAUCACAUACUACUACAAUAUGUCCUCAUCGCUACAAUGGCCCAGAAUCCUUUCUUUGCUAGGGCUCAAUUCAUGUAGCCACCUGACUCUACUUGGUACCCUGACACAAGUACCACUCAUCAUAUGAUUGGUAGUCCUUCUAAUCUCCAAAAUCAAUCCUUCUAAUCUCCAAAAUCAACAGCCAUAUCAGGUUCAUAAUUCUGUAUUUCUUGGUAAUGGAGAUUCUCUCCCUAUCUCUCAUACUAGCUCUCUCUUUUGUCUUCCAUCUCUUCGUACUAAUCUUCUUUUUGUUGCCCAUUUUACUUGUGAUAAUUUAGUUUUCUUUGUCUUUACUCUUGACUUUUAUCAAAUCUAUGACUUAUGUACUGGUUCGUUACUCUUUCAGGGCCCUUCUAAAGAUGGUCUUUACCCACUUUCCAUCUCCUCUCACUCAUCCAUAGUCCCCCAUGCCCUUACCACCGUGCACUCUCCUGCUUGGCAUCAUUGCCUUGGCCAUCCAUUCCAUCGUGUGCUCUCUCAUUUAGCGCCAUCUCUAGGCUUUAAAGUUUCUCAUGCUUUCUGUAAGGAUUGUGCACUUAGCAAAUCCACCAAACUGUCAUUUCUUAGUAAUAAAACCUUUGCCCCAUCUCCCUUUUAUUUAAUUCACUCUGAUGUAUGGAUGUCCUCGGUCAUUUCUGUCACUGGUUAUCGCUAUUAUGUCUUGUUUACAGAUGACUUUUCUCGUUACUCCUGGAUCUAUCAUAUGCACCGUAAAAAUGAGGUCUUUUCUCACUUUCAAACCUUUCUUGCUAUGGUUAAAAAUCAAUUUCACACCACUGUACAAAUUCUUUAAAGUGACAAUGGCACUGAAUAUGUUAAUAAUGCUUUCUCUGAUCUUUGCAGUCAACUAGGCAUCCACCAACGUUUCACAUGUCCCCACACUCCCCAACAAAAUGGCCUAGCUGAACAUAAACACAGACACAUUGCCACCAUGAUCUGUCCCCGGUCAUUUAUUCAACCAUCUUGACCUUUUGCUUGAUCAUUUUCCACAAGCAACCGUCCACGUACCCCAAUAAUUUAAAAGGGCUGAUGAUCUUUAAUUUGGUGAAAGCUUCUAUCUACCUACCGUGCUAUAUAUGAGCUAUGCAAUCGUGACCGUGUUACAUGACGUCCCAAUGUCGUAGGGAUAAAAAAAUAAUAGUCAUGGUUUUCUUAUUAAUGUCAAUACAUUCAUAGCAAAGAGCUUGUAGCUCUAGUGGUUAAGAGCAAUUACCCAUGCACUUGAGAUAUUUUGUGUUUAAAUCCCCUCUUCCCCAAUAUUUCUUGUAUAAAAAUAAAAAUAACAAUAAUAAUGACAUUAAUGUUGUAUUCUAUAAAGUGUUGGACAUGUUUUAUACCCCUUUCUUGCAAAUUACAGUUUGCCACGUGUACAAAAAUAAUAGAUAAGUGUUGGACAUCAAGAGCACUUACAUAUAGGUUUAAUAGGUAAGUUUUGAAUAUUUCUGUAUUUAGCUUUAAAUAUUGAAAAUCAACCUAUUAGCAUAUUAAAGAUUUGUCCAUAUUCGACGUACAUUCUCUUAUUUUUCUCUCAUUGAAGUAAAUACAAAACUAAGCACAUAGUGGGAAAGUGCGUCACGAUUAGGGGUGGGUUUAGUCUAGGUUGGUUCAUUUUUGGGCUCAAUUUGAACACCGAACUGUAAGCUUCGGUUUGGCUAUUUUGGAAACCGAAACCAAACCAUAAUUGAUGAAAACCGACCACUUCGAUUACCUUCUGGUCUUCCAACCAGAAGAAAACUCAAAACUUUAACCAUACCAAGUGCAACAGAAUUACACCAGGCUGGAUUCAAGUUUAUGAUGGUUAAAGAUAAAAACUUAUUUGACAUACAAUUUGAGAAUGGAAUCCUCAAAAUUCCACACCUGCGAAUACGGGGUUUAACAGAAAUUUUCUUCCGCAAUCUUAUUGCCUAUGAGCAGUGUGAGCUUCAUGAUCAUUACAUCAACGACUAUGUCUUCAUCAUGGACCGCCUGGUCGACAGUGCCAGGGAUGUGGAAUUGCUUGUGAAGAGUGGAAUUCUUGAAUCUAUGCUACCGGACAGCGAGGCAGCAGGGGAAUUUAUUAAUUCUCUUGACUUGGGGCCUAUUUUAGGCAAGCUUGAAACAAGACUAUUUCAGUUCACCAUGGGCUGGCCUGUCUAUUAUUGUAGCCGCUAUACUAGUUGUGCUCACAUUUAUUCAAACAGUGUGCUCCGUAAUGGCGCUGUAGGUUCUUCAUUUCCUCAAUUUCAUGUUUAGUGGUUGCAGAUUUGUUGCUCAUGUACGUGUUUAUCUAAAGUUAAAUAAGAGUGAUUGACUGGAUUGACUGUUAGUCUGUUAGUUUGUUUUUCUGGGGUUUUUCCCCCCUGUUCGUCAAAAAAAAAAAUAAAAGAGUGAUGGCUUGUGCCUAUGAAAAUUACUUAGGAGUAUGCUCCACAGAGCCAAAAUAAAUAAACUAGGGAAGUGGAGGUUCUUCUGUUUGUAUAUAAAUGAGCAAUUCAAACUCUCAGUGCCAAGGGAGUUACCCUUGAUACAUUUGUUAAAAAUUAUAUAUUUGGUCUUACAUCAAACAAAUAAUUUGAAGGGCUUUUUUGACAACUGCUGACAGCGUUUGGCAGAAAAGUUUAGAAGCGCUUCUACGCUUCUAGAUCAUAAAAGUGCUUUACCAAAAAGCACUUAGAUUUCUUAUGAAAAUUUCAACAUUUUUAUAAUAAAAGCGCUUGCUAGAAGCACUUAUAAGCAGAAGUGCUUCAUAGAGAAGCAGUCCCAAACGAGCUUGAUUUUCAAAUGUGCUGCUUAAGAAGAAAUUUAAUACGUUUUGAAAACAAAAAAAAAUACGAAAUUUAAUACGUUUGUUUUACAAAUUGUAUUAAUUGUUAUCAAUAAUACUUGUGCACACCCACAACAUACUUCUUUCUUUCUUUAUUUUCCUUCAGUACAGUUCUGCCUUUCUUUAAUUAUUUUUAACGAAUGCAAAGAGUUUGUCACAAAAUCAAGGAUUGAAAAAAAAAGAGAGUAAAUUAUGUGCUAGAGAAACUUUCCUGCAGAAAUUGAAGAACAACUCUAGUUUCUCUCUUUCGCCUUGUACUCCCGCACUGAGGUUAGUAUUGUUAUAAUGUGCAGAUUAUACGGUCACUCUUGUAUAAUGGCGAGAAGGCUCUAAUUAUAUUUUUGAACCUCUUUGACAGGACCCGCCCCGAAUUUCCCGAAACCCAAGACGAAUUCUGUGGAAAUUCCCUACAUCACCCCGAUGUUGGGCCCACUUCUAAAACUAUAUCAUUUUUCCUAAAAAGGAAUAAGGGCACGAGACUUUCUACCGAAAUUUCGGCAGAGUCUCUCCUGUAAAUUGAACAUUUCCCAAAAUUUCAACCUGCAUAAAACACAUUUUAUAUUACCCAACUGGCAGCAUGCACAAAAUAAUAACAUGCAAUUCACAUAAACGGCCUCUGGCCCUCCGGUAAUUCAGAGCAAUGCAAACUAGCAACUCUAAACCUAAUAAAACAACAUAAGUAACAUUUAGCCAGCGGCUGCACCCAGGCACUACCCUAGGCUACCUACGUACCCUUACUAAGGGAUCAAGCCACACGUAGUUCUUUCAUACAAAAUUUCCAAAUCCAUCAACAUGCAAUCAAUUACAGAAUCCCAAACAAAAUCUUUCUCAAACAUCAUUAGUUCCCAACUCAGUAUAAUAAUCCUUAAUUCAUCUCUGUAAUAAUCACAAUAUCUCCCCAUACGCCGGAACUACCAACACCACGUAUGGAGCCUGCCUGUACGCCAGAUAACCAACGACACGUGGGACCUCAUCAUCAUAUCACAUAAUCUCCCCAUACGCCGAAACUACCAACACCACGUAUGGGGUCUGUCAACACGCCGGAUAACCUACGACGUGUGACCUCAACAUCAAAUCACAAUAUCUCCCCAUACACCGGAACUACCUACGCCACGUAUGGGGUCUGUCCACAUGCCGGAUAACCUACGACACGUGGGACCUCAUCAUCAUAUCACAUAAUAUAUUAACGAUCAAGAAAUAUCACUACGGUCAUUUAAUCCUCCUGGGAAGGUAAAACUAUCUCAGGAGACUCACGGUCAACCAAGGGUCAAACUACCUCAUACUUGGACAAACGAGCCCACGGAGCCCACAACCUCCGUUUUACUAUCCAAGAGUUCCUAUAGGUUCUACAAGGUUUAGGAUACACGGCUUGCAAGUUUGGUCAAGAUCAGACGGUCGGAUCGCUCACGAUAGGACGGUUACUGCAAACCUAGCCCUAGGGUUGGCAUUUUCGGAGUAUCCGAAACUCCGUUUUACGAUCUGUCGAAUCAUAGACGAUCCUAAGGAUUUGCAGACUAACUAUAAUAAAUUCAAGACCAUCCAACGGUCUAAACCUAUCGAACCCGGAUAACGCGCAAUAGGCAAUAUCCAAAUUGAAAUCCGAGCACACCUACGCACUCGUGAGGACUAGGAGAUUACAUCGGGACAUAGUGCCCUUUUUCUACAGUGCCCAUGAGCCGCCGCACGCACCAGCAACGCGUGGGUGCCCAAAGCGAUUAUGCAUCGCCAAAAAAUCUCAAAACCACGGCUCAAGACUCCUACCCUAGGUAUAACACCCUAUUUGGAACCACUUUUGUUCUUGGACCUACCCCAAAAACUGAUCAGAAGUGGCCGGAAUGGCUGAAAUGUAAUUCAAAAAUCAAGCUACCAACGCUCAAAAUCGAUGCAAUCCUACCCAACCAUCAACUAGAUUAUGAAGAAUGGAUAAAUUUCCAUACCUUGAUCGCCAACAAUGGCGGCCGGAGGAGAGAGAUCUGAUCCGGCGAAGUUCGAGUGAAAACGGCCAAAAAUCAUCUUUUUCAGGCGGCUGGAGGGCGACCGAUGUCAGGGAAGGGCAGGGUCGUGACGCUAAGGCUGAGCCUGUCCUUUUGGCACCGGUCCCUUCCGCAGCCGUGUCCGGUGGCUGGAGUUUCGAAGAGAGAGAGAGAGAGAGAGAGAGAGAGAGAGAGAGAAAUCUGAUUUUUAUCAAACCUUUUUGCCAAAAUUACGGUUAUGCCACUGAGGGUAUUUUGAUAGUAUCUCUCUCGUUACAACUUCGAUUCGAGCCCACCACGUGUGUACGGACUCAUCUAACUGUGUUGUACGCAACGGUAUAGUCGAAAUUCCCAAAUUAUUUCCUUGUCAAAAAGUCAACUUUAAACAUUAUAAAAUAUUUUAGGGAAAAAAUGGUAUUUUCUCUCAAUAAAUUAGUAACUAAUUUAUUUAGGACUGGGUCAUUAUACUCUUUUUCGCUUCAAUGGAUGGGAAAAAAUUUUAUGUAAUAUCCCACAUCGACCAACGAAGAGGGGGCGAUGUGUCUUAUAUGUACAUGCCCGCCUCCAUCUAGCAUAAGGCCUUUUGGAAGCUCACUGGCUUCAGAGUCAUGGGAACUCCGAAGUUAAGCGAGUUGGGGGCUAGAGCAAUCCCAGGAUGAGUAACCCACUGGGAAGUUGCUCGUGAGCUUCGAGAAACAAAACCGUGAGGGCAGAGAGAGGGGCCCAAAGCGGACAAUAAGGCCUCGUGCUAGAUGGAGGCGGGCAUGUACAUAUAAGGCACAUCACUCUCUCUCCGUUGGUCGAUGUGGAAUGUUAGAAUGGAAUUGUUACCUUUGGUGUGGAGGUGUUCUAUCAUUUGAGCAAGAAAUUCCCACAUAUUCUUCAACUAUUUUUCAAGCAUGCAUAUUCCUCCCUAUCAAUCUUUGGUUUCUUCCUUUACUGUGCAUAGUAAGGAUCCAGUCAGGGACGGACCGUCGCUAUGACUAUCCUGGGCUAUAGCCCAGGCAAAUUAUUUUUUUUUCUAGUCUAAAAUAGCAAUCCCACCGCUUGCUGUAGUACUUGUUCAGUUCGUCACAAACAUGAGCAUAAUAGAAGUUAUCAACAUCUAUAUAGGAACCCCAAUGAAAAGGCUGUUAACUAAUAAUGAAGUUAACCCGUCAAUUUUUCCGCAUAUCAGAUAUCUCUCAGAAUAUGCGAUUCCAUAUUCAAUAAGCCACUCCACAUGCCCUGAGGUUUUCAUCAAACCACCCAUUAAGGAAACAUACUGACUCAUGUAAUUAUCAUUACUCAUCGGGUAAUGCAAUUGUUCAAAGGCAAGGACAUUUCUCAUUAUUUAUGUAGCGAACCCCAAUGGAAAUGGUGGGAUCUUCAGAACCCCAUCGGUGCUACUGAAUUGUAUGUCAAAUAUGUUUUCACCUUGUCACGCCUCAAACUUGACUCCAGCGUGCUGUAAUUCUGUCAAGCUGGGUAUGGAUGAUGGGAGUUUGAUGCAGGAGCAUAGGGGUGGAUCAAGAUAGAUAUUUACUAUUUAAUUAGUUAUUUCAUGAUAUAUUGUUAUUUUCUUAUUUAGGUAGUUUUAUGAUAUCUUUUAUUAUUUAUGUGUGAUUUUAUAAUUAAUUAGUAUACUUUUGGACCAAGUAGCCUUGGUGCUCAAGUCUUGUAAAGCCUAUAAAUAAGGCUAAUGUAAUAGUUGUAGAAUAGAUGUCGAUGAUUAAUAAAAUCGUUUAUUUGUGGCAUGGAUUUGCUACGAUAUAUGUGAGUUUGCACUAGCCCUAGAUUUCAGUGCUCGUGUAUGUGGUUGGUGACCUGUGUCCGGAUCCCGAUCCCCAUCAAUUGGUAUCAGAGCUAUGGCUCAAGAUCUGCUAUAUCGGGGAGGUUUUUGGAUGGAGGGUCGUUUUAACAACUACAACGACAUGGAGGAAAUUAGGAGGAUGCUACGGCAACUUAUGGAACACAUUGCUCGCAUUGAAGCUCGAACCCAGAUAGGUAAGAGUUCUGACGGGGAGGGAUGUGUGAACCCUUAUCUGAACCGAGUAGCUCGCAUCGACACUCUAAGCCGUGAGAGUCUCGACGGGGAGUACGAGGGAGAUAGCCCUUUUCAUUAUUGUGCUCCGCUGUGUGAGUCAAGUGAAGAGGGGCACGGUUAUUCUCAUUGUGUCUUUGAAGGUAUAAAUGAAUUUAGUAAUUUUGGUGCAUCUUGUUAUUCAUCAAAGUUAUUAAAUUUGGAUUUACCUCCAUUAUUUGAUCCUUGCAAUUGUGAAAAUUGCAAUAAAAAUUGUUUGGGUGUUCAAAGCAAUUUUGAUAAGCAAUUUAUUGACCAGAACAGUGAAGAGAUGAGAAUUGAGAAAACUUUCGAAGAUAUUAUUGAUUUUAUGGGCAUUAAUAUUUUCACUUGGAAGGUUGCCAAAAAUCUGGUUGAUUUUGUCAAUCGGUUGAAGAUUCUAGAGAGAAACAUUUGCAUUGCUAGAGGGAGUAAGAAGUCAAGAAUAACGAAAUAUUCCAAAUAUCUUUUUAUUUGGAAAGGAAGGUUUCAAUUGGAUGCUAAAAGAUCCAAAAUUAAUAUGCAGCAAUUGAAGAUUCUACUCGGAUUUUCCUUAAUCAAAGGCUUGAAUUCGAGGACGAAUUCUUUCCAACUAUGGGAGUCUGAUGCAGGAGCAUAGGGGUGGAUCAAGAUAGAUAUUUACUAUUUAAUUUGUUAUUUCAUGAUAUAUUGUUAUUUUCUUAUUUAGGUAGUUUUAUGAUAUCUUUUAUUAUUUAUGUGUGAUUUUAUAAUUAAUUAGUUUACUUUUGGACCAAGUAGCCUUGGUGCUCAAGUCUUGUAAAGCCUAUAAAUAAGGCUAAUGUAAUAGUUGUAGAAUAGAUGUCGAUGAUUAAUAAAAUCGUUUAUUUGUGGCAUGGAUUUGCUACAAUAUAUGUGAGUUUGCACUAACCCUUGAUUUCGGUGCUCGUGUAUGUGGUUGGUGACCUGUGUCCGGAUCCCGAUCCCCAUCAGAGUUCCCCUCCAGCUUUUGAUUCCAACGGUUGAUAGAGUUUAAAUAUUUUCCUGAAAAGAUCAAUAAUAUGUGCCACUGAUCUAAAAGUCUCCAAAUUGUCUUCCAAUUUGUCAACAGGCAAUAGAUGUUCGAAGAAACUGAAAGAAAUACAAAUUAUUGAAAGCCCCUCAGUAAUGCUGUUAUUGUCAGCAUUAGCAGGGAGUGUAAUUUUCUGUGGGUCGAAAAGAUCCUCGAGAAUGAAGAAUGGCAACUGAUUUUCAAGCAACCACGUAUCUGUCCAUGCAUCUUGCAACAUACCUGGUUUGUCAAAUAUGCGGUCAUUUUCGUCCCAAAAUUUGAAGUAGUCCUUCAAUAAGGGCUCAAUAACGAAGGCGGCGCCCACUAGAAUGAUUGUUACAAAUUCAUCACUGCUAAACUUGAUGGGUUCUCCAUAACAACGUCUCAAUCUUGCUUCGUGGUCCUUUAUUUUCUUAAUAUAAUCCUCCAAACUCACAUUGGUCCGACCUAUAAAAUCUUGCAGGUAUCUCUGUUUGUUCUCUUCCAAUACGACAUUCAAGCCUUCCUUUCCAUGGUGAAGUGGACCUAUAGAGACCGACUGCCUGAGGUGUGCAGAGCUUUUCAUUCACACAUACGUAGAUAAAAUGUCUGGGGGCUCAGAGAGUGAUGAAUGUGCAACAGCUAAUGGGAGGGUUUAUAUUCCUGAAGUAAGAAAUGAGGAAACACCAGCAGUUGGGAUGAAGUUUGACUCGCUUGACCUCGUUUACAAUUUCUAUAAUAGAUAUGCAUUCUUGGCUGGCUUUGGUAUUCGACUUCAUUCUAGCUUUUGGGGGAAAAAUAAGAAAGAGAUUUUGAGGAAAGAAUUUGUAUGUUGCAAACAAGGUGCAUACAAGAAGGAUGAAACUCGGGAGAGAAAAAGACAACGGGGAAUAAGUAGAUGCAAUUGCAAAGCAAAGAUUGUGGUUGUGAAGACAAAUGGGAGCAAGAAGUAUACCAUUUCUCUUUUUGCAGAGGGACACAAUCAUAAGAUGACACCCUCAGAAAGAAUGCAUUUAUUGAGAUCACACCGUCAUAUUUCAGAUUCUACAAAAGUACUCACAAAACAGUUGGGUUCAGUUAAUAUUCCCAUUCAUCAGAAGGUAAGUAUAUUCGAGGUGCAAUCCGGAGGAAUGGAUAAAAUCGGUUUUAUCAAAAAAGAUAUCUACAAUCUUGAAUGUAGUGUGAAUGGGAAGCUGAGGAACCACGAUGUUGAACUAGUGACCGAGUAUUUUAUGGCUGAACAGAAAAAAAAUGAGGCUUUUUAUUUCAAGAUUGAGGGAGAUGGGCAUGACAGGUUUAGUCGAUGUUUUUGGGCAGAUGCAACUUCUAGACGGGCGUAUGGGUUUUAUGGAGAUGUUGUUGUAUUCGAUACCACAUUCAACACGAAUCGAUACGACUUGACAUUUGCACCAAUGUUGGGAGUUAAUAACCAUGGUCAGACAAUUGUCUUAGCAUGCGCAUUUUUGAGCAAGGAAACGACUGAGUCGUUUGUUUGGAUGUUUGAGGAGUUUAAGAAAGCCAUGCCAGGUGGGGAACCUAAAACGAUCAUUACAGAUCAAGAUGCGGCAAUGGCCAUAGCGAUUUCAAUAGCCUUCCCGAGUACAUUUCAUCGACUUUGCAUAUGGCACAUCACAUCAAAGUUCUCUGUUAAGUUACCACGUGACGCUUAUAAGGAGUAUUGGCCUGAAUUUCAGAAAGCCAUAUGGGAUACUGACAAUAAGGAUGAGUUUGAUGCAAAAUGGAAUAUUGUGGUUAUAAAGGCUGGUUUGACUGACCAUCCAUGGCUAAGUUCAAUGUUUGAUUUAAGGGAAUCUUGGGUUCCAGCCUACGCACGACAAUUUUUUGCCGCUGGAAUGUCAAGCAGCCAAAGAGCGGAAGGUUCUCAUGGUUUUUUCAAGCAAUACAUAUCAAGGAGAAAUUCGUUGAUGGAUUUCAUAAUACGAUUUGAGAGGGCAUUUUCUCAUCAACGUGAAAAAGAGUUAGUUGCUGAUCACGUAGAUGCAUUUGAAGUGGCUCAAUGUCUUCUACCGAUGCCAAUGAACAAACAAAUGGCUACCUUGUACACAAGGACAAUGUUUCAAAAGUUUGAGCAAGAACUAAUACAAAGUACAGCAUGUUUCCUAGAGCUCAAAACAGAGGAUGCAUGUAAAGUUGUGUUCAACGUGAGCGAAAGGAAAAAUUGGGAAACAAGAGUGGCAGAAGUCGUAUAUGUCAAAGAUUCUGACCACGCAUCGUGUAGCUGCAAAAGAUUUGAAUUUGUUGGAAUUAUUUGCAAGCACAUCCUAGCAUUGUUCAGAAGGGACCAGAUUGAAUAUAUGCCCGAUAAAUAUAUUUUGAAGAGGUGGAAGAAAACUGCGAAAUGUGGAUUGGUGUCAGAUGCAAAUGGCAACGAAAUUAAAGACUGUGCAGAUCCUGGCCUUCUAAUAAAGCGGAGUACAAUGUCUCGACUUGCUUCAAAUGUGGUUGAGGAUGCAUUAAUGAGUGAAGAAGGAUGUGAGCUACUGUCAGAGACUCUAAAAAGUUUGCAGGUGAAGUUGAAGUUGCUGAAGGAUGGACCAAGUAAUAACGAAGUUGGAGGGUCCAGCUCUCAAACACAAUAUAUGAAAGACCCUAAGAGAGUGAGGUGCAAAGGAAGGUCGAAAGGAAUAACGGGAGCAAAGGAAAAGGCAAUGAAGCGAGGGAUUAGACACUGUCGGGAGUGUGGACACAUUGGUCAUGAUAGAAGACAAUGCCCAGCCUUGAACACACCGUAAGAUGCUACCACUAUUUGUAAUAAUAUCUAAAAUAUGAAAAGGUAAAAUUUUUAUGUGCUUGUGUUUGAUGUUUAUGCAGGACAUCACCGUCGAACAAUGACAAAUCAACUCCAAUACAUCGUAGUGACCCAUUAUUCGACGAUUUUGACAAGAUGCACAGACCAACUGAAUGAUUGAUAUUUGUAUUAGACGAAAUGUGGUUGUUAUGAAGAUUAAUGAUCAAGUGAAGUUUUAUAGAUUCAGUUUUUGAAUGUUAUUGUGUUUUUGUUCAUGUCCACCGAUGAGCUCUUACUAUGUCCACUGGUAAUUGAAAUGAAAAUUUUCUUGGUUUCAUUCUUCCAAGACAUUUGGAGACAUGUUAAUUUUACGUCUUCUCCCUAUUUAUAAAUUUUCAUAGACAUUUGAUCAAGUUUGAAAUUUGUAGUUAUGUGAAGAAGCAAUGACUCUUACCAUGUAAAAUGGGCAGUUUAGGGUGAAAUUUGUUUUAACAGAGAUUCAUUUUUCAAUUCCUCAGGGUAAUGCAGCAAUUACAGCAGCCAGCUGUUGUUUCCAUUACCAGUAAUCAUUUCCAGCAGCAGCCACUUUUUCCGACUGGUUAUUAGGGGCACGAUUUUGUACACUUUUGUAAGUGAAGGAUACUCGAAGCACUUUGUUGGAACAGAGCAAAUAGAAACCAGCGGGUAAAAAAAAAACAUAACAUUGCAGCUAAUUACAUUUCGAUACAUAGGUGAAAAAUAUUAAAGGGUACACUAACUUACAUAAAUACUCAUAAUUCCACACACAAAAGAACAUUUGAUUGCAAAACAUAUUAUGUGCUUCCUCAUAGCAAUACCACGAUCUCCCCAACCAACUGAACAACGGUAGCCACAAUCACUGGGUCGUACUCGUCAGCUUCUUCUUAGCAGGUCUCACAUGCUUAUGGCCACUCAUAUCCCUAGUGAUAUACACGAAAUAAAUCUUCAGCAAUAUUUGGAAUUUUAUUAUAUAUAAAUAAACCAUAAACCAUUCAGUAAACAAUGUAUAGCACAUGUUAUGUAACUUAUGACUCACGUGUCAGUUUUUUUUUUAACACAUUAGUACUCCAGCUCUUUAAUGUAAAUGGACAUGAUAAGGAGCAUUUACUGAUUCCCGGCUUUCUAUGAUAUUGACUGCUUCUUGAAUAAUAUUUCCAUAUUUGCAAAAUAUAAUGUUAGACAUUAUAACACAUGAUGACUUGCAAUACAUAGUCCCAAUAAUUAUAUAUCAAGCAAAUGAAACUGAUAUUUGUGUUAUUUUAAGUUAGAUAAUGACAUUAAGGGAGUAUAUGUGCAAUACCACGGUCACCCUCAACCAACUGAACAGCGGUAGCCGCAAUCACUUAGUCGUAUCGGUCGGCUUCUUCCGAGCAGCUUUGACGUGCUUAUGCUCAUUCAUGUCACCCCCAUCGUCUAGUAUCUCUCUCACAGCAUCAGGGGACACAUAGUUCCAAUCAUAACUUGUAUGAGUAGUUGCCGCAAAUGCUCGGAAUUUGUCGAAUCCUUCGUUGAAUGCCAACUCCAGUUCAGUAUGGUGCUCUUCGCAUCGCAUAUGGUUCAUCAAACAACCUUUGAUUUCAUCAUUCAUUACUGUAUCCAACUCCUCAGCUUUCAGCUUCCUGCUAUGACUCAGCUUCAAGUACUUGUUCUUUUGGGAUAACGCUUUGUUCACCCUAAUGUUAAGAUCAGCCAAAAUUGCCUCGUCUUCAACACAUUUCUCGUGCCAUGAAUUGAUCAGUCUGGAAUUAUAAUCCAGCUUGCCACUGACUGCAUGUAUUGCCUGUAAUGGAUCAUCGGAGUCCCCCUCACUCCCAAAUGAUGUUGAAAAAGGAAGGGGUCGGCGAGUACAAUGUGGAAAUAGAACCUGCCACUCCAAUUUGUCAUCUUCGAUUGUGUUGUUGGCGCCUGAAGAGGUUGACAUGCUUGAAUAAUCCUCUUUGUUUUGGGAGGAUGAGGAUUGCAUAUGCAAUUUCGUUUGAGAAAGGGAACAUAGGUUUAUAGACCAACAUACCAAAGCUUGUGUGUAGUCAACAUAUGUACUUUUUGGCGGGAAUUUUUUAAAAAUAGGUGUUAGGUUUUGCUUUUCAAGCAUGUCAACCUCACACUCUCCUGACACCACUGCUAGUGGUUGAAACAAAGUCAAUGGAAGUGACAUCUACUUAGUUAACUCAACCAAACUAGUUAGGAUUAAACUUAGAUUGUAUCAGACCAAAAAAUAAUUUCUACUUUGUCAACCAAAUAUUUUUUGGCGGGAACCCUUUUCUUGGUAUUACUAUCACCCCUUUCAUAUAAAAUCUCCUUCCACACAAAACUCACUCCUCCACCGAAUCUGUCUCCAUCUACCGAUACUCUCUCAAGCAAACAAACUCAUUCCCCCCAAAGAAUGAGCAUAAGCACAACCAAGUUUGAUGUGAGCAUAAUAAACACCCCUCCAAACAAAGACCGGCUUCGACACGCAAGUGAGUCACCGGACAAGCAAUGUCACAUUGCUAGACAGAAUGACCAUUUUGUUGGAAGUUUUGAGUCUGAAAGAGUUGUUGCUUUUUGGAAGGAGAGGCAUCUUCAACUUGGUGAUGAAAUCCAAAGGGCAAGGGCACGUUUGGAAUUUGUGGAAGGCCAAAUUGAAGAUGACAAAAGGCAGGCCAAUCUGGAUAGGGCGAAGUUGUAGCGCAUGAAGCGUAGACACAAACGACUUCGGAGUGUAGCUGUUCAAAAAUACAAGAACUCAUCUAAUGUAGUGGAGUCAAAGAAGCGUGUGAUGCAAGCUGGAUUCGACUACUUCCGAUCCUAUGCAAAACUCGUCGUACCCGGGUUUGAUUGGUCAUCUAUUACCGUUUCCGACGUCACCAAAUAUACUCAGCAAGGGAAGUAACCAUUUUGGUUCUCGUGUUUUAGCAGAGGCAAAUAAGUGGAAUUGGAAUUUUGGUUACACUCUGCUUCAAAGCUAUUUUGAUGCUAACUACUAUGGAAGAUUUAAACCUUAAUAUUUUGAUGUCUUUAAUUACGAAAACAGAAGAUGCAAAGAGCUCAUCUACUUCAGCCAUAUGUUGCUGCCAUGUCCAUUUGUUUUUGAUCACUUAUCAGAUUUGGACAUGGUUGCAUCAUAUGCAAUGUUGCCUUUAUUUAUUAUAUGUUAGGACAAGGUUUAUGGAAAAGCUUUUGUGAGUGCGUUUGUGACAAGGUUAUGGAAUUAUUAUGUACACUUUAUAUAUUGUUUUUUGUACUGGUUCAUUUCCUACUAUUUCUUGCUUUCUUUAUAUUUUAUGUUUGUGGAAUCCCUCUCAAAGUUAACAUAUACUGUGAAAAAAAUAUUAUGCAACUGAUUAUAUAAUCACUCAUAUAGACUAGGACAAAUAUUCACUAAGGGUUUUAAACUUGCUUCACUUGUGUGAUGUUAUUGACAAAAAGUAUGGCAUUAUUUAUGUGAUUUGACAUGAUUGAAAAUAUAUUACUGAUUCCCAAUGCGGCGUCAUAUGGACAACGUAUUGAAUACCUGUGACGUGUUAAUAACUCAAGGUGCAGUUGCAUGUGGACAACUUCUUGAAUACCUCUGACGUGUUGAAAACUCUAGGUGCAGUUGCAUGUGGACAACUUAUUGAAUACGAACUGACGUCUUCAAAGCUCUAGGCGUAGUUGCAAUGAUGGCUUCAAAGCAUGUGCAAUUAUUUUUUAUGUACAUUAUUAUAACAAAACAUAUUAUUGUAUAUAGUGAAACUAAAUAUUGUAUUAUUAGAAAUUAUAUUUCGAAUAUUAUCCGAAAUAUACGUGUUAACGUGAAUUUGGGUUAAGAGGAAAGUGAGUUAUGUACAAAUAAUUUUCAUUUUCUCAUUUUCCGGGCAUUUUUUGGAUUUUCGUAGAAUUUAUUACCUAUGUCCACAGAUUGUUGCACUAAAAAAGCCAAAAUAAUAGCAAGAGGACACCUGGAGCGAUCUCAGCCCGUCACUGAUGACUACUUGCACAAGUGUACGUCAGUCAACAUGGCCACACCCUCCCAUUUUACCCUAAAUUAUUAUUUUAUUACUUUUCCUUACAAAAAUCAGAACUAAUUACACACAAAAUAAAAAAAUUAUCCGAAAAUUGCUACGAACUCAUUGACACUCCAUCUCCGUUGCUGAAUUCUCCGAUUCAUUGUUACGUAUUUGUAAAAUUAAUUCCCAACAUUAACGGGAGAUGCUUGUUGAAGUAGGUUAUUCAAGUUGAAGUUAACAAACAUCAAUACUUAGGGUUAAGAGGAAAGUGAGUUAUGUAACACAAUUUGGAUUAUUUCAUUGCGAGACGAAUGAUUUAUAGGUUCUCCUAGUUUUAUGACGUCACAAGUAGGCCGGAGUAAUUUUUGGGGCAUUUUUACGAUUUUCCUACUAUUUUUUACCUAGUUUCAAAGAUUUUUGAACAAAAGAAUCCAAAAUGUAAAAGAAGAUGACACCUGGCGCGAUCUCAGCCCGUCACUUUUCACUACUUGCACAAGUGUACGUCAGUCAACAUGGCCACAUCCUCUCAUUUUACCCUAAAUUAUUAUUUUAUUACGUUUUGUCUUGGAAAAUUCAUAACUAAAUACACAAAAAUUCAAAAUUAUUUCUGAAAAUUGCUACGAACUCAUUGACACUCCAUCUCCGUUGCUGAAUUCUCCGAUUCAUUGUUACGCAUUUUUAAAAUUAAUUCCCAACAUUAACGGGAGAUGCUUGUUGAAGUAGGUUAUUCAAGUUGAAGUUAACAAACAUCAAUACUUAGGGUUAAGAGGAAAGUGAGUUAUGUAACACAAUUUGGAUUAUUUCAUUGUGAGACGAAUGAUUUAUAGGUUCUCCUAGUUUUAUGACGUCACAAGUAGGCCGGAGUAAUUUUUGGGCCAUUUUUACGAUUUUCCUACUAUUUAUUACCUAGUUUCAAAGAUUUUUGAACAAAAGAAUCCAAAAUUAACAAGAAUAUGACACCUGGCGCGAUCUCAGCCAGUCACUUUUGACUACUUGCACAAGUGUACGUUACCGAACAUGGCCACAUCCUCCCAUUUUACCCUAAAUUAUUAUUUUAUUACCUUUUUUCUUGGAAAAUUCAUAACUAAAUACACAAAAAUUAGAAAAACGAUCCGAAAAUUUCUACGAACUUAUUGCGAUUUCAUCUUCCUACUGCAUUCCCUGUUUAAUGGUUAUGCUACAUUAGUAUUUUAUUAUUAUUUAUCCACAAUUAUUAUAAUUAUUAUGAUAUUACUUUUUAGGCUGUCCAUUUGUUAAUUAUACCACAUCCAACUUGUUGAAAACAAUUUUAUUUUCCGUGCGAAUAGGCCAUUUGUAGUGCUUAUCGGUUUCUCUGUUCUUCAAUUUGUUAAUUUUUUUAUUUUUUAGGUUGAAGGGAUGUUUUGAAACAUAAUAUGGAAAUAUACAAGUCAUCCAUUGUACUCCUUCCACACAAAAAAAUAGUCUACGUCAUUCACUGUUCAACACCCUAGGUUAAGACACGUGUAACCAAAUCCGUUCGGAUAUGCUAAGUGGGAAAAUGUCAUUCCCAAGCACUGGUGAAAAGACACUUAUUUACUCCAUGCAUGACUUUUGGUUUACCAAAUAUGAAGAUUGGGGUCGGUGAGCAAAAUAUCUGUGUCAGUAAAAUGUCAUUCCUAGCCAUCUAUGAUGUAAGUAAUAAUUCCGCUAUAUAAUAAAUAUUAUACAUUUAUAUAUAAAACGGUUUAUGACAAAAUACCAACAUUUGAACAACAUUUAAACUGAGAUAGGUAUAACGUAGCCAGCCAACCUAGAAGUGAAGAGAAGCAAGUCCACAAUGCAUCAAAACUGUAAAUUCGUACUAAAACUAAUGCAAAAAUACGUGAUUCCCUCGCACAACUUACUCACGCAGGAUUUUGCACCAAAAAAUACUCUCACGGUGCCAUUUGCAUCGGUUGCAGCAAGUCCAAAACGCAGGAUUUAUCUUGUCUUCACUAGGCCACCCUGGAAUAACAAAAUACCAUUCAUUGUUGUUACAAGCGCUGCACCGAUUGAACUUAAUCUUCCCAUAGUCAAACAUAUCUACGAUAUGUCUUGCAACAAAUGCUCCGCGACAUCUUCCUGUUAAAGCAUCCCUGGUUCCUUUCAUAUCAAUGUUGUUACGUUGAUUCAAAGAACACAAGAAUUGUAAUGCAUCCUCUUUUGACUGACCAAUUCCGGACAUACCAAGUAGUCCAACUACAUAUGCCGCUUCCAUAUGGCCUGCCGUGGCUGCAAUGCGCAUCCCAUACAACGCUUCCACCUUACCGUCUGUGAAAAAACCUUCGAAUGCUUCUCUAAAUAUGGACUCAGGGUUAUCGCAAGCCCUGCAUUGUUGCAAGAAAUGCUGGACUGCAGGUUUGGCACGGUAGCAGAUAGGAUGGUGUGGGUACUUUGCCAUUGAAAUGGUGUUCCACACUUGUGGACUGUUUGCCAAAAUGUUGAACAAUCGGCACACACAUGCCAUACGGAAGAGAUCUUCCGAUGAUUCGGUUGCCACGUAUAACAUCACUUGAAACCAAGCGGACUCCGGGAUAAAGGCUUCGGGCAUAUCGAAAUGGAGAUGCUUCCUUCUCUUUCCUCCGACUGUAGUGAAGUGUUUCGAAUUCAUUGAAAAGUUUUUGGAAUGGAACGAUUUGAGGAGUGGCAGAGGGGAUAAAUGAUAAUAUUUGGGGUACACGUUCUACUUCCGAGCCUCUGUUUAUAGUGUUUUGAAAAGGUGUUUCCAGUUGGGGUUUUUCCAAGUUGACCCUUUUGAAAGAAACUGAAUCCAAGUGAAUUAAAACUUAAGACAAAAGAAGGGAAAACGUCAUAACGGUGCAUACAGAGUCAGACAGUUAAAAAGUUAAUUAAAUGGCUAUUUGCAUAGCCAUUUUUGGGUUUAUCCCACUAUCAAAUUCAUUGAUACAAAUGUGAUGGAUUACUGACUAGUGACAGAAGGUCCCAUCAUAUACUUUUUCAUUUUCGCACACCCAACUAUCCCUAGUAAUGUUAUUAAAAUGGAACCAAUAAUGACGGAUUCUUAUCCAACUAGUUGCCUUAAUGAAAUAUAAAUAAAUUAAUAAAAUUGAAGCAGUGUCCCGUCAUUAGUCAGAAAAUAUAUUUGGUAGUGAAGUAGUUUCUAUUGCUUUUCGGGCUAAAAGAUGUCACAAUGCUGACGGUACAGGUGUCGACAUCGUGACCAACCCACCAAAUGAUCCCAAAAAAAAGUAAUAUAACUCGAUUUGGGCAGAGAUGAGAGAGAGCUGAGUGACAAGUUUAGGGUUAUGAGUGAAGGGGUAUGAAUGACAACUAUGAGUGAGAAGGUAUGAGUCCGAAGAGGUUUCAGUGAGAAGAUUUGAGUGAGAAGAGGUACAACUGAGAAGAUUCAACAUGUCUUCGUCUUCAUCUCCUGCUCAAACAAAGAGGUGUCAGUAUUGUGGAGCUACAAUGGUGCUUCGGGUUUCAAAAUCUGAAAAAAAAUCGAGGGAAGCCAUUCUGGAAGUGUCUAACCUCCUAUGUAAGUUUUAAUUUAAAGAAUAUGUAUGUGGGUGAAAAAAAACCUAUGUCUAACUCUGACAGAAUUAUAUUCCAUAUAUGAUGCCUGCAAUUAGGGAGCCACCAGUUGCAAUGGAUUCGAAUGGGUUGAUGUAACCUCCGCUGAAGCAGAACAUCAAGAUGACACGUAUGAUGUUAGAGUGCUGAACAUGCUGAAGUCCAUUAAGGACUUGGUAUUAGUUUUAUUAGUUGUAUUAAUUGUCAUUUUAUUUGUUCUUUUAAUGAUCAUUUAACUGCACGGUUUAAAAGAUUGUGAAAGUUCUCUCGCACAAGACAUAUUGCACGCACCACCAAUGAGACCCUAAACCCAUUUUGUAAUAUUUGGUAACUGCAUGUAUUUCGCAUGUUAUUGAAUGUUUAUUGAAGGUUUAUUGAUAGUUUGCUGCAUGUAUAUGGAAUAUCAUUGCCCCAAAAUUGGAUGUUUAUUGGGGCCACAAGUAUCACUCAAGUAAGAAUGAAGGGGAGAAACGGACCUUAUUCUUUCUUAUAGUAGGAAGAACAACUGUUAAGUUUAAUAUCCUAUUCAAUACGACUUCCCUAUGGUUGGUGUACUUGGGGACUGAAGUAUAUUGCAUCAUUAUUGUGGGCAAGGGCAUGUCUAUUGUGUGUGUUAAGGGAGUAUUGUGUGGGCAAGGGCAUGUCUACUGUGUGUAUAUUGCAUGUCUACUGUGUGUAUAUUGCAUAUCUAUUCUCUGUAUAUGGCAGGCCAAGUUUGUGUAUAUUGUUUGUCUGUUGUGUGUGUAUUGCUUGUCGGUGCGUUUGUGAAUUGUGGUUCAUUUUGUGUAUAUUGUCUUUGUUUCUACUUUUAUGCUACUGAGCUGCGGAAAACCUCGCAUGUUUAGACACCUAUUAUGAUGCAACACAUUGCGAUUAAUGGUGGCUUGCAUCAACAAUGACAUAUCACUUUGCAAUGAUGUAAUACACUUAAAAAGCCGUCUUCAAAUCCCAAUUCACAUAUGCAGUCUUAAAAUUCUAAUUCAAUGCAGUUUGGUUAACAAACAUGUAAAUGUCAUGAAGGAGUUAGCGGUAGAAUUCGAUAAGGACCCGUACGUCUCUAUUGUGUAUUUACAUUAGUUUGAGAAUGGACAUUCCCAAAACCUUCUCAUGUACCAUUUGUCAUCUUCAACCAAUAUCAUGGGAAGUAAGCAUCUCCCCUUGUUAUCUCCGCAGCCAAUUUCAACCGAAAAAAAGGCAUGUUGUGCGAGGUGCAAGUAGCUAACGGAAGCUUAGCGCUGAAAAGCUCAAUGUACUUUAACACAAACAUGCCACAAUCGCCUCUGAAGCAAAACAAGAACUCGAUCAAUUCAACUAAUGACAUUCUAAUGUAAUUGACAAUUGAAAGUAAUAAAAUUAAAUUGCAAGUUGUGCUUACUCAUUAGACUGUUGUGGAACAUCCACACGCUCUAUUGGCCACGGACACCACCAAUCUCGGCUGCAAUUGUUUGCAUAAACACCUUCUUCAUAAAAGUCGAUGGUGUUGAGAAGAUUUGGAAGCGUAAUUGAUAGCGGGCCGAGUUCUUCCUUUACGAUGUCAUCUGGAAUUAGUGAAACCUUUGAAUCGUACACUUUGAUUCACACAAUACCAGAUCAAACANNNNNNNNNNNNNNNNNNNNNNNNNNNNNNNNNNNNNNNNNNNNNNNNNNNNNNNNNNNNNNNNNNNNNNNNNNNNNNNNNNNNNNNNNNNNNNNNNNNNNNNNNNNNNNNNNNNNNNNNNNNNNNNNNNNNNNNNNNNNNNNNNNNNNNNNNNNNNNNNNNNNNNNNNNNNNNNNNNNNNNNNNNNNNNNNNNNNNNNNNNNNNNNNNNNNNNNNNNNNNNNNNNNNNNNNNNNNNNNNNNNNNNNNNNNNNNNNNNNNNNNNNNNNNNNNNNNNNNNNNNNNNNNNNNNNNNNNNNNNNNNNNNNNNNNNNNNNNNNNNNNNNNNNNNNNNNNNNNNNNNNNNNNNNNNNNNNNNNNNNNNNNNNNNNNNNNNNNNNNNNNNNNNNNNNNNNNNNNNNNNNNNNNNNNNNNNNNNNNNNNNNNNNNNNNNNNNNNNNNNNNNNNNNNNNNNNNNNNNNNNNNNNNNNNNNNNNNNNNNNNNNNNNNNNNNNNNNNNNNNNNNNNNNNNNNNNNNNNNNNNNNNNNNNNNNNNNNNNNNNNNNNNNNNNNNNNNNNNNNNNNNNNNNNNNNNNNNNNNNNNNNNNNNNNNNNNNNNNNNNNNNNNNNNNNNNNNNNNNNNNNNNNNNNNNNNNNNNNNNNNNNNNNNNNNNNNNNNNNNNNNNNNNNNNNNNNNNNNNNNNNNNNNNNNNNNNNNNNNNNNNNNNNNNNNNNNNNNNNNNNNNNNNNNNNNNNNNNNNNNNNNNNNNNNNNNNNNNNNNNNNNNNNNNNNNNNNNNNNNNNNNNNNNNNNNNNNNNNNNNNNNNNNNNNNNNNNNNNNNNNNNNNNNNNNNNNNNNNNNNNNNNNNNNNNNNNNNNNNNNNNNNNNNNNNNNNNNNNNNNNNNNNNNNNNNNNNNNNNNNNNNNNNNNNNNNNNNNNNNNNNNNNNNNNNNNNNNNNNNNNNNNNNNNNNNNNNNNNNNNNNNNNNNNNNNNNNNNNNNNNNNNNNNNNNNNNNNNNNNNNNNNNNNNNNNNNNNNNNNNNNNNNNNNNNNNNNNNNNNNNNNNNNNNNNNNNNNNNNNNNNNNNNNNNNNNNNNNNNNNNNNNNNNNNNNNNNNNNNNNNNNNNNNNNNNNNNNNNNNNNNNNNNNNNNNNNNNNNNNNNNNNNNNNNNNNNNNNNNNNNNNNNNNNNNNNNNNNNNNNNNNNNNNNNNNNNNNNUUUUCCUCUCCCUCAUCUCUAUUAUUUGGCCCUUCACCCCCUUCAAUCCCUUCAUCUUCUUUUUCCUCUCCCUCAUUUCUGUUACUUGGCCCUUCAUCCCAUUGAAUGUCAUCCAUUUCCCCAUAUCCCUUAAAUAGAUGUGAGACGACACAACGAUUCGUCCUCUGUUUCAGUAAAGCUAGGUCCCUCCUUACUUCCUGCUCAAACUGAGGACCUAAACAUUGGUCCAAUAGUUUUUCCAUCCGUAUGACCUUUAAGUGAAGGACGUCUUUUUCCCGCUUUUCUUGAAACAACUCGGACCUCAACAAGCUUACCACCUUGUUCAACUCAUCAAGAUCACCACAUGAAGAAGGAAUUGACUCUGCCGAGACAACAGCAGGGCGAUCCUGUGGCCAACUCCAAUAUGGCUGUCUCAUUUCCUCUUCACUUAGACAUAGCGCCCGCAACUGAACUGACUGUUUCAGAAUACAGACAAGAGUCAUAUUAAAUCAUUCUACUUCAUAAUUUCAUUCAAUCUUAUCAAUAGUUCUAAGGGCUGCAAACCAAACCUCUUUGCUCUGGAAAAAAUAAUUGUUCAACUUUCUCAUCUCUGGAACAGACGUAGUAGUUCUCCAUCGCAAAAUACGCGGGACAGCGGUCGGAUCAACAACCUUGCAGUAAUUCAGGUCCGCCAUUCUAGGAAUUAAUUCAUAUACCCAAAUCUACACAAUUCACAGGACAAAAGUCAUUAUUUAUGUUUUAAAGAAAAACAAAACAUAACUGACAUGAACAUUAUUACCAUGUACCUGGAAAGCAUACGUGAAACCUUUAAAACUCCAGCCACUCCUUUGCGCUUCACUAUGCUUAUCCUUCUUGCCCUUCUCAUUUCUCCGGCUUGUUCCCGUUACCUUACUUUUCCCCUUCCCUCUUCCCUCUUCAUUUUCCAAGCUUUUCACAUACUUUGUUGGUGCAGAAAAUAGACUGUCUUGGGUUUUGUCAAAGGACACCGAACCCCACGGAUACCUGUUGAACGCAUCCAAGUCCUCUACAAGGGUCAGGUAAUUUAGAUUGAUGUUCAAAUGUUUGUCCCUUCCCAAAACCACUAACUCAGCAAAGUAAACAAGAGGUAGCUUGAAGAUGUCAUCUUCCUCUGUGCACCUCACAAAUGCUUCUUCUAAAGCAUUGCAUGUAAUUCCUUCGUCUAUAAAAUAUCUUUUCUGAAGUCUGAUUUCAUUACUCUCUCCACUGGAAACUUCAGGCACUUCCCCAAAACGAAGCCCUGUGAUCAAACAGAAAUCCUGACGAGUGAACUGAGCAACGUCACACCCUAAUAAGAAACUCAGUCCAUCCAAGUCUUUCACACCCUGCCCCGCUACUCUACGCAACACAACCCCAUGCACAAUCUGUCCGCUAAACUGAAUCUUAUCUAUAUUCAGAAGAUGGCCAAAGCAUGAUGUCUUGAAUUGUUCUAAUUGUUCCGCACUCAACUUCGCUCGAAUUGCAGCUAGAGAUGAAUUUGCAUGUGAGCAGUUGUUCACCCGUGAUGAAUAUACCUCUGCCUCUGGCCAUACCAGCUCCACGUUGGAUCCCAUUUCCUCAAAUACAAUGUGAAAUAACGUGAACAUAUAUACUACCACGUAUUUGCACAAUCACAACUAGUCAACCAGGCACAUUACAACUUUUACAAAGUACAUGAGCAUAUGGAUUACUCAUCACAGGCUUUAACAUCAUCAAAGCAAUAUGACAAUUUUUGUGCAAAUACCUGUUAAUGCAAUGAUUAUGUGAAUUACAAACAAUUUCACGUGUUUUAUUUAUGGAUCCAUACUCGUGUGAGUGCAAUGUAGGCAAGUUCUGCACUUCACACACAUGACAAUUAUUGUCAUCUCAUACACAACCCAAAAUAAAUAAAUAAGAAAUAUAGUGGAAGGAAGCAAAGCAAAGCAUGUACUCUGCUAUCUGCUUGCUAAGCAAUUGCCACAUCCUUCUUUCUUUCUACCUUUUUCUUCAGUCACCCACAAUCGUCAUAGAUCAACCUUCAUUUCAAAUGCUUUGCACUUUUAUUCAUGAGUUUAUUAUUAUCUGUUCUCAUUUCUCAUAGGCAAAUUUAGUAACAAAUGAAAUAAUAUUUAUUUCACAAAAUAUAUAAAUUCUAGUGCCAGAGAGGUACUCUUCACUCUGCACUGCUUCAAAUGUGGAAGGUUUUGAGAUGUUAUUGACAUGUGAUUGACUUUAUUUUCAUUCGUUUUUUAACAUAUACCCAAGCAAAAAUUAACAUGCAAUUGAAGCACAAAUAAGAGAUGCCAAAUCCAACAACAUUGAUGGUACAAAUUGGGGAAAACCAUUACUCUAACCCUAAACUCAAAUUCCUUACAUUACUCAUCAAAUGCUUUGCAGUUCUAUUCAUGAGUUUAUUAUUAUCUGUUCAAAUGUUUCUCAGGCAAAUUUAGUAACAAAGGAAAUCAUAUUUACUUCAUAAAAUAUAUAUAUAUAUAUAUAUAUUCUAGCGCCUCUUCUUAAUCUGCACUAUGCACUGCUUCAAAUGUGGAAGGUUUUGAGGGCCUCCUCCAAUUCAACACCAUUAUCUUAUUCAUAUCAUUAUUGACAUGUUAUUCACUUGUUAUUGACUUCAUUUUCAUUCUUUUUUUAACAUAUACCUAAGCAAAAAUUAACAUGCAACUGAAGCACAACGAAGAGAUGCCAAAUCCAACAAAAUUUAUGGUACAAAUUGGGGAAAACCAUUACUCUAACCCUAAACUCAAAUUCCAUAAAUUACUCACCAAAUGCUGGUUAUUGCAAGGUGUCUGUGUGGGGUCUUUCUGUUUCUUUGCUCCACAAAUGGAACCUACCACUUCCAACGAAUACAGCUUUUCCCCUUCCCCUUCCACUGCUUCGCCUCUUCACUGAUUUGGAAUCCACACCUUUGCCCCUUCUACUCCAAAUAAAUACUUUCUCGGGGUCUGGAGAACGGAGUGGCGAAUCGUUGCCUUCAACUGUCGUUAGCCGUUGCCUUCAUUGGGUAUCUCAGACCUCUGUGUUUUAGAGAGAUGAGUUCUUUCUGUUCAAACUUCGAACUUGCCUCUUCUUCUUCUUUUUCGGACGUGUUUCCCUCUUCUUCUUCUUUUUGGACGUGCUGGAUAUUCAAUUCGGGUUUGGGUUCCUUACCUACCCAAUUGUGAAACUUUAACUCAAUUCUCCCCAGCCCUUGGAUUAAUCUGAUGGCUAUAAAGUGAACCCCUUAUAACUUACCCCUUAUAACUUUCCACUCAUUAUAGUCUUGGCCAGGUAUGGCGGCCAUGCUAGUAAGUGUUGGGUCUUUGACCCAACUUAAGCUAAAUGGGUCAUAAGAUGACCGAUCAUCUUAUCUCAUAAGGAUAUAUAAGUCAUGUUAUGAUUUAGGAUUUUAUAGGGUUUCCUUUGUAAGAGGUAAGAGAGAAACAAGCUCUCUCUCUCUCUACACAAGGAGGUCAGCCAUAGCAAGGGAAAGGCUCCUAGCACUCUCCUCUCUCUUAUUAUAUCAUCCUUCCAAGGACAGCUUUGGUAUGGUAAAGUUGGAGGUUGCACACUUUGUGCACUUUGGUAAGAACUCAUCCAAGGGAGCCAAGAUUAAAUUGGUUAGCUGUUGGAUUAAAUUGGUUAGCACGAUUCAACGGUUAAUAGAUAAAACUUCACAUAAAAGUCAUAUAUAAGGCCCUCACUAUAGAAUGACUCGUUAGUUUAGUCUCUUGUUACAUAUCAAAUGUUAGAGAUAUUUUUUAAUAAGGAUCUGCCAUACCACAUAGUUGGAUAAGACAUUAUACACGGCUUUUGUAAGAGCAUCUCCAGCGCUCCAAACUAGCCCAAGCAGCAGGGGGGCCUAAGUCUAGGAAGCAGCUCCAGCUCGCAAGAUUCAACCCAGGCAAGGUGUGGAACCCACGAGGAGAUCUAGCCCGUCACCUUGCCUUUGGGUUUCAGUCAAGCUGAUGUCAACGAAAGAAUUUCAAAUUUUUUUUACCGUUACAAUGUACGCGCCAACGAUAAAUUUUCUUUGGAUUUCUUGCAUUGAUCCACAGCUACCAAAAACCAACAGCUACAAGCCACGUGGCUUCUCCAGGAGCCUCCGAUCCAAAAAUCAUGUCAAAUCUAACGGCAGUCCAUUUUUUGGCUAAAAAUAUCAAAAAAUUAUGGAAACAUGUUCUAUAAAUUCCUACAAAUAUUAUUCACUUCCCACACCAAAUCUUCAUACAAAUUCAUAUCCUUUCAAUAUUUUUCACUUUCCAUACAAGAUUUUCUACUACUAAGUUUCGUUUGUGUAAAAAUACAAAUGACCUCUUCUAUCGAAGCCGGAGGCGCGUGUACAACCGUGGAAGAUAUUUUGUUGCGUGAGUGUUGGGUCAAAGUUGGUCAUUCCCUGAUCACGGGCAAUGAGAUGAAGUCCUCUCGUAGGAGUUUCUGACAUCGCAACGAAAGUAAGAUGUGAUAUGAAAAUGUAAGGAAUUUGAUGAGAGGAAUGGGAUUUGAGGAGUUUGAUGUAGGAAUUGAUGUAGGAAUUGAAUUUGGGAGGUAUGUAUAUAAGAUUUGAGGGUAUGUGUUUAGGGAUUUUGAUAAGAGGAUUUGAGGAAUUUAGAUUUGAAGGAUUUGGAUUUGGGGAAUUUAAAUAUGAGGAAUUUGAUUAGGGUUUGGGUUUGAAUAUGUGAAAUUUGAUAUGAGAGUUUAGAGACAACAGAUGAUCGAUUGCUCUGAUACCAUGCUAAAAUAUGAUAUGGUUUGAAUACUUUAGGUUGAGUUUUAUUCUUUUCCAUAAAAAGGUAUAUAUAGGAGUUUACAUGAGUGCUUUACAAAGAAAUAGAUACAAUAAUCAAUUAGGAUAAUAUCUCCUAAUUAUACAAUAAUUUGUCAACUAUAUAGAAUAGGAAAGUAAAUUCCUUAAUUAAUCAAGAAAAUAAAUCUCAUUGAUUAAUUAGGAGACUAACGUCAACAUUUAUAAGCCAUAAAAGAGCAGAAAAAGAGGUACUUAGGAGAUUUUAUACGUCGGACUAAGGUAAGCUUAAAGGACUAUAUCAAAAAAAUAAGGGACCAAGAAGCAAGACAGAGAAGUUGUUAUGCAAACCCAUUAAGUUUAGCAGUGAUGAAUUUGUAAAAAUCAUUCUAGUGGAUUCUGCCUUCACUAUUGAGUUCUUAUUGAGGUUCUAUCUGAAAGGAUCUGGACAUGAAGGAGACCGCUUAUUAAACAAACCGUGGAUGUUUACAGCCUGACAUGUGGUUGCUUGAAAAUCAGCUCCCAUUCUUUAUUCUUGAGGAUCUUUAUCACACAUACAUAAUAACCGACUCUUUUAGGAAUUAUUACAGUACUCAUGAUCAUGAGAGGCUUUCAAUAAUUAAUAUUUCUAAGAAUUUCUUCACAGCCGGAAUAUUGAAUUUGGAGGGGAAGGGAGACAAAUGGAACAGAAUAUCAUCUUCUUCUAGUGUUGGAAAUUUUAUAUUAUUUAAUAAUAUUUAAUUUCUAUUGUGAAUGAAAAAUAAGUUUCUUUAAGAAACGUGUGUCUUAGGCCAGUUUUUCUAACUGGUCGGCUUCCUUAGAUUUGUGCCUAUUGCUUUUCAAAGUAUAAUGAUGCAAUGGUUGUAUCUCGUUCAGGCAAAUGGAAGGUAUAUAGCAAUUUAUAGAACAAUACAGUAAUCCAGAAGAAAUAUUAUGAAAUGAAAAGAAUAAAAAGUAAAAAAAGAGAAAGAAAGGAAUUCCCACCUGCAAUGUAUAUGUAUGAAAGGAAGGACCAAGUUUGUUUUAAAAUGGUAAGAACAAGUUGAUUUUAAAUUGGGUUCAGAUCAACUCAUAGAUUUCUUGCCUUUUCUGUUCUCCUUCCUUGGACAUGAACUGUUUAAUCUUGGACUCUUCCCCAUCAUGUUGGGCCUGUCUUCUUCUUGAGGAUUGUAUAGGCCUAGGAAAUGCUUCGGGGUAGUUUUUGUGUUUUGGGCAUUGGGACCCAACUUCACAAAAAGAAAACAAAUUUGACCAAAACACAAAUUUGAAGGACAUUGAAAUUGUACCCGUAGGAUAGAUUAAAACACUAUAAGGGAGGUAAAUAGUACGUUUACAGAGUUUAAGUGUAAUAAAGGAAUAAAAACAUGCCCAGAGAAUUGAUAAGUGAUAUCAAUUCUUGAAUAUACGUGAAAAUUAUUUUAUGUGGUUAAACCCCACCUCUGGGGAAAAUCCACGGAACUUCUUAGUCCAACUUCUAUCACUUAUCCUAGACACAUUCUAGAUAAUGUUUGCCAACCUCUUCGUAACUCAACUUCUGUCACGAGAUGAUCUUUCAACACUUUAUGUCGAACGCAAUACUGGUCACGAUUUCUUCAAGCUCGCCGGAGUUCUUCCAAUUCUCCUUAUAUUGAAUCUGAUACUAGUCACGAUCGAUUCAAGCUCAUCGGAGAAAAAUCGCCACAACAAUCUUGGUGCCCUCAACCGUAUGAGUCACUGAACAUGCAAAUGAAUACAAUAUGAAUGAUAAAAGUGUUUGAUAAAUCACCAAGUUAUGGAACACUUGAUGAUUUAUCUCAAAUAAAAAUUCAGCUUUCCAAAGUUUAUGAAUUGAAAAUAUGACCGUUAAAGCUCUCUAAACAAAGAAGACGAAGGUCUUAUUUUAUAGACUUUUACUUUACAAGAAAGAAAACACGUUGAAAACCAAAUCUCCAAUUUCCAAGGCUUGACAGAAAAUCACAAAAUUAUCUUUCCUAUUCUAGAGAUUGGUCACAUGAAGUCCAACCAAUAGGAAAUGAGAUAUUUAAGAAAGGAAGAUUUUGAUCAAUAUCAAUAUCAAAUGAAUUCUUAUACGCCUAGUCAAUUGUUAUGGGUAUCUUGACUCCUUGAUAUUGUGAUAUGAUUGAAACAUGAUUUCCACGUUAGAAAAUUAAGGGGAUGUUAAAACAUGAAGGUAAUAGGAGAAUCAAAUUGAUUUGGGCCAAAAUUGCCUAAAAAGAAAACACUCCUUAAUAAACUUCAAUUUACUUUUAAAAAUAGUAAAACGUGAUUGAAUCGUUCUUUAAAACAAUUCCCUAAUAUACAUGCAUGAUAGUGAUAUCACUUACCUUUGAAUCAGAUGGCUUUCACGGGUCAAGCCACAAGUUUUUGUCUUGGGGAUUGCUGAGCUUCAUCAAUCCUGCCAAUGUCAAUUUUGCCCCUAAGCUCUCUCAAAGCACGUUUACAACCUAUGCUAACAUAUAUUAGAGUUUAUGUUAGUAUCAAGAAAAUGCCAACACUAAUUUCGUAACACGUAGAAAUUGUUAGAGAUUGAAGUUUUUAUCAUUUUUUCUUCCAGACUCUCCACCACUCACUAAUAUAGUUUACUCAUGUGAUGAGUUUACAAAACCUAUUUCUCUACUCUCACAAAGACUAUACUUAGGGGGGUGUAUUCAAUUAGGAUUCUAAAGCGUUUAAAAAGAUUUUGUUUAAGUGCCAGCUUUCAUAGAACUUGAUGGAACUUUAUAAUUCGUAUAGAACUUGAUAGACUUUCAGAAGACUUCUGUAUAAUUUUUUAAUAAAACUUUCUUAAGCUUUCAUAGAACUUGAUAGGCUUUCAUUCCAAACUUAUGUAGAUGGUAUAUUUCAUUUUAUCCCCAUCCUUGACAUUUAAAGAAAGAAACUUGAAUUUUUUCAAUCAAAUUUGUUUUUGUUACCAAAGCAGCAAAAACAAAAAGUACUUGUUUGCGAUGGAAGAACAUAUGCACAGUUCAAAAUGAAAAGAAUAAGAAGCAAAGUACCUAUUUGACCAAUGAAUGCUGUGUCAACUAGAGAAGCAAUUGGAUCGGCUGUCAAAGCCAAUGCUGCAGGCAAUGCAUCGAUGGUCCAAAUUGCAAUAAAAAAAUAUUUUGAAUAAUGGCUCUUGCAGACAAAGACCACAUAAAUUCUGAACUGGUCUAGCUUGAAUAAUAAGGUUAGAUUAGCCAAUUGAUGAGAUUAAAAGCAAAGCAAGUUGAUGAAUUUAUCAUCAACUAUUUAAUAACCACAGUCCUGAUCUCUUGGACCCCUGUAGUCCAAGAGAUUUAUGGUCACCCACCGUUGGAUGUAAAUUCAACGGUUGACUUGAAUCGGGUAAUAAUCAUUUAUGUCAUAUUGCAUUUAUAUAUAUCAUUUUGAACCAUUGGAUUAAUAUCCAACGGUGGGUGACCACAAUCUCUUGGACUCCUGUGGUCCAAGAGAUCGGGACUGUUAAUAACCAAUAGAGUAUUUAAACAUAAACAACAAUGUUUGAUCAACAAAACAAAUAGUCCAAAUAUCAUCCAAAAAACAAUAACAAAAAAUCAAUCAUUCCAAACAAACUAGUCAUUCUCAAAAACUCUCAAAAAACCCACUCAUUCCAAAUUGUAGGAUAUCCAAUUUGAGCACUCCUCAGGAGACAUUUUCAAAAAUGCAUCCUUUUUUGUGUUACUAUGCAACAAAGAGAGUGCUUUAUAACGAGCAUGUUCAUCCAAAUUUGGGGUCUCCUUAAUGGCAUCCCAUAUAUAACUCCGCUGCUCUCUCUCUUUUUCCCUUUUUGCCAAUAGGUUAUGGACCUCCCGGAAGUCGAUGACAAUUGAAUCAAUGCUAAGGCUAAUUCUUCCCAUAGCUUGCUGGGUGGUCACAUUUGAGAUAGCAUUCCCUUCCAAAUAUGUUCUAGUUCGUUUCCUCUAGUAACAAGCAUAAAUCCUAGUAACAAGCAUAAACCCUAACCCCAACCUAUAACCUAAUAACAAGAAGAAAACCCAACGAGGUAUUGAUCAAAGAAAAAUUAGGGAGCAUACCUUCACAGAUGGAGGAAGGAAGCUGUUCGUCUUCGCAGAGAGAAAAUCUAGGGAAAGAGAAAAACGUCUUAUGAAAUACUUGGGGGGGAGGUUGGAUUUAUUUUGGUCUUUUUUAUUUAUAACUCUCCCCUUAAAACCUACGUAAAUUUAUCACUUAAUGAAAUCCUUCCAAAUAUAUGACCUUUCGAAUACACCUAGAUUUGAUUCAACUUUUUUAUAAUCAUAAUUGAAUACACCCAUAUUUGAAUGGACUUUUUAAAAGUUCAUAUAGGUCCGAAAUGAAUAUACUCAAACUUGUAAAACCUCUUUUAAAGUUUGUAUAAAUCCAAAUUGAAUACACCUGGAUUUUUAAAAUCUUUUUAAACACUUUAUAAUCCUAAUUGAAUACACCCCCCUUAUUCUCAAAAGACUAUAUUACUUUACCUCUAUCUCUGUGAAAUGUAAAAAGUUGAAACUUUAAUGUCAAACCUCAACAAAAGAUGAACUUUCAUCAGUUACGUUGAAUUUGGAUUUGUUGAACUUAAGUGGUUUUAUUUUCUUUGUCAGUGUUUGAUGACUUAAUUUGGUAUUUAUUUCUUCUUUUUUUUCCUUGGAAAUGUGUUCCACCAACGUGAGGAAGAAAAAUAUGCACAAAUUAAUAUAUUUAAUAGAAGCCCAAGAUUUCGGAUGCAUAUAAUUUCUACAAAAAUCUACAAAGUUUUUUACUUUACAAACUUCUUAUGUCUACCAAUUUCUACUAAAAUUAAUUUCUCUGUGGUGCUCAAAUUCAUCAUAUGUGUGUCGUUAAUUUUAUUGAAAAUUGGAAGUUCCCAUCAUUUUUGUUUUUUGGGAAUUUUCUGAACCAAGGAAAAUCAAGUAAAAUUAAUAAAGCCUAAAUUGGAAAGGGAAAAUAUCUAGAGGAUGCAUUGUAGGAUUGCUCAUGCCAAUAAUUGUACCCUCUAAAUAUAUAGAGACAUAUUUUUUUUGUUUUCAUGACAUGUGGUCCUAAAAUUAUUGUGUAAAUCUUCAAUCCUGAACGAUGCACCUAAAACUCAUCCACCCAUUCUCAGGCCAAUUAUUGCACCUAGUGGGCUCUCGACCCCCUCUCAAAUUUAACCACAUAUUUUAUGGACCAUCCAGCUGUGAGGUACAUUCCCCCCACAUGCCACAAUUGUAUAUUCACAAUUACGUCUGAUACAUCACAUCAUGCCACUUGCCUCAAAUGAAUUUAAGUGAGUGAGGCAGUUGGAAGUAAUUAAGCUCUAUAUUGGUGGGUGGAGUGUUACUUCUCGGUUCCCCUCAUCAUUCGUCUAUAAAAUGGUGAAGGCAGUUGCUAUUGUUACCAUAAGAGCCAGCUCCGACUUCCUUUAAUUUCUUGCUUCAUAUCCACUAGCUACAUCUGUUACCAAGUUAAUUUCAGUUCUAAUGGGGUUUCAUCUCCCACUCAUCUUUGCUCUUCUCAGUGUAAGCUCUGCAAUUUGAUUAACUUUUCCAUUCUCUCUCAUUGUACUCUAUAUAAACGAAAGUUUUGUGUUCCUAUUGUUCUCUCCGAUUUUAUUUAGUACGUACUUAAGUGUCGUCCACUAAUUAAUUAUACUUUGUGAUUUGAUUUUAAUUUGAGUUUGAAUUAAUGUUGCAGCUAGCAGCAGUGGCACUGGCAAACCAUGCUGCUCAACCAGCACCUCAACUUUACUGGAGCUCCGUCCUGCCAAACACACAGAUGCCAAGAUCUAUCAGUGAACUUCUGCAUCCUGGUUUGUGUUGAGCUCUUUAGAAUCUUAGAUAUCUCUUCUACCUGCCAUUUUACUAAAAUAUGUUCCACCACAUAUUUAUCAGUUAACCAUUGUCAUUACAUGAGUGACACAUAUUCACAAAUCGGCUGAUCACUUAUUUUCCAUUAUGACUUGAUAUAUAAUUUGCAGACUCCACAAAUGAAGAAAAGAGCACAAAUGACGUUGGCAAACCUGAAACUUUCCCAUUGGGCAAUCAACAUUACUCCAGUCAAAAACAUUAUGGAGGCAUACCUGAAACUUCCCCAUUGGGCAAUAAACAUUACUCCAGUCAAAAACAUUAUGGAAGAGGCAAACCUGAAACUUUCCCAUUGGGCAAUCAGCAUUACUCCAGUCAAAGACAUUAUGGAAGAGGCAAACCUGAAACUUUCCCAUUGGGCAAUAAACAUUACUCCAGUCAAAAACAUUAUGGAAGAGGCAAACCUGAAACUUUCCCAUUGGGCAAUCAGCAUUACUCCAGUCAAAAAAAGUAUGGAAGAGGUGCUUCUCCAUCCGACAAUCAACAACUCCAUUAUAAAGACUUAGCUAUUUUCUUCUUGGAGAAGGACAUGCGCCCUGGCACAACAAUGAAGUUCCAAUUCCCUAUAAAUUCAAACACGGCUACUUUCUUGCCACGAGAAAGCGCUCAAUCGAUCCCCUUCUCCUCUAACAAACUGCCAGAAAUUUUCAACCAUUUUUCAGUGAAGCCAACAUCUGAGGAAGCCAAAACAAUUAAGCAAACAAUCGAAGAGUGUGAAGCUCCAGACCUUAAGGGAGAGGAAAUAUAUUGCGCCACAUCUUUAGAAUCAAUGGUUGAUUUUAGCACUUCGAAGCUUGGAACAAGAAACGUUGAAGCAAUCUCGACGGAGGUAUUGGAAAAAGGAGCCACCAUGUCCAUCCAAAACUAUACAACAAUGCCGGGACUGAAGAAGUUGGCAGGUGACAAAGUCGUUGUGUGUCAUAAGCAGAACUAUCCCUAUGCUGUGUUUUUCUGCCAUGCAAUAAAACAUACAGCAGCUUAUGCUCUCUCCCUGAAAGGCGAUGAUGGGGAGAAGGUUAAAGCAGUAACCAUCUGCCAUCUAGACACAUCAGAAUGGGACCCAGAGCAUAUGUCCUUCCAAAUCGUCAACGUUAAGCCCGGAACCAUUCCCAUCUGCCAUUUCAUUUCCACUGAUGCUAUUGCCUGGGUUCCGAACCACAAAUCUGCAUGAUCAUCACUUAGCACUAGUACUGUGCGUAUAAUAUGCCUGUAUAAUUAUCUCCCUACUUAUUUCUGCCUCUUCAUCAUGUGGUGUAAGAUAUAUGUUGAGAUGAAGUUUUUGGGAUUUGUGGUCGAAAUUAACCCGAUCAUGUUUUCUCUUGCAACCAUAUAGACUUCAACUUGUACUCAUAAUAAAGCAUGCUAUAUUUAUGAAGAGAUAUUAAUCUUCAGGCAAAUAGAUAUUAUGAAAACAUAUAUAGCAAUUUAUCCAGAAGAAACAUUAUGAAAUGAAAAGAAUAAAAAGUAGAAAAACAGAAGGAAAGGAAUUCGCACGUGCUAUGCUAUGUAUGAAAGGACCAAGAUUGUUUUCCCUUUGGUUAAUGACUAGAAAAGCUCACUUGCAGAGUGCUUUCUCCGACCAUAGAUGGAAGAGAAAUUUUCUCUUAAUAAUAGCACAAUGAUCGGGUAAUUGUAAGAACAAGUUGAUUUAAAAUUCCUUGACCCAAAAAAAAAAAAAAAGUUCUUUUCAAAUUCAGGUCAACCCAUAGAUUUCUUGCCUUCGUCUUCUUCAUCACGUUGGGCUUGUCUUCUUUUUGCGUUUUGGGCCUUGGAAGUUGGGACCCAACCCAACUUCACAAAAAGAAAACAGAUUUGCCAAAAAUCAAAUUUCAAGUCUCUCCUCCGAUCACUAAUACAGAUCAAAUUUUGGAUUUGAUGAACUAAAGUGGUUUUACUUUCUCUGUCAGUGUUUGAUGACUUAAUUUGUUAUUUACUUUUUUUUUUUUACUUGAUCUUUGUAGGGGCUUUUUUUUUUCCGGCAGCUUAAACGGGCUGGGCUGCCGUAAAGGGUAGAUUGAUGAAAUUGUCCCCUUUGUCUGAAUUCGAAAAUCAAGCCCCAAAAGCGCUUCGAAAGGGCAGUAGAGCCUUAGGAAGCGUUCUGGUUACCUUCACUAAUUAAAACAACAGCAACUUACAGAUGAUUUCUUGAGGCUUACAGAUAAAUUUUCUAGCUUGGCAUGACAUGGAAGCAAAAUCAGCAUGAGUUUAGCACCAAAGAGGAAAAUAUGGCUUCCUAGGGAGAAAUGAGAGUGUUUAAGGUGAGGAAGAAGAGGUUUGCAGGCUGAUUUGGCUGAGAAAAGAGAAAGAAAGAACAAUGUUCUUCCGGCAGCUUGACAAAGCUUCUGACAGAUGUGAAAGUCGUCCGCCAGAAGAGGAAAAUGGAGAAGAAGGAUGAAUAGUGCACGAAAUUGGUGGGUUCUUGCAGGUAAGAGAGAAAGCUUGCUCUCUGAAUCUGAGUUGGUUUUGGUUGGGUAGAAGAAGCCCCCUUUUAUAGCUGCGGGAAACCAUCUUUUUCCAAGAAACCCUAAUGGUUUCUAUCCUUUUUGGCCAAGCUUUUCCCUUCCUUUCUCUUCUCCUCCCUUGACUUUUCCUAUCUUGGUGAAAUUUCCUCUGCCUAUUUGCACAAAAUUAGAGAUUUUGAGGAGCUCAAGGCCCCUUUCCCGCAGCUGCCUUAGUGGAGAAUCCCCAUUUUCAGUCAUCUUUCUUCCUUCUUUUCUCCCAUCUUCCAAGGCUAGGUUUGAUGAGAGAAAGAAAUGGAUAUGCACACUGGUUUGAAGGGUGUUUUUCCUUGAAACUUGUUCUCUCCCAUGUGCUGGAGCUUCCCAGCAGCUUACACACAUAGAUAUUUUGGCUUUCAUCGUGGCUUUUGUUUUCAGCUAGGUGCUGGAGAUUUUGCAUAUAUUUUCUUGAGUUGCUUGGGCCUUCUAGGACAAUACGUUGGUUUAUCAAGUGAAUGGGCUAACUUCAUCAAUUGUUGGGCAAUUUUGGUUGAGUUAAUGGACUAUUUUGGUUCAAGUAAUGGACUAUUUUGGUUGAAAUAAUAGGCUAUUUUUCUCUCUUUGUGCUCACCCACAUAUUUGGGCCUAAAAAAUGGGCUUGAGUUUCGGGGCUCCCAAGCAACCCCGGGACUUCCAUUUCUCGGCCCAUCAAUGAGCCUCAUGUCAACUUAUUACCAUCCAUACCACAACCCACUCAAGCAAGCCUCAGGCAUCUUGCGUGGCUUGGGCCCACGUAAGCUCGUAGUGGCAAUGUUGCUUAUUUGCUUGACGUGGCAUGUGUGCAAGUGCAUAUGACGAACUUUCGCGUGCCCAAAUUGAGUUUCUUCUCGGUAGGGUAUCGCAUUGGGCCGAGAAUUUAAUUGGGUAGAACCGUGGAUUUUUUGGGCCUCAACAAUCUUAUAUAUAUUAGUUUUCUUUUUUUCCUUAAUAUUCACCACCUUUCUGUUGCAUAAGUAUUCCAGUCUUAGCGGGUUUCCAUCUACCACUCAUCUUUGCUCUUUUAAGUGCAAGCUUUUUUAUUUUUAUUUUUUUAUGCACAAGAUUAGAGGGGAGGGAGAUUUCUCAAUGUAAGCUUUGCAGUUUCAUAAUUAAUAUUUCCAAUAUCUCACUGUUAGUAAAAUAUGGAACGGGAAAAGUACGAAUAAAAUACACACAUGUUUUAUUUAGCAAAAUUUUGACAAGAUACAACUGAAAAGUUUGGCCACUAUAUAAUAUUUUGAUUUAAUUUUUUUUAUUUUUUUAAUAUAUAUUAUUUUUAUUCAAUAAUAUGUGAAAAAUAGGUGUACAAUAUAUGAAAUUUGUAUGUAUUAUUGAAAAAUUCGUAAAAAAAAAACAUGUUAUUAAAUGUGAAAAAUAUGUACGUAUAUGUAUAAAACAUGUAUUGUACAUUACUUUUUAACAAACUUGUAUUUUACCUAGUCUUUAAACCGUAUAUGGAAAACGGAAGUAUUAUUGAAAAAUACAUAUGUACGUAUAUGUAUAAAACAUGUAUUGUACAUUACUUUUUAACAAACUUGUAUUUUACCUAGUCUUUAAACCGUAUAUGGAAAACGGAAGUAUUAUUAAAAAAUACAUAUGUACGUGUAUAAUAUGAGUAUUAAACAAAAAAAUGUGCUAAGUACUUAUCUUUUAAUUUAAUAAUUCAUUUCAUUUUGUGAUCUCAUACGUAGUAAUGAGAGUUCAAAUUAAUGUUGCAGCUGACAAUGGUGGCUCUGGCAAGCCAUGCUUGAUGCAGGAGUAUAGGGGUGGAUCAAGAUAGAUAUUUACCAUGUAAUUAGUUAUUUCAUGAUAUAUUGUUAUUUUCUUAUUUAGGUAGUUUUAUGAUAUCUUUUAUUAUUUAUGUGGGAUUUUAUAAUUAAUUAGUUUACUUUUGGACCAAGUAGCCUUGGUGCUCAAGUCUUGUAAAGCUUAUAAAUAAGGCUAAUGUAAUAGUUGUAGGAAAAGAGAUGUCGAUGAUUAAUAAAAUCGUUUAUUUGUGGCAUGGAUUUGCUACGAUAUAUGUGAGUUUGCACUAGCCCUAGAUUUCGGUGCUCGUGUAUGUGGUUGGUGACCUGUGUCCGGAUCCCGAUCCCCAUCAAUGCUGUUCUCCCAGUACCUCAACUUUACUGGAACUCUUUCCUGCCAAACACAAAUGCCAAGAGCUAUCAGUCAACUUCUGCAUCCUGGUUUCUAUUAAGGGACUUUUCGUGAGCUUAUCAUCUACCCAAAUUUUACUCAUCCGACGUAAUUUUAAAAGUGAUUUGAUCCUUUGGCAAAGUAAUCUUGAACUACAAAAAAGGAGGGCACUCGAAUAGGCAUGCCAUUUGGUAUUACCCACCUCUAAUUUCUUUUAAAAUUUUAGUAAUUGAUUUUUAAGAUUAGAAAAUGGGAAAGUUCAAAACCGAAAAAGUUGUUUCAGUUUUGGCAAGUAUCGGAAAAGACUAAAAUUUUCCGACUUUAUUAUUACUAGAAACAAAGUCGAAGUAUUCACCAAUCAUGUGGCCUUCCAAGUGCUCAAGGUUAAGCCAGGAACCGUUCCUAUCAGCCAUUUCCUUCCCAAGUAUGAUCAUGUUGUCUGGGUUCCAACCCACAAAUCUACAUCAGUACCUGAACUAAUCAGUUCUACAUGAAUAUUCAUUCAUGGCAACCUUGGGCUAAGUAUUUGAAUUUAUGCUCAUAAAGCUUUAAUGCUUUUGAGGGCCAAUCGUUGUCUACAUAUGGUAUUGUAGCAUCUUUAGAUGGAAGAGGUCAGGGGUUCAAUUCUUGUUUUCCACUUCUUUAUUUGUUGGUUUAUCGAGUGUAGAGUGGAGUUGCACCUAUAUGUUCGUCUCUCACCCCAUCAUUUACCAUUGAUAUAUAUUUAAUAGAAGCCUAAGAUUUCGGAAGCACAUAAUUUCUACUUUACAAACUUCCUGUGUCUACCAAUUUCUACUAAAAUUAAUUUAUCUGCGGUGCUGAGAUUCAUCAUAAUUUUAAUAGAAAUUGGAAGUUUUCAUCAUUUUUGCUUUAAGUCUCUACUCCACUCACUAAUAAAGAUUACUCAUGUGAGUUUACAAAACAUUUUUUUUUUCUACUCUCUCCUGAAGACUACACUUCUUCUCAAAAAAUUAGAUCACUUCACAUCUUGUGUAUGUGAAAACUAAUGUAAAAAGUUGAAACUUUAUCGUAAAACCUCGACAAAAAUGAGCUCUACUACAAAAUGUUAAAUUUGGAUUCGUUGAUUUAAAUGGCAAUUUGACACUUGAUAGAAAUUUUUACAUACAUGUGUUAGUGUUUGAUCACUUCACAUGUCACUUACUAUAUUUAUUCCACUCAAGUUAGGUAAAUAUUAUUAUCAAACAUUUCAAUUAAUUUGUGAUUUUUUUAUUAUUUAAUCAAUUAUGAAUUAAUGGAUUCUUCUUGUUGUUUUGAAGACCAACAAAAAAAAAAAAAAGGGUAGUGAUGGCUUAUAAUUCUGGUAAAACAACAGUGACGUGGACAACAGAUGUUACGCUGUACUAAAGAUUUUUGAAGAUUCUUUAUUUGAGUUUCUUUCAAGAUAAAAACCAUAUUAUCCACAACCACAAGCACAUCCGGCAGACAAUCUUUGGCUAUUCAUCACAAUUGGGAGACAAUGAAGAAGACAGAAAAUGGAGUAAUUCAGAUGUUACCAGCCAUCCACGACAAACUGAAGUCUGCAAAGCAUUCGUAAUCUAAAAAGGAUGGGGAGGCUGCGCAAUACUUAGCCACGUGUAGGCCAGGAGGCUUUCCAAUUUUAAUAUAUAUAUAGAUUGAAAAAAUAAAAUAAAAAUCAAUCUAUUAUCAUAUAUAUUAUAAAAUAAAGAUUAUUGCUCCCAUGGGCGGUGCUAUGCACAGGACAGUGCCUGCCUAGUCCAAAUUUUUUUUAAAUAAAAAUAAAAAUCUACAUAUGUUAUAAGCUCAUCCAAAAAAAAAAAAAAAAAUAAAAGUGUUGUAAAUUAUAAGGUGGAGCCCACAUGUUGGAAGGCUUUGCCUACAAAAGGGUUCACACCCUCCCUUUGUAAUUAGACAUUGAGAAUACUAAGGAAGACAGAAAUGAAUAGAGAGAAAACAUUCCCUUCUCUCCAUCUCAAUUCCCUCUCCAAUUCCUCUAGAUUUAUAACACGUUAUCAGCAGCACGAAUCGCUUUCAAACAAUACCAGCUGAAUUUUAUGAUGAAACCCAGAUCUCUCAUCCAUCUCUGCUGCUCCACUACUUCAAAAUAAAUCCCACAGAAAAAGAAAAAGCCUCAAUGCUCUCUCUCUCUCUCUGUCUCGCUUGGGAGACUUGGACAAUUCCUCAUCCCCGUUACUGACAAUUUCAACAGCUUCAGGGGAAGCUAGUUUAUCUUCCUCUGCUCACGAAACCAUGACUCUUUCAGAGCCAAACAACAACACAAUAGACAACGCAUGGAGACCAGACUGGAGCUCGUCGGCUAAGGCACCGACGAUCCGACCCUACCCGUAUGGACCUUCCGGAUGUGGUUCCUGGGUCUUGUCUCAUGUGCCCUCCUCUCAUUUCUCAACCAAUUCUACAAGCAGCAGAGCUUCAAAUCAAACAGAUCAUGGCAUCGCUUUCACACCUCCCCAUCUUCCUCUUCCUCCUGUUCACCGCUUUCUAUUCUACAGCUUCGCAGUCCUUCAUCGGCGCAUCCAAAGGCGACAUACCGGCGCUCGCCUCAGAUCCGAACGCGGCGGCUCAGUGGGUGAACUCGAAUGUCCUCGCCUUCUACUCGGCCAGCAACAUCGACCUCAUCAACGUCGGCAACGAGGUCCUUUUUCUCCAACGACCAGGGCCUCAUCUCGCAGCUCCUCCCCGCCAUGCGAAAUGUCCAAUCUGCCCUCUCCGCCGCGUCCCUCGGCGGCAAGGUCCGUGUCUCCACGGUCCACUGCCUCGCCGGAUCGGGAUCCUUCCUUCAAGUGUUUCUCUGUCUUCGACUUGAAAAAGAAGGUCAUGGCAGGCCUAUGUAAAAAUUGCGAAAAGGAAGGCAAUCUUCAACCUUUUCUCCUGUCUCUCUCUUGAUCAAUUCAUGGAAGGCACAUUUGGGUCUUCCGGGGGCUCAUCAAAUGAGUCAGCAAUGUCAAAGGUGGAGGUGGUGGAGCAAGACUACGUGGGGAUGUCAUAUGAGGCAACCUCAUACCCAGCUGAGGCAGAGCUUGUGCUGGGCCUGGGCCUUGGCCUGAGCCUUCGUGGUGGUGGUGCAGGGAAGCAGCCAAAGCCAUGUGCAUGGGGUGAGCGUGGUAGAAUCUUGACUGCUAAAGUUAGGUGCUGAGUUACACUGUGUUCUCUGCUACUGACCCUAAGAGGAGUGCUAGAAACUUCCAUGUUCCGCCAUCAUUUCGCUUUCACUGUUACAAGGCACUGGAGUAUGUUUAAUUGAAAAGUGAGAUACACAGCAAGUUGAUCAGCCUAGUGGAAAGCAAAGGAUUAUUGCCAGGGAUAUGAACACCCACCGAAAUAAAGGGAUAAGUACUCUUUUUCCCUUCGACCAGUUUUUUUUUGUCCCACUGGGUUUUUACUGGCAAGGUUUUUCACGAAACAUAUUCCGUAUCAUUUGUGGUCUCUAAGAGGGAGUGUUGUAAAUUAUAAGGUGGAGCCCACAUGUUGGAAGGCUUUGCCUACAAAAGGGUUCACACCCUCCCUUUGUAAUUAGACAUUGAGAAUACUAAGGAAGACAGAAAUGAAUAGAGAGAAAACAUUCCCUUCUCUCCAUCUCAAUUCCCUCUCCAAUUCCUCUAGAUUUAUAACAAAAAGUAAAUUCUACACAUAUGUUGCCCAUCCAGGUGGUCCCAUAUCUUCUCUUUCCUUUUCUUUUGGCUAUUAGACUUCUUGUUUCUCUCUCUCUCUUUGCUACCCCACAUCAGCAAGUUUCUCCCUCUCUUUUUUUGGGAUCAAAUUCUUCUUCUAUUGACAAAAUCUUCUAUUAUAUUGGGUGGGCAACUUGGCAACAACAUCUUCUCCUCUCCUUUUGUCAACAGCAAGUAUUAUUCUCAUUCUCUCAUUUGCUAUAUAUCUUUAAUUAUAGUUUUAAUUUAAAAUUGAGUAUUCUAGGGUUUAAUUAGGGAUGAAUUAUAAUUUUGGGAUUUUGUUGAAAUUAAUUAGGGCUUCGAUUAGGGGUGAAUUAUUCUACUGCUUUGAUUUGGAAUUUUGUUAAAAUUGAGUAUUAUAGGUUUAAUUAUGGAUGAAUUACAAUUUUUGGUUUUGGUAUUGUUGAGAUGUUAUUAUGAGAAUUUGUUUGAUUUUUUGUUGGUAUAUUUGAUUAAAAUUCUUUCUACAUAUUAUUCAUAGGCUAUCUUUUAUUAUGUCGGAUCACAAUCGGAAUCCCAAGAAAACAAAAAAUUUGAAUAGUGUUGUUUUGUAUUGCAUUGCAUUUACUUUUGGUUUUAGUUUUGCUUUUAGUGUAAAUUACUCAAAUGGUCCUCAAAUUUGUACCCAAUUUACAUUUUGGUCCAUAAACUAAAUUAUUCAUUCAAAUGGUCCACCAACUCUUUAUUAAUCGGUGCUUUGGUCCUAUCGUUAUGUUUUCUAUUAAAUUUAGUCAUGUGAGCAGCACAUGCUACAUUUGUAUGGGUAAAUAAGACUUUUGACCAGUGGCGGAUCCACGUUGGGACAAGAGGGGUCGGACGACCCCUUGGAAGGCUGGAAAUUUGGCAAGGGAGUCCAUGAAAGCCCCCUUGGACAGCUGCUGGAAGCCCCCUUGUAUGCACACAAUGUGCUCGACGAAAUGCCCCAACGAAAUGUCCUGCGCAGCUGUGCUGCGCCUUGCGCGUAAUUUUUUUUUAAAACCAGCCUUGCCAAACGACGUCGUUUGGUCAAGGCUCAGUCAAAUUUUUUUUUAAUUAACCUGGCCUCAAAACGACGUCGUUUUGGGCCAGGUUUAAAAAAAAAAAAACAGAACAGUACACACGCACAGCAGCUCUGCACAGAUUCAUUUUCUCCAAACCUUUCAUUCCCAAUUCCACAGCCCCUCUUCCCAUCCUCUCAAACCCUAACCUCCCAACCUCCCAACCUUGGACAACCUCCAUCAACUCUUCACCGGUGGCCCAAUGCCGAUCACCACCACCUUCUACCGCCGUCCGCCGCCCAUUUUUUAAACUACAAGUAAGUAAGCAUGGAAAAUCUGAUAUUAAUAAUUAUAGUGAUAAUAUAUAUUGUUGAUAUUGAUAUUUUUUUUUUAUGUAAUGAAAUUUAUGGAUAUGAAUCAUAUUGAUUGAUUGAGUUUAUGCUUGAAAUUUAUGGAUAUGAAUCAUAUUGAUAUUUUUUUUUAUGUAAUUAAAUUUAUGGAUAUGAAUCAUAGUGAUAAUCAUAUUAAUGUAGAUUGAUUGAGUUUAUGCUUGAUUGAUAAUAUGAAUUGAUUGGGUAUAUUAAAUAUUGAUUGCUAUUUGAUAUGAUAAUUUGGUAUAUUGAAUAUUGAUUGAUAUGGGUUUAGGGAGUAUAUUGAAUAUUGAGAGUGGGUUAUUGAAAUUUUCAUAUUCAUAUGAUAAUUAGGAUAAAAAUUAAUGAUUGAUUGAAUUAAUUGAUUUGUAGAUUUAUGGAACGAUUCUUUAAAAGAAAAUUAUCUACGGAUAGUUCUUCUCUGUCUAAUCCGGGUAGUUCAAAUGCAAGACCAAUUGAAGUAGAUGAGAUCUUAGCUAAUCUUCAAGCAGACCCUGGACUAAGAACUCGAAUGGCGGAUUAUAGUCCUAAUAUUAGGGAUGAGAUCCGAAGAGCAUAUCUACAAAAGGGACCUUGUCAACCUAGAAGUUAUAAAUUCCCACAAACUAAUCAAUCAGGAAUUAAUAGACGCUUCAUUGCUCAUUGGUUUGAUGAUCAUGAUUGGUUGGAAUAUAGUAUUGCUAAAGAUGCUACGUUUUGUCUUCAUUGUUAUCUCUUCAAAUCUAAUUUUGAUCAAGUGGGUGGUGAUGCAUUCACUGGGGUAGGCUUCAAUAAUUGGAAGAAGGCGAAAGAAAGAUUUAACCUUCAUAUUGGACCGGUUGGUAGUGUUCACAACCAAGCUAGAGAAGUUGCUUACAAUUUGAUGCAUCAAACUACACACAUUGAAACAAUUGUGCUCAAGCAAACAAGCCAAGCUCGCACGGCUUAUCGCACUUGCUUGAAUGCAUCACUUAAGUGCACUAGGUAUUUGUUGCGGCAAGGGCUUUCUUUUCGUGGUCAUGAUGAAAGUGCACAAUCAAGUAAUAAAGGGAAUUAUUUAGAGCUCUUGCAAUUUCUUGCGGAUCAUGAUGAAAAAGUUAAGGCCGUUGUAUUGGAAAAUGCUCCGGGAAAUUUAAAGUUAAUAGCUCCUUCAAUUCAAAAAGAUCUUGUCAAUUCUUGUGCCAAAGAAACCAUUGAUCUUAUCUUGAGUGAUGUAAAAGAUAGAUAUUUUUCAAUAAUGGUGGAUGAAGCACGUGAUGUUUCAAUAAAGGAGCAAAUGGCAAUGGUGUUGCGUUAUGUGAAUGACAAAGGACAAAUAAUUGAAAGGUUUGUGGGGGUUCAACAUGUAACCGACACUACUUCAAGUGCACUAAAGGAAACAAUUGAUGAAUUCUUUUCUUCCGCGAAUUUGAGCUUUUCCAAGCUACGAGGACAAGGUUAUGAUGGAGCUAGCAAUAUGAGAGGUGAGUUCAAUGGCCUUAAGAGAAAGAUUUUGAGAGAACAACCUUGUGCAUUUUAUGUUCAUUGCUUUGCUCAUCAACUUCAACUAGCUCUUGUUGCGGUAGCAAAGAAAAACAUUGAUGUCAACUCUUUUUUCACAACGGCUAAUAGUUUGGUUAAUGUGGUUGGAGCAUCUUGUAAGCGUCGCGAUGCACUUAGAGCACAAUACCAAGAAGAGCUUGUGAGAGCUUUUGAAGAUGAUUGUCUUAUAACGGGGCGGGGCUUAAAUCAAGAAAGGACUCUCAAACGUGCCGGCAAUACACGAUGGAACUCACAUUAUGGUACGUUGAUUAGUAUCAUUUCUAUGUUCCCAUCUGUGGUGAAUGUGCUUCAAAUGAUUGUUGAUGAUAAUCUUAAUGAUAGUUCGGGUGAAGCCUAUAAGUUAAGGAGAGAAAUACAAUCUUUUGAGUUUGUGUUUCACUUAUUUGUAAUGAAAGCUAUAUUGGGAAUAACAAACACUUUGUCUCUAGCAUUGCAAAAGAAAGAUCAAGACAUUGUGAGUACAAUGAAUUUAGUGAAAACAUGCAAGGAAAACCUGCAGUUGAUGAGGGAUAAUGAGUUUGAAGAAUUGGUUGGGCAAGCAUCCUCGUUUUGUUACAAAUAUGAUAUUAUAGUUCCUACCAUGGAUGAGGAAUAUGUAAUUCCAGGGAGAUCAUGGCGUAAUGCUCCAAUGAAGACAAAUUAUCAUCGUUAUCGUGUGGAGAUCUUUAUUCAUGUAAUUGAUGGGCAACUUGCGGAAUUAAAUGAUCGCUUCAACGAGGUAAGUACUGAGUUACUUACUUGUUUGGCAUGCUUGAGUCCAAAAAAUAACUUUGUGACUUUUGACAAACGAAAGCUAGUUCGUCUUGCUCAAUUUUAUCCUUAUGAUUUUUCGGAUAGAGACUUAUUGAUGCUUGAAGAUCAACUUGGUGUUUAUGUUCAUCAUAUGCGUUCGAGUAGUGAUUUUUCUCAAUUGGAAGGGAUUAGUAGUCUUGCGGAAAAAAUGGUGGAGAAAGGAAUGCAUGAAAUAUUUCCUUUUGUAUUUGCUUCUUACAUUGGCUUUGGUUUUACCGGUUGCAACUGCAUCAGUGGAGAGGGCAUUUUCCGCUAUGAAUAUUAUUAAAAAUCCACUUCGCAACAGAAUGGGAGAUCAAUGGUUGAAUGAUAGCUUGCUUGUUUACAUUGAGAGAGAUGUUUUUGCUUGUAUUGAUAACGAAAUUAUAAUGCAAUGUUUUCAGAAUAUGAAAACUCGUCGUGGACAAUUGUAACUUGUAUUAUUGGUUUUGUUAUGAAUUAUGAAUGAAAGUACUAUCUUUCUAUCUUUUUAGCAUUAUUUUCUUUGUAGAAAAAUUUCAGAACUUUUACACUAAGCCCCCUUGGCUACAUAAUCCUGGAUCCGCCACUGCUUUUGACCACUUUAUCACCUAUGUAUCACCACUUUAUAACCUAUUUGGGGAACAUAGGUCAGUUAUGGACGGUUUUACCCUUACAUUUGACGGCAACAUUAACAUAAUGUAACAGUGGGAUCAAUGGAGUGAUUAAUAUAAAGUUGAUGGACCAUUUGAAUGAAUAAUUUAAUUGAGAGACCAAAAUGUAAAUCAAGUAUAAGUUUGAGGACCAUUUGAGUAAUUUACCCUUCGCUUUUAUAUUUGUUGAACUUUUAUUUAUGAUAGAUAUGCAUUUAAGGGUAAGACCCAUUAUGUUCCCCUGGCUAGGUGUAUCUUUUUAUGUUUAUUAAUGAAAUUCACUCGAACUGUUGAGUUUAGUAUGUAAGUUUUGCCUAACUGGCUUUUGAAUCCUAGAACCGCCACUGUUGCUCCAUCCUCCAUGCACUUGCAUGUGCUCUUACAAAGUGUGAAGUAGAUUUUGUGUGCUCCAAGUCAUUGACUAGAGCUGAAACAUGGUUAGCUAGAUUUAUAAGGACCCAUCUCUUUAUUUCCUAGACAUAUACCCAUCUCUCUAUAAAUCUAUAUGUAAAACCUAAUUUCAAACUUAAAUGACCAGUAGGAUAUAAAAGGUCAUAGUAUUCCUAUGUUUUUAUAUCGUUGCCACCAGACUUCUUAUUUUAUUUAUAAUUUAUUUCAAGCAUUUCAUUAACUGCCAUAAUUGUAAUUAAUACUCCAUAUUAAUAGCAUAUCAAUCACCCCAUUUCUUUUGGUUGCCAUUCCCUCUAACAUAUCGCCCCUUAAAUUUGAAAACCAAAAAAAAAAAAUGUAAAUUACAUAUCCAAUAAUGUACCUAUGAAAAAUAUAAAUAUAAAUAUAUACAUAUAAAAAUAUAGGUAUAUUAUUUACCAAAUAGAAAAUAUAAAAACCUAGGUCAGUUGCUUUGUAAUUGAAAUUUCUGUACAUUUUCCACAAAUUAAAAAUAGGUACAUAAUAAUUUAUAGAAAAUAUAUGUACAUUAUUUAUCCAUAGGUAAAAAUACCGAUAAAUGCACAUAGGUGAAUUAUUUACCAAUAUAUUAUUUUUUUGCUAAGGAUUUACCUUAGUUUUUAGUAGAUUAAUUUACCUACCUAGAGGCAUAGGUAGCUUAAAAAAAAUGUACCACCUUAGUUGGUUGCAUACUAAUUUACCUACCUAGAGGCAUAGGUUGCUAAGAAAAAAUGUAGGUAAAUUCAUGUACCUAAACACAUAGGGGUCAAAUAGAGAAUAACAUGUUAUUUCCCUUUGAACAAAUUAAUUUCAAACCAUAACAAUUAUUGAAUUUGGAAAUUGGUAUAAAUAAAAGGAAAUAAAUAAACUAUCAAUUUGAAAAUUAAAAUAAGAAAUGAUCAAGUAGUCAUAUUUGAAAAAAAAGGAAAGAAUAUAUUCUUGGUUUUUAUAGGAACAACGAGUAUAUUCAAACCAAACGGCGAUAACUACACCAAGCUUUAAUUACUUUUUUUUAAGGCCAAAAGUCACUUUUGGUCCCUGUAGUUCGGCAUUUCUACCACUUUUGAUGUUGUAGUUUCAAUUCCGUCAAUUUUGCCAUUGUAGUUUCGUAUUUGUAGCAAUUCAAGGACCUGUUAAUAUUAAUGUCAAUUUGUUUAAUGAUGCAAGAGGUAAUUUCGUCAUCCCAAAAUCCUUGAGCAUAAAAGAUUGUCUGAAAUUCUCCCCAUUUCAUAUUAGGGCUCGAAAUUCAACCACUAAUCCUAAUUUUUGAAGAACCCUAGACCCAAAUGACCAAUUUCAAGCCCUAAUAUGAAAUUACGGAAGUUUUAGAUGAGCUUUUAUGCUCAAGGAUUUUGAGUUGAAGAAACUGCCCCUUGCACUGUCAAAUAAAUUGACAGGAAUACUGACUUGUCCUUGAAUUGCUACAAAUACAAAACUACAGUGUCAAAAUUAACAGAAUUUAAACUAUAGGGUCAAAAGUAGUUGAAGUGUCAAACUAUAAGGACCAAAAGUGACUUUUAGCCUUUUUGUUUCAAUAAGGAAAAAACUGACCUAUUAAAUCCUUGGAAUCUAUACAAAAUUGAAACACAAUUAAUCAACAUUGAAUUGCAGCUAAUUUCUUAAACAAGGGUAUUAUAGGAAUUUAAAAAGUAUAACAUUUAAUCCAUUGAAUUUGAUUAGGAAACUUGAUGAAUUGAAUCCUAGUUAUAUAGUUUUUCUUAUAAAAAUCAGGUUUUAUUUAUAGACAAAUAAAACAAUGGGUUGUAGGUAAGAAAAUAUUAAUUUGAAGGGAAAGAGUCAAAUUUACUAAAUUAAUAAAGCAUAAAUUGGAAAGGGAAAAGAUCUAGAGGAUGCAUUGUAGGAUUGCUCAUGCCAAUAAUUGCACCCUCUCGAUAUUGAAAAACCUAUUGUUUAUUAUUAUCUUCAAUCCUGAAUGAUGCACCUAAAACCCAAGUGUCUCAGGCCAACCAUUGCGCUCAUACCACUUGUUGCAGUACACAUUCACCUGUUUUUAAAGAAAGAAAUUCUACCAAUCGAUAUUUUCUCAAAUUUAAUCACAUAGAUCUAUUAUGGUUAACCAUAUGUACUUUUAUCUGCCAUCCAGAGGUACCUUUUUCCAACGUGCAACAAUUGUAUUUGAUUCACAAUUAUGUCUGAUAUACAUCACAUCAUGCCACUUGCCUCAAAUGAAUUUAAUUGAGUGAGGCAAUGGGAAGUAAUUAAGCUCUAUAUUGGUGGGUGGAGUGUUACUUCUGGAACCCUCAUCAUUCGUCCAUACAGGGGAACAAUUCCCUUCCUUCUAUAAAAUGGGAGCAAUUCUCUCACUGUACUCUAUAUAAAGGAAUAAGUGUCGUCCACUAAUUAAUUACACUUUGUGAGAUUUGAUUUUAAUUAGAGUUCGAAUUAAUGUUGCAGCUAGCAGCGGUGGCACUGGCAAACCAUGCUGCUCAACCAGCACCUCCACUUUACUGGAAUUCCAUCCUGCCAAACACACAAAUGCCAAGAGCUAUCAGUGAACUUCUGCAUCCUGAUUUGUGUUGAAUAGAUAUAGUAUGUUACUGGAGUACGUAUGGCAACAUAUUCACAAAUGUGUCACGUAUUUUCCAUUAUGACGUUGAUAUAUAAUUGCAGACUCCACAAACGAAGAAAAGAGCACAAAUGUCAUGAAUGCUGUUGGGAAUGGAAAGCCAAUUGACCACAAGGGCAAACCUGAAAAUACUGUACUACCACAGCUUGCACGACGCCCAUUUUCUUACAAGAGUGAUGAUCGUCCCACUGACAAUCAACUCCAUUAUAAAAACGUAGCUAUUUUCUUCUUGGAGAAGGACAUGCGCCCUGGCACAACAAUGAGCUUCCAAUUCCCUAGAAAUUCAAACACGGCUACUUUCCUGCCACGAGAAAGAGCUCAAUCGAUCCCCUUCUCCUCUAACAAACUACCAGAAAUUUUCAACCAUUUUUCAGUGAAGCCAACAUCUGUGGAAGCCAAAACAAUUAAGCAAACAAUCGAAGAGUGUGAGGCUCCAGGCAUUAAGGGAGAGGAAAUAUAUUGCGCCACAUCUUUAGAAUCAAUGGUUGAUUUUAGCACUUCGAAGCUUCGAACAAGAAACGUUCAAGCAAUCUCGACGGAGGUAUUGGAAAAAGGUGCCACCAUGUCCAUGCACAAGCACACAACAAUGCCGGGACUGAAGAAGUUGGCAGGUGUCAAAGUCGUUUUGUGUCAUAAGCAGAACUAUCCCUAUGCUGUGUUUUACUGCCAUGUAAUAAAACCAACAGCAGCUUAUGUUCUCUCCCUGAAAGGCGAUGAUGGGGUGAAAGUUAAAGCAGUAGCCAUCUGCCAUCUAGACACAUCAGAAUGGAACCCAAAGCAUUUGGCCUUCCAAAUCCUCAAAGUUAAGCCCGGAACAAUUCCCAUCUGCCAUUUCCUUCCCACUGAUCAUAUUGUCUGGGUUCCGAACCACAAAUCUGCAUGAUCAUCACUUAGCACUGUACGUAUAAUAACCUUUACCCCUGUAUAAUUAUCUCCCUACUCUACUUAUUUCUGCCUCUUCAUGUGGUGUAAGAUAUAUGAUGAGAUGAAGUUUUUGGGAUUAGUGGUCGGGUUGCCUUAAAAACACAGAUUACAGAAACUGCUUGAACUUAACCCGAUCAUGUUUUCUCUUGUACUCGUAAAGCAUGCUGUUGUGGUUCUACUUAAUUUCGUCCUCCCCAAUGUUUGAGUGUUUAAUUGUUACGUUGGAAUAGGCUGCUAAUGCAUGUAGUUAGAGAAGCUUUCAUUUAUAUCAAAGUCCUCAAACUAUCAAGAAUUAAUGCAUCCAGAAACAUAUAUACCAAGACGCAAAACAACAUAUUUUCCAUGCUGUGUCGGUAACACCAAAGCAAACUUCCUUUAUCACAAAAGGACCAAAUUCCAAUACUAAUCUAAUCCAUCAUGUAAAGCAUACAAUCUACAACUGCCUCCCUAAAUUUGUCCAUUGGAUAUAUAUGUCACUUUUUGGUAAUUUGGUAUAGCAGCACCACGUAGUAUGCAUUUAACAGAAAAGUAAACAAAAUUGACAGUAGAACUAUUUGUCCUAACGAAACUGAAGUUGAAAGACCAUGAGAACGAUUUUGAAAAUUAAGGGACUCAAAUGAAAAUUGGGUCUAAGUUCAGGGACCAAUAAAACGAUUAACCCAUAGAUUUUGGAUCCAGUACCACAUCCCAAAGAGAAAACCACAAGUUUGCAAGCAAGUUUGUCCAUACUAACACUACGUACAGUAUGGGCAAUGUGCUAGACUCAUCUCACUUUCUCAACCUAUCCUAUACUUGUCUAAAAGAGUUUCUAAUUUAAUGUACUGAGAUUUACGAAAGAAAUAUCAGAGAAACAAUUUUCAGGCAAUAAAAAAAUGUCUUGGCAAGAAAAUGCACAAUUUGUUACAUAACUUAUUAAAUAUGAACAGUUGAAAGAAAAAAGAAUUUGGAUGAGGGAUUUGCAAAUUCCUAUGGCCCAAUUACCUUUUUUUCUUUGUUUUUUUUUGGUUCUUUUGAUCCAGUAGCAUAUUCCAAAGAAUGAAAACCACAGGCAUGCAAUGCAAGCUCUUUUCCCAUGUUUUCCUCUGUUUUUCUCCUAUCAUGGAAGUGAUUAAAACACACCUCUAAGCUUGUUUUGCGUUUGGUAGCCGAGUGUAAAAGCUCAAUGCAAGAUAGUUUGAGGUAGAAUUUUCUCCUGUUUUAUUAGGACAAUGAUGAGCUAUAUGUGACAACAAAUUGCUUUAAUAAUGAAAAUUAAAAAAGUGUGAUUCAUUGAAUAUUUGCGGGGUUUUGUUCAGAGCUGACAAAGUUCUAAGUCAACACAUCAAAUUCCUUUUUCCAACAAUCGUAUUUGAUUCACAAUUUUGUCUGAUAUACAUCACAUCAUGACACUUGCAUCAAAUGAAUUUAAUUGAGUGAGGCAAUGGGAAGUAAUUAAGCUCUAUAUUGGUGGGUGGAGUGUUACUUCUGGAAUCCUAAUCAUUCGUCCCUACAGGACUCUAGAACUCUCACACUUCUUACAAGGACUACUUAACUCUAUAGCUUAUUGCAUAUAGCAUAUAUAUGCAAACCCAAUUAGAAAUUCUACAACAGAAGCAAGAUCAAUCUCACUAUGCCUUCUAAACAAACAAACAAAUAAAACAAGCAUAUUAAUUGCUUUAAUCACUCUACUAACAUCAACACAGCACACUUAGUUUACUAACAGAUGAUAUAGAAAGGAAAAAAAAGGACCAAUAGGGAGAAAAUGGUGAACUAAGGAGAGACUAAUACUUCUGGUCCUUAGAAGGCAUAACAGAAAUAAUAGAGCACACUGCUUGAAUGCAAGUCAGUAUUAGGAGCAAAACAGCUGCAAUGAAAGAAAUAGUUGCCCAAGGUGUAUUGAAAUAAUGUUGCCUCAAAUUUGCCUUCCAUUUGUUCCAAGGCUUUCUGCAGUAGCUAUUAAGGCGCUCAGAAAGAGUAGCAAAGUAGAAGCUUUCACGAUACACUGCAAUUCCUUUUCCGAGGUUGUUAAUCAGAGUGCACACCUCAUUGUAGUCACCAAGCAUAUUUUUGACAAUCCCAUACUUCAGAAGGAACUCCACAUCCUUUUCGGUGUUCACAAACUCAUCCAUGAGUGAAACAUAAUCACUUAUGUAAUUCUUACGGCAAUGGCACUAUUCAAAGGCAAUGAGGUUAUGGAGUGUGAGCUCUGUGUAAUCGUUUAUUUUUAGUUUUGGAAUUUCUAGAAUCCCAUCGUUGAAUCGUGUUAACGCAGCUUUCCUUUCCUAGCCUACGCGGAAGUCAACUUCACAAUCUCCUCCUAGCAAUUAGCCUUUCCUACUGUAAAUCGGAUUGUAUUCAUGUCUAUAUUAUUUCCUACCUUAAAUAGAUAUCCUGUACUAGUAUACAUAGGGACUUUGUGUAAUCUGUUAAAUACAAGGAAAUAUAUACUCUACAUGGUAUCAACCUAACCUAGGGUUCUCUCUCUCCCCCUUAUUCGAUCCUCUUCUCCUUUAGGUCCACCUCAUGGCUUCGUUUGAAUCCACCAUCUCCCUCCCAAGCCCUAACUCUUCUCAUUUUAUCAAGCUUACUAACUCCAACUAUCUUCUUUGGCUCCGCCAACUCAAACCCUUUUAGUUGGCCAUGACCUCUGGAAAUUUAUCGAUGGCAUUCAUAAACAACCUUCUGCCCACACCUCCACCUCUACCACCACAACACCCACAACCACCACCACUCUUACCGAAAUCAAUCCUACCUAUGCUCAGUGGUACCAACAAGACCAACUCAUUGUUAGCUACAUCACCAGUACACUCUCUGAGUCCAUUUUCUCUCUCACUGUCGGUUGCAUCUCUGCCCGGGAUCUCUGGGAGUGUCUCCAAUGCCACUUCUCUUAAUCCAAUAUGGCCAGUGAAUCUGCUCUUCGUUUUCAACUCAUGGAUUUGCAAAAAGGCUCUCAACCCAUUGAUGCUUACCUUCGUCAUGCUAAGUCUCUUGCCGAUUCACUAGCUGCCAUCAAUUAACCUGUCUCCCCAAAAGAACUUGUCACUGCUGUGCUUCGGGGUUUAGGACCCGAUCACAAAAUGCUCAUCACAGCAAUUCUCAAUUUCUCUCCGCUUCCAGACUUUGCUGAUCUUCGUGCUCGUUUGUUAGCUUUUGAUGCACAGACUCCUCGAAUCUUUCCUGAUCAAAACACAACGCUAAUGGCCACCCAAUCUUCUCCUUACACCACCGGUCAUACUUCCUUCCCUUCUCACCGUGGUUGUGGCUCUUCCAGCAAUAGGCGCGGUGGCUGGUGCAGUAUUGGCCGUGGUGGCUGGCACAACUUCUCAUCUUCCUAGAGCAACCCGUGGAAUGGCUUCCAGCAGCCCUAAUGACCUAAUCAACUGUGGCCUCCUUUUGCUCUAAGUUUUGGAUCUCAAAGCAACUGGCCUUCCUUUCAACCUCUUUGGGCCCAAUCUGCCGCUUCUAGCAAACACUCUGCCCGACCCAACUCAGCUCCUGGUGUCUUGGGACCCGCUUGGUGCACCACAUGCAAUACCAAUCGACAUACUACUACAACAUGUCCUUAUUGCUACAAUGGCCCAGAAUUCUUCCUUUGCUGGGGCUCAAUUCAUGCAGCCACCUAACUCUACAUGGUACCCUGACACAAGUGCCACUCAUCAUAUGACUGGUAGUUCUUCUAAUCUCCAAAGGAAAUUAAAUGAAGGAGUCCUACGAAGGCUCAAGGCUCGAAAGCACACGAUCCGGCUCUGCUGCGGAGCUCACUCAACUACUGGCUGAGGGGGCGCAAAACAGAAAAUUGUGAGUGGACAAAAAUAAAAAUUCAGUUCAGUGUAAACCAACGUAAUAUAACCCCACCGUUUAGAAAACCAUGCAAGAAAUCCAAAUGCAUCUCAAAACCAUCAUAAUCAUCAAAUCAAAAUCAAAUACUGGAUGCCAAGUCCGAAAUCCAUAAAGAAAGCUUUACAAACCCACCAUCCAAAUCUUACAAUCCCACAACUAAACUCUCGAAAGCGUACCCAUUGGCAGUACCAGCAAGGAAGUAUCCUCACCGAGAAACAAGAACAAAAGAAUAGCUAUAUAUAUAAUUAUAUAAUAUAACCACACCUAGUUGUACCGGGAAAACAAUCCAACCGGGGGAUUGUUUGACUAGUCACCAUGGCAGAGUCAAAGUAAACAAAUUCCUCAAUUCACCAUGUGACUAGGGAACGAGCUGUCCAACUGGGGGACCAACUCUCAGCCAGCAUGUACCGUCGAUAGCCUCAAAACCCGUACGUCUGUGACCAGUCCUACGCGUGCAGACUACCCAAUCAAGGGUUUACAGCAACAUCCCAUCAAGGAUGCCCUAGGUUCCCACAAUUCCAAGUAUCUCAAGUUUGCGUAUCCAAGUUCCAAAUCCGGGGAGGUACAUAGGGUAGUGCUUAUAGCACUCCAAAUUGACAUUCUAUACUCAUCACUUUCCACAAUCUCAUCUCAACAACCUAAGUACCCCACACAUAGCCAAACAUAUAUAGAAAUUCUCAAAAUCCAUAUAUACAUACUCAAGAUACUCAAAUAUGUCAAAAUCCAAAAUAUAUUUCCAAUGCAUCAUAAAAAUAUCACUUUUAACAAUUGAAUAAAUAAUAUAUAUCCAAUAUACCAAUUAAAACAUCAUGCAUAAUAUUUCCCAUCAUAAAAUCAUGCAUAAGAUUUGAAAACAAAGUCCACUCACAAGUAGUCCCACACUGCUUGACCUUGAGAGGGUCCCGCCUACUGCGUAUGCGUGGUUGGAGUACCUAUUUCAGAAUACGUAUACGAGAUUAAUAAGAAGCGUUUCGAACGAGAACUUUGAAUUAAAUAUCCUAAUUUCCCAGGUUUCUAGUAAGUGUACUAGGAACGAGACGUUCUAAGGUUCCACUACCCAAUUCGAACCAUGGAAGAGCUUCGGGAGACACUCGGUCAACCGGCGGUCAAAUUCCCAAAUCGGGUCAACUGGCCCACGGGACCCACGACCUCCGUUUUUAAAAUCCGUAAGUUCCUAAAGGUUUCACAAUGUCUAAGAUACUACUAUCACAAGUUUGGUCCGAAACGGACUGUUAGAUCGCUUACGAUCGCACGAUCAGACGGUUAUUGUAAAACGUAAACUUUAAGUUAUUGAAUCAGAACAUCCGGGGCUCCGAUUCACGAUCCGCGAAUUCCUACACGAUCCUAGGAAGGUCUAGAGUAACAUAUAUUGGAAUGGAGUCGAUCCAAAGGUCCGAACAUAUCGAACCUAGACCGGAUAACUCCUAAUAUGUGAGAUUCGUUCGGGGUUCGAACAUCAACCAAAUUGGAAUCCUAAGGUACCUACGUGCUCGUGACAUUAAGGGGAUCAAUUGGGACAAAAAUGCCCCUCUGCUACAGUGCCCACGUGCCACCACACGCGGCGGUAGAGAGUGGGUGUCCAAAGCGAUUUCUCUUCGCCGGAAAAUCUCCAAAUUACAAGCCACUCUCCUGGCUACAGGUUCUACUCAACGAGUGGAACACUUUAUUCAACUACAGCCAAGUCCAAUUCGGACGGCAAGUGGCCGGAAACUCACGGUUUAACCCGGAACUUCAUGGCUUGGAUUGGGCGACCAUCGUCACCAUUGUCGUGGCACAACCUAGGAAAUAGCUAAAAGGAGAGGAGGGCUACCUAUUCCAAGCGAUGGCGCAGCUCGCGGUAGCCGAAAAUGUAGCCGAUGACGUUGGCAGUUUUGGCCGGUUUUUCACGUCGUUGCCAUCGCCGUUUGUCGAGUUUUCGAUUGGAGAAAAGGGGUGGGGUGAGUAGAGGAGGAAGAGAGGAAGCUUUUGCAAGAAAUGACACUUGUCAGGGAGGGGGGGGUUGGGGGAAGAGAGAGAGAGAGAGAGAGAGAGAGAGAGAAAAAAAAAAAAUUUCAGAUUUUCAUCCAAACCCUUUUCGAAAUAUUUACAAGUUUGCCACUAAACUACUUUUGGUUGCCAAAUCUUCGUUAUAACUCCGAUUCAAGCCUACCACGUGUCUACGGAUUCGUCUCAAUACAACCUACCCAAAAAUACCAGUCACUGCCCCAAACUCUUUUUGGGUAAGAAAAUGACCAAAAUACCCCUACCCCAAGGGUAAAUUCAUAAUUUCACUUCAAUAAUUUAAUAAAGAAUUAAAUUUGGAGUCGGGGUGUUACAUUAACUACCUGUUUAGUAGGUGUGGGGUUUUAUACAAAAAGCAUCGAUGUUAUUGGGAGUGGAACCACUUAUUAUAAGUUGUGAUUUAUUUAGUCAAGUUUCCUAUGUGGGAUUUUCUAUUCUUCAACAAGCCCCCUCAUGUGGGACCACCACAUAGUGGGCCACAUGUAAAGCUAAGUCCACAUCGGAGUCAAUCAUUCAAGCCCAAUACCUAAACACCACGUAUUGUGUGAGGGGUAGGGGUAAACAUUCAAGCCCAACAUGUGAACCACCAAAUAUUAAGUAAGGGUAAAGGCUCAAUUCAGGCCCAAUCAAUGAACCCAUUAUGAUAUCAUGUUAAAUUUCAGAUAGACGGGACUGUGGCCCACCACUAGCAACAUUGAUAUUGUCCCCAACUUAACUACAUGUUUAGUAGGUGUGGAGUUCUAUACAUAAGGUCUCGAUGUUUUUAGGAGUGGAACCACUUAUUAUAAGUUAUAAUUUAUUUAGUCAAGUUUCCAGUCAACCUGACUUUGAUACCAUGUUAAGAUUUUAAAGGGACGAACUCUUGGCACUAUUAGUAACAUCGACAUUGUCCCCAACUUAACCACCUGUUUAGCAAGUGUGGGGUUUUAUCCUAAAGGCCUCGAUCUUAUUAAGAGUUGAGUCAUUUAUUAUAUGGAACUUUCUAUUUUGUUAACUCUGUGUAUUCUUCAUCAAUGUGAACACCCCUAAACCAAUCAUACCUGAUACGAAUUGAAACACAAGUUUGUUUUUUGCCUUUGGUAGAUGAGUAGCUAGAAAAGCUCAAUGCACUUGCUCUUCUGCUACAUUUCAAUAUAAGAACAAGGUUUGGAAGUCAGGUCAACUCCUCAUAGCUUCCUUGCCUUUGCUUUGACAUGUCUAUGCACUUCUUGGGGAAGUUUGAAUAAUCCAUUGCAGGCCCCAUGACAACUAAGGAACCAACAUUUUGUAGAAGGUUUUGUCUAUACCUUUUGACUAUAAGUAAAAUCUUUUGUAUCUGCUCUUAUGUUUCGGUGAAGUUUCUAUGUGUCCUUUGUGCCGAGUUUCUAUGCGUCCUUUGUUGAACCAAAAAAUGAGGUUGUUUCUUACUAGAUUCAAAUACUUAAAAGAAAAAAAGAAAUUGUUGUUUCUUAAUGGAUUUUAUGAUGAACAAUAUCAAACUCUCCUCUUAUACGUCUGUUGGUAAAUUUUAACAACAAUAUUAAAACCUUGCAAGUGCACAAAUCAAAUGAUAGUAUAGUAAGCAAGCAAGGGUCGAUCCCACGGAGAUUGUGAUCUAAAGAGAUGUUUAUCAAUGUCACGCAAUGAAAAUCAAAACAAAGGACUUCCAAACACACGCCAACACCAAGGGGGGUUUUGAUUUGUUUUUGUGAAUCAAACAAAAUAAGGAAAAGGAAACAAAAGAGAAUUUAAAUUAGAGUUUAAGAGAAAUUGGUUUAAAAUCAAUCAAGAUCAAUAGCUAGGACUUACUAUCCACCUCCAAACAAUCAAUCAAUCCAUAAACAACAAUAGAUAAUCAAUUUCUAGUAAGCACACUACUACAAAAAAGCAAAAAGACGACGGUAAAUCACCGUCGUGUAUUCGGUUUUUCAAUGGUCGUGGAAUCCACCGUCAUCUUUUCCCUCAUAAACCACGACGCUAAAUCACCGUCGUUGUUACAAUAUACAACGUCAUCAACAAAUACAAAACGACGUCUUUGUACUGCAAAAAGAUCUAAAAAAGCAAUCGAUGAUGAGAAAAGACGACCAACUCUCUAAACAAACCGUCGUUAAAAAGAAAAAAUAUGACACAUAUUAACAGAACAUGGCCGCAAGAUAGACAUACAACGACGAAAAUUAAAAUAAGACGCCGUUAAAUAUCAUUUUCACGACAAUAAAAAAUAUGUCGUCUUUAAAUACAUUAGAAGACGACGUUAUUGAUACCUACUACGUCGCCUAUAUAAAAAUAACCGUCGUAAAAUAAAUUUUCCACUUCGAUUUUUCUAUAAAAGAUGACGUGGAAAUAGUUGUCAGUGUCAUUAUUUACGACGUAUGUAUUUAUAGAGUAGACGUUGAACAACGAAACAACGUCGGUUACAAAUAUAUGAGAGUCGUAUUACAAAAUUUAUACGUCCUAUUUUCAGAAACAAACAACGACGAUAAAUAUUAGACGUUGUUAAAUAAAACAACGUCGAAAACAAAUAAAAACAGACGUGUUUAGUCUGCUAAAGUUCUAAAAAAUAGUCGAGGAUGAGAAUAGACGACCAACUCAAACAAAUCACCGUCGUUAAAAAGGAAAAAUAUGACACAUAUUAAAAGAACAAGGCCGCAAGAUAGACAUACAACGACGACAACUAAAACACUACGCCGUCAAAUAUAAUUUUCACGACAAGAAAAAAUAUGACGUCUUUAAAUACAUGAGAAGACGACGUUAUUGAAAUAUACUACGUUUCUUAUUUACAAACAACCGUCGUGAAAUAAAUUUUCCACUUCGAUUUUUCUAAAAAAGAUGAUGUGGAAAUAGUUGUCAGUGUCAUUAUUUACGACGUAUGUAUUUAUAUAGUUGACGUUGAAAUGCGAAACAACGUCGGUGGCAUUUAUAUAGUCGACGUUGUAUUUAUAUGUAUUCAUUACUCACGACGCACUUAUUAAUAUAGACGACGUUGAACUUCUAAACAACGUCGGUUCCAAAUAAAUGAGAGCCGUAUUACAGAAAAUAUAGAUGGCGUUGAUUAUGAUGAGAGCCGUAUUACAAAUAACGUCGUUUAAUUGAUAUUAGACGGCGGUUAUAAUGAAUUACCGUCGGAAUUCAUUUCGUUCCUCUUCGUUUAUAAAAGAACUUGCGACGUGGAAAAUGUAUGAUGACGUCGUAUUUUUUAACGUUCAGAUUAUAUAUCUCGUUUUUUAGACGUCGGUAUUAUGGGAUUGGAGUCGUGUUAUUUUGAAUUACAUGGCGGUUCUUAAUCCUUCCCCGACGUGAUAUCCUGAAUAAUUGCUUCAUAAUAGCGUCGUGGUUCUUCAUUGUUACGUUGCUUUAAGACGUCGGUAAAUAUGCUGAAUAACUGGUUCACAAUAACGUCGUGUUUUAUUUGAACGUAGAAAGUGAAGAAAUCACAUUACAAUAUAUUACAAAAUUAAUGUCAUACACUGCCAAUUACAUAAGCAUCAUUCAAUCCAUAUAUCUUCACACCCAUCUCGAAUAUUUUGACCGCCUAACUCACCCACCAGUUCAUCAAAUGUGUCAACAUUUGGCAUCCCUCUAGUAAAUGGCUCACACUCAAUUAUCACAUCACCUAAGACUUCAUCACCAAUAACAUUAUUAUAUUCUCUAUUAGGCAUUGAUAACACUACCGACCAACCACGAUGCAUCGGGUCGUCAACAAAAAAUAUUUGUUUGACUUGAGAAGCCAAAACAAAUUGGUCAUUCCUAUGUCCAAUUUUACUCAAAUCUACAAGGGUAAAUCCAAGUUCGUCGACUACAAGACCAGAACUAUCUAUCCAAUCACACCUAAAGACUGGGAUUGUAAACUUUUGGUAGUCAAGGUCCCAAAUUUCUUGAAUGACACCAUAGAAACCCAUAUUUGAGAGAAUUGAGUUUUUAUCCUUGGCACUAGCAACUUGCAUGGUAUGUGCAAGUAAAUAAACUCCACUAUUUUGAGUUGUCCGCACAUCAUCUUGUGCCUUGAUAUUGAAUUUAAUACCUUUAAUAAGAUAGCUCCUAUAUAAUGGCACAGCCAUGUUUGGACCAGCUGCUAGCCACCUUAAAUUUUCUGAUACGCCAUGAUUGUCUUCCUCAAGUUCACUUUGAACCUGCAAAUUAAUCAUAUAUCUUAAUGCAAUCUAACAUAGAAAUAAGAAGAAAAUUAAAAGAGAAAUAUGUUAUUCAACAACAUAUACCUUGAAGCGUAGCCAUUGAAUGAAAGUGUUAUUGUGCUUAUCCUGCAGCCACUUUGUGAUUUAAGGUAUGACAAUCAUGUGAUUUAAGGCCAAGAAGUCUUGAAUCUUGUAAAGAUACAAGAUUUUUAAUAUUUGAAGAAUAACCUUCAGGGACCUUCAUACCAUAGAAAGAAUUGCAAACCUCUCUCUUCUCUGCUCUUGACAAAUUCCAAGGCCCAGGAGGCAAACGAGUACGUCUUUCUCCAUACUCGGGUUGCAAAUCAGUUUUGACCCCCAUGUUCAAUAAAUCUAAUCGAGCAGCAAUCCCAUCUUUAUUUUUUCCAGGGAUCUCCAGCAAUGUACCAAUGAUACUAUCGCAAACAUUCUUCUCAAUGUGCAUAACAUCUAGGGCAUGCCUCACAGGAAGGUAUUUCCAAUACUCGAGAUCAAAGAAUAUUGAUUUCUUCUUCCAACAAACUCUGUCACCAUUUUCAACCAUGUGCAGCACUUCUUCUCCGGUUAAUGGCUCGGGAGGUAUGCCAUAUUCAGGUUUCCCAUUAAAAGCUGCACGUUGCCUCCUAUAUGGAUGAUUGAUUGGUAACCAUUUUCUAUGCCCAAUGUAACAAAUUUUGUGGCCAUUUUCAACCUGUGACUAGGUGUAUCAUCGCCGCAUAUUGGACAAGCUUUAUAUCCUUUAACAACACAACCAGAUAAGUUUCCAUAGGCGGGGAAAUCAUUAAUUGUCCACAUUAAUGCAGCUCUGAGUGUAAAGUAUUCUCCAUUAUGUGCAUCAUACACUCCUCUAAUCCCAUCCCACAAAGAUUUUAAAUCAUCAAUCAAAGGCUCCAAGUAGACGUCUAUAUCAUUUUCGGGUUGUUUAGGACCGGAAAUCAAUAAGGUUAACAUCAUGAACUUUCGUUUCAUGCACAGCCAUGGAGGGAGAUUAUAUGUAACUAAGAUAACCGGCCAACAACUAUAUCUGCUACUUAGAGAACUGUGGGGAUUGAAUCCAUCAGAUGAAAGAGCCAAUCUCAAGUUUCUCGGCUCAUUACCAAACUCAGGCCAUUUAUCAUCAAGAAGUUUCCAAGACGGGGAAUCCGCCGGAUGAGACAUCUGACCGUCAAUUGAUUUUCUAGCAGCAUGCCAAGUCAAACUCUUAGCUGUCUCAUGUGAUUGAAACAUCCUUUUAAACCUUGGAAUUGGAGGAAAAUACCACACCACCUUCGCUGGCACAUCCUCUUUCAAGAUUGAAUCUUUGCCUUCCUUCCACCUUGAGAUACCACAAGUAGGACAAUUAGUUGAAUCCUCAUACUCCUUCCUAUACAAGAUGCAAUCAUUGGGGCAUGCGUGCAUUUUCUCAUAACUCAGCCCCAAUGCACACAAAGUCUUUUUUGCCUCAUACAUAGAGGUUGGUAUUGUAUUUCCUUCUGGAAGCAAAUCGCCUUGAAGUAUCAAUAAUUCUGUAAAACAGACAUCACUCAUCCCAUGUUUUGCCUUCAAAUUAUACAACUUCACUAAUGCCGAUAACUUCGUGUACUUUCUACAACCAGGGUACACUGGUUGAUCUCCAUCCCCAAUCACAUUGGCAAACUCAUACGGAUCGGAACCAAAAUCACCAAAAUCAUUAUCAUCCAUAUCAAUUUCUUCAGACACAAAACUGUACCUACUAUGGCCAUCAUCUUCUUCAACAUUUCUACUAGCAUUAGUAGUUGCUUCCCAAGGUUCUCCGUGAAAUGUCCAAUUCUUAUAGCUUUGGUCAAUUCCAUUAAAGUAUAAGUGAUCCCUUAUAAUUCCAACCCCAAACAACUUCAAAUUAACACAUUUAACACAUGGACAACGGAUAUGUGUUGUAGUUAGAAGAUUUUCUACAGCAAAGUUCAAAAAUGCUUCCACCCCAAACUCAUAUGCCUUCGAUCUUCUAUCCGAGUGCAUCCAUGACUUAUUCAUCUCCGACACUAUAACCUAUUAUCUAUAAUAAAGUGAAAAUACAGGCAAUGACCAUCACUAUAGCAGAUUAUACAAAGAUCUAAUAGCAAGUAAUACAUAACAGAGACGACGGGUUUUAAACAAAAACAGACGUAUUUGGCAUAUAUAGACGACGGAUUUUCAACAGACGUCGUCUAAUAUAAGUAAUACAAACGACGGUUUAUGAAAAAACCGUCGUGUAUAAGUAAUACAACGACGGUUUUUUCAUAAACCGUCGUGUAAUCGUCGUCGUAUGCCUAAAAAGGCGUCGUGUCUCAGUUUAUUUUCAAGAACCCAAAACCCAUUAAGAACACAACAUAUAUAUGAAACCAAGCAAGAAACCAACAUAUACAUGAAGCCAAGCAUGAAAACAAUAAAUCCAUUCCCAAUUCAACAUAACAUAGGGUGAUUAAAAGAUCCGACAAAAUUAAAACCAUUCCCAAUUCAACAUAACAGAUAAUGUAAUCCAUGAACCCAUUAAACAGAAAAUCCAUGAACCUAUACCUAUAAGCACAUUAUUAACAGAUCGCAAAGCAUAUACCUAAAACCCUUUAACAAAACAACCUAAUAUCAUUCAAUGAAUUUACAAAGGGAAGAUAGGGUUUGUACUUACAGGUUGGACGAGCUCACAGAUUCGACGAAGCCUGGAGAGUGCAACUUUUAAUUAGAGCAGAAGUGAGAGAGCGAAUGUUAUGUUGCGCGAAAUCUGAAAAUUUUAGGGUUCAGGGUUAGAAGUAUAAGAAUAAGAGCCAAAUAUAAAAAAAUUUAGGGCGCGCGAAAAUUUUUAGAGCGCGCGCUCUUUAAAACGUCGAAAGAAAAACCAUGGCGAAAGUUCUACAAGAACCGACGUAAAUGUAAUAUUCCACGACGAAAACACUUAACGUAACGCCGUUUAUUUUGACGUUCAUUUUUCGGAUUAAUUUUAAAUUUAUUUUGAAUAUUUUGAUAUAAAGACGACUGAAAAACCACGUCGAAGUUAAGAAAUUGAAAACGUUGUAAAUUAUAAUAGACGACUUACAUAUUAAAAUGACGUCGUUUAAAGUGGAAACCAUGUCGGAUAUUUUACUGCACGACGUAACAUAUGUAUUCCACGACUCAACCACCGUCGUUAACAAUUAAUACCCUAAACCCUUAAAACUAAAUUAUAUAAUUUUAAAAAUUAAGUUUAUAAAAGGGUUUAUGGUUUUACAGCCUAAUAUAUACCCUAUACUACCCAAAAAUUAUACUUUAAAAAUAAACCCCAAUAAAUAACAACCCUAAUCUCUAAACCCUAGACUCUAAACCCUAAACCAUAAAACUAGAAGUGAUUUUAUGACUCAUCAAAACAAUUUUGUUUUGGAUGGUCAUUUUAAAUUUUUUUUAUUCAAAAUGAAUUUUUUCAAGGUUUAGGGGGAAGAAAAUAUAUCAAUGACUUCAUAGGAGUUGACUUUUCAUUUUUCUGAUUUAUUUUAAAUUUAUUUUGAAUAUUUUGAUAUAAAAAUAAUAAAAUAUUCUUAUCACAAUAACAAACCACGUCGGUGUUAAUAAAUUUUAGACGUUGUAAAUUGUAAUAGACGACUAAGUUGUUAAAAUGACGUCGUUUAAAUGAGAAACCAUGGCGGAUAUUUAACUAUCCGACAUAAAAUAUAUAUUCCACGACUUAACCGCUGUCGUUACAAAGUACUACCCUGAACCCUUAAGAAAUUGAAGACGUUGUAAACCAUAAACGACUCAAUUGUUCAAAGAACGUCGUCUAAAUAUCCUUUUACGUCGGAUUUGGUUAAAACGAAACAACAAAAAACGACGGCUUUUGACUUUAUUACGUCGUUGGAAAAGUAUUACACGUCGGUUACGCAAUUUGUAUGUUUGUUUUUUUUUUUAAUUUAAGAAAACCUCAACAAAUUUUUACAUUAUAUAUUAUAGACAAAAUUUGUACAUUAUACAUAAAUAUCAAGUGUUCAAUAAUUCCCCUAUUCCAGGUGAAGGCAAACAAACUCUGACCAUUCAUUCCGGACUUCAUCAAUUGCUUCUUGGGGGUAUGGCGCUUCCUGUUUUCCCUUGGCAUACUGCAUAAACAAUGACUAUUAGGGUUUAUAAAUAAAAAGAAAUUCAAUCACAGACGACGAUAUUUUUCAUAACCGACGUACUAUAUCUAUUCAACGACGGUAAUUUUACAUGACCGUCGUUGAUAAUACAAAAAACGACGUAAAAUGUAUGAAGGUAAUUUCUUCUUACCUUCUUCUCAAACCCCAAGGAAGGAUCCAUGAUGAUGUCCCUCAUGAAGCGCAUCACAUAAUACCCGCAUUCGACAUUGCUGGGUUGCUUUGGUGUCCCUGACAGAGUUUUCCAAAUGGCUGCCUUACGGCCUGGUCUGGCUAUGUGAGAAUUAUAAAUUUUUAUAGCACUGUUCACAAUGUUUUUGGCCUCUUCAUCGACCACACGAUUUCCUGGCAGAGGAUCCAGAAAAUAGACGGUUUCUCUCUUUGCUCUUACAAUCAGCAAGAUCCAAUGACGGCUGCACAAAAUUAAUAUAAAAACGACGGUUAUUUACAAUAACGACGUAUUAUAAUGUUUCACACGACGAAAUAAAGUAGCAAUCGACGACAUUUUACAUUUAUCACGACGAUAAAUAACUACCGACGUGGUUAGUAGUUUCAAACGACUCAAUAAAAUAAAACACCGACGUGGUUAGUUUAUACGCUGUAAUUUAUUGAAAAUCAUAAAAACAAAAUCCUGUUAAGGAGACUAACCCUGGAUUGUAAGGCAUCAGGAAAAUCUGUUCACCGUCAGUCUUUUGAAGUCGAGCUGCUAGUAAGCGUGAUCUGUCAGCUAUUGUGCCAGAGUUGGCACUAACUGUAGCAAGGUCGAUAAAGCCAACCAUAUUGCACAUAUUUGCUCGUUUCAAAACAUCGUGCAAGUGCCUAAAUAUAUAAAAUAAUAUAAACAAGUCAGCACAAAAAAACACACGACGGUUAUGUAUAACAAAACGACGUAUUAUAAAAUUUCACACGACGUACUGAAAUAGACAACGACGUUAUAAUAUAUUUAUCACGACGGUAAAUACUAACGACGUGGUUAGUUAGUUAAGACGACGUAAUAAAUAAACCAACGACGUAUUAUUUUAGAAUGACAAACCUCAUAUAUACAAAAAAACACGACGGUUAUGUAUAACAAAACGACGUAUUAUAAAAUUUCACACGACAUACUGAAAUAGACAACGACGUUAUGAUAUACUAACGACGUGGUUAGUUGGUUAAGACGACGCAAUAAAUACACCAACGACGUAUUAUUUUAGAAUGACAAACCUCAUAUAUACAGCAAUGACAGUGGCUCCUAUUUCUUCCAUGCCUGCAAAUUGUGUAAUAUCUUCAGGCAGGAGGAAGGUAUCGCGCUCUAGACCAAACACCUCCUUAUCAAUUGUAAAGUGCAGGGUCUUAUCCUGAGGCACGAGUGUCGUUUCCACAUAACGACAAAGGGAGUUUAAAGAAGAUGGCGCCUCCAUAUUUGAAUAAUCAACAACUUUAAUAACCUGUUUAAAGAAAUAUAAAAAAUGACGUGGUAAUUCAAUAAAAACGACGGUUUAAGGAAUAAAACGUCGUCUGAAAAGAAUUUAAACGUCGUCUGAAGAAACCGUCGUGGUGAAUAAUUUAUUACGUCUUAAAAAAAAUUCCGCCGUCUAAGUUGUAAACAAACGACGGUUUAAAGAAAAAUAUCGACGUCUGGAAUUUUGAAAAACAAAUAAAAAAGGCAAAGUUAUGUGAACAUACCUGGUCGUCAUCUUCUUUCUCCUUUUCAUCAUGUUUUUCUUCUGUCUUCCCUUCAUCUAUUACGUCGAGAAUGACUAACUCCGUCGUCUAAAAACCACAAAGUUUUAAAAUAACGACGUUUAAUGGCGUGUAAAACAAGUAAACUAAAUACGACGUGGUAUUGAAAUACAAACGACGGUUUAUGUUUAAAAUCGUGGUGGUAUGUAUUUCAAACGACGGUUUUAUUAAUAAUAACGACAUCUAAUGGUUUUUAAAAAAACAGAGAAUUCAAAGUUCAGAUAUGUUACCUUUUCUUCCUGAUGUUUCCCAUUUUUGGCAGUAUCAUCCUCAAAAUGCUGGGAUCUCACAUCACCUCCAGAGCAGCUUGCUUUGUCAGACAUUGGAUUUUUGGGACUUUGGCUAAUUCUGGGUUUAAGCAUGCUUGGAUCAAAAUUGGGAAUUAAUUGGGAAAGCUGACUCAGGAAAUGCUCCCUCUCAGCCUCUACCAAUUGUUUCGUUCUAGCCUCCAUCCUUAAAGCCUCUUCCCUUGCCUUAGCUUCCAUCUUUUUAGUCUCUUCUUGAAGGAGAACUCUUAAACUGUCCUUCAAACGGUCGUCAAAGCUCACUCUCUGUGGUUUGGGUAAAUUGAAAUAUUGCCUUGGUGAGAUCCCAGCACCUACUCCUCUCACUCUGCCUGGAUGCUCGGGGCCCAAAGCCAUGGUCAGCACAUCAUUGCUGCCAGAAACAGUGACUUUGCCUUCCGAGACUUGUUUUUGCAAUUCAUCCUAAAACAAAGAUAUAUAAAAAAGUAAGAACAAAAACACACGACGGUUAUUUAUAUACAAACGACGUAUUAUAUAAUUUCACACGACGCAAUAACAUAUAAAUCGACGUUAUUAUAAUUUAUCACGACGGUAGUUUUUAAACCGACGUGGUUAGUUUUUAAAACGACGAAAUGAAUAAACCACCGACGUCUUAUGCUUUAUUUACAGAUAACAGAGGGAUGAUUCAAUAUUCACACCUUUAACGACCUUGUUUAAAAUAUUUCGACGUAGUAAUUCAAUACAAACGACGCGAAAAUGAACCACCGACAUCUUAUGCUAUAAUUACAGAAAACAGAGUAGUGAUUCCUGAUUUAGACCUUUAACGAUGUGGUAAUAUCAUUCACACGACGCAAAAUAUAACAUAAGACGUAAUAAGAAUUAUUCACAGUUUAAUAAAAAUUUAAAACAGAGUGAGUAGGCUUACAAUUAAUUUUGCUUUCUCUGCCACCUUUGGAUCCGGGAUGUUACCAUGUUUGUCCUGUCUAGCUCUCUUCCAUAAGGUAGAUCGAUCAAUUUCUACCCCAGGCAUGGUUUCCUCCAAUUGAUCCUCCAAACCAGCAUAUCCUUUUCGAGACAAUCGAUGAUUGUACUCAAGUUUCUCCCUAAUCUGUGCAUGUUGAGAAUGCACAGACUCAAAAUCUUUGGAUAACCUUGAAGCUACAAAGGCAUCCCAUUGUGCUUUCUCUAUGAAUUUAUAUAUUUCAGGGGGUUGGCUUAAUCUCUCCCUGUCAUUAGUGUAUGGAAGGAUAUAUUGCCUCGUUAGUGUAGACUUGAAAUCCUUCCAUUUCUUGGCAGCAGAAGCUAACACAGAGCUCUUGCCCCCUUGACCUACCACAAAAGCAAUGUCAACUGCUUCCCAAAUCUGCUCCUUUAUAUCCUUGGAGAUUUGAGCCUAUUUCAUGUCCACAAGUGGAACUCUGGAGCGUGCCAACACACCAAUGUAGGACUGCAUCUCACUAUGUGCUUGGCCAAUUCCUUUCCCCCUUUUAUUGUACUCAACAAUUGGCCUCAGUUUCUGAAGUUUUCUCUUCACAACAUGAGGCAUUGUGCUCAUACCUCGACCAGACUUUGAAUCAUCAGAGAUUGUUGUCGUGCUGGUUCGUUCUGUCUCAGCAGAUGAUGAAGCAAACUUCAUCUUCUUCGAAGGCUUCACUUGAGGAGGUACCAUUCCAAGGUCCUUACCUCCAUUUUUCUUGGAGCCAGAAUCCUUACUUUGGUCUUAGUGAGAAACCAUUUUUACAGACAAAACUGCAAGUGAAAAUAUUUCAGGAAAAGAUUAAGAACACAAACGACAGUUAUUAAUAAAAUACGACGUAUGAUAUGAUUUUAAACGACGCAAUGAAAUAAUCUCAGACGUAAUAAAUGUUUAAAACCAAGGUAAUUAAACAACGACGAAAUAAUUAACUAUAAACGACGUGAUAAUUAACUAUAAACGACGAAAUAUUUAUAUAACGUCGUGGUAUUGAUGUUCACACGACGUCAGUCGUAAUAUACCGUCGUCUAUAUAAGGAUCCAAAACCCUUCUUUCUUUCUCUGUGAAUGUUUGAUUGCAGAUUUGAUUUUUCUGAACCAUGGUUUUUGUUUUCUAAUUUGAUAAAAUACAAGGCCAAGAAAGAAAGUUUUGGAAUCUUAUAUAGACGACGGUAUUUUAAUAUGACGUCGUGGUAUUAACAUUCACACGACGUAAAACAAUAAGAUACUGUCGUCUAUAUUAGAUACCAACCCUACUUUCUUUUUCUUUAUAUUUUAUCAAAUUAGGGAAAAACAAAAACCAUUGUUCAGAGAAAUCAAACCUGCAAUUAAACAAGCAAAUAAAAAAAAGACUAUAAUUUUAAAAACAACUUUGUCAAUUUUCAGACGACGCUAGAACGACUGACGAACCGUCGUGGUCUACAUAUUUAACCACGUACAUAAGAAGCUACCGUCGUCUUAUUUAGUUGAGGUAGUUGUCUUCAAAGUUGGAAACUUUCCCUCUUUGUCUGUAUAUUUUAUUGAACUUGGAAAGAAGUAAAAUGAUUUUGGCCAGAAAAAAGGUAAAAAGAUUUUUCAAACAAAAAACGUAUGAGCAUGCAAAACAACAACCAAAAUAGUGAAAAUGAAAGCUUACCUUUUGCGUGCAAUGAAAGCAAGAGGAAGAUUAUGUUUAAGUUCAGAGACGACGAAGAAGAAGAGAGGAAGACGAUGAGAUACUCUGACAGUGCUCUGACAAGGAAAAAAGUCUAAAAGUUUUCUCUGGGAGAUUGAACUUUUUAAUCGGGUUUGAAAACGGCGCAUGUGUAUGUCAGGUAGACGAAAAGUUGCUUACAUAUAAAACCAUUUCAAAAAAAUAAUACGGCGGUUACAUAUAACUACGACGUAUAAAUUACAAAAUACGACGGUACAUUUAACUUCGGACGUGGUAAAUAAAUACGACAGUAGUGUUGUAGGUACCGUCGUAGUAAACUCAAAAAUUAAAGUACAUAAGUAAUAACUCGCGUCAUGGUAGAUUAUUUAACACGUCGUUUUUAUUAAUUUACCGACGUGGAUUUCUGUAAUAUACGUCGAUAAUACCGACGUUGAUUUUACAAUUUAAACGGCGGUUUUUUUGUAAGGACCGCCGUUGGUUUUAAAAAUUUAUUCUAUAAAUUUGUCGCUUUCAUUCAUUUUCGGUUUACAUUUAAGGUUCCAAGUUCUUCCUCUCUCAGUCUCUCACGUCUCAAAGACAAUAAUUUGGAUGUCUUUCUCAAAGAGAAAUUGAGCUUACUCGCAUCAAAUAUAUGUCCACAAGAAGAAGCUUGUCAACUAGCCUUCUCACUUCCUUGAUCAAGCCUGAUAGGACACUUAGUGCUUCUGAAUACUCCUUGCUUUCCAUCAAAAGAGAUGCAAGCCUGGCCUCCACUCGCUGUCGAAGGAAAGUUCGCUUCUCAGGGAAAUCUUCUUGAUUUUCUUGGCUAAGAAGAUCCGUCAGAUUUGUGAUAGCCUCUUCCUUUAUCCGUAGAGCUUCAGAAGAAGAAGAUGGGUUUCAAGAAUGCGAUAAAGAAUAGAAAUGGCUUCAGAUGGCCUCUAAAGCAUGAGCAAUCGAAUCAGUAGUUGUUGGGAGAUAUGAUGAAGACAUUGUCAAUGCUUUGAACUAUACAAGUCCUGCAGAAAGAUAAAGGACCAAACUGUUAAAGAAACUGAAACAAUGGCGGUUUUCUGUUCUACCGUCGUCUUUUCUCGUCGUCUAUAUUAAGGUAAGAUGGCGGUAGAUUUAUAAUUACCGACGUAGAUUAUUUUGUUAAACGUCGUUAAGUGUACUACAACCGACGUGGAUUUUAUUUUUAAAUUAUAAAUAGAGUUUUUUUUCCCCUAUUCUUUCAGUUUUAGUUUUCAAUUACAAAGCGUGAUAAAUAGAUUUUUCUUUCCCGAGGAAAUUUAAAAUGAGGGAAAUUAAUGUUCUAGAAUUUGUAAACUAACACGACGCAAUAUUUGCAAAUCUGUGUCAUCUGUUAAGAUUAUGAUGUGGAACAGAGUUCCAUCUGGUAAGAUUUCGUAACCCUUGGGAUCUCAGACAAAUCUGAUUAUGUCGGCGGUUUUCUAUAUAAAUCGUCGUGGUUAUUUCAAUUCUUGUCAUUAAGUAGAUCUACCGACGUAGGAUAAGAAAAUCAAAGAAAAAAAUUGUUAACAAAAAUUCUUAUUAAGACGACGGUUAAAAUUAAAGGUACGACGUAUAAAAUGAAUAAAUACGACGUUAAAUUUUAUUGUACGAUUUAAAGAUAACGUCGUAGAACUAUAAGAGAAUGACGUCGAUAUAUUUAUAUUUUCCGUCGUUGUACAUUAAUUUAAUACGGCGAUAUUUUGUAUUUUAAAGCCGUGGAUUUGUUUGUAAUUAUACGGCGUCUUAUACGAAAACCUCGUCGUGUUAUUUUAUGAGUAAAAACGGCAGUUUUUAUUGAAAUCGUCGUCUUUACUUUCUACGUCGGUCGAUUCAUAACUUCUGCCGUUCUUUGUUGGCAUUGAUUUUACACUGCGAAAAUCUGUUUCAAAUAGACGUCGGUUGUUUAAUUAUGUACGUUGUUGUUUUUGAACAGCCAUUUGAAUCUCCAUUUUUUAGUUGUCUAAGGUUGUAUUACACGACGGUGUUUUUAGAACCGUCGUCUUUUUAAAAACCACGACGGUUUUCACUUAGACCGUCGUUGUUUUCUGGUCGUCUUUUUCACUUUUUGUAGUAGUGGCAUAUGAUGACGACACUCACAACAAGAUCAUGGCAUUUGACUCGAGUUGUAUGAUUCUCUCUUAAGUGUAUGUAAAGUGUAUGACAUUUACAUCAAUACGUGUAUUCUUAAUUGAAAUCUACUAUGGCAUUUACUCAAAUUAACAAUCAAGAAUCCAUUAAGAUCAAAGAGAAUAUGAGUGUCACAAAAACCCUAAAACAUGGCAUUUGUUAUUAGGAAUUCAAGAAUCGAUUUCUCAUAACUAGUUCUUAACCCAAUUAUUCGUUGCAAAUAAGAACACAUUCAAUAUGGCAAUUGACCUAUGUUCUACAACAAUUUAAUUCCAAUACAUGCUUCUAAGUUAGCUACUCAAAGAAACAAAAUAUCAGAAUUCACAUAACAUAUAGAAACCGAAAACAUCACGCUUGUAGAAACUAAAAAUCCAUUAACCUUGUUUAUAAAAUUGAAAUCAUGUUUAGGGCUUCAAGAUUAAGCCCUAACUAACAAGAAAUUAGUUACUCAUGGUCUUGGAUGAACUCAAAAAUAAAUACAUAAGAACUGAAAAUUAAAGAAGGAAGGAAAAGAAAGAACUCGUUCGCAGCUUUCUCCUCUUGCGCUGUUGAUCUCUUUAGGACGUGAAUCCUUUUUAUCAGCCUUGCCUCGUCUUUUAUAUCACUUAUAUCAGAGUUCUAAACCCUAAAAUUGACUGAAAAGUCGUCCAAGAAGUCUUGGUAAACAAGGAAUCCAAAUAGGAAAGUAAAAAUCACAAUUCCUAACUCCACUGGGAAAUACAGCUCAGCCCAAUGUUCACACGAUUUUGGGAUCUUCGACCUUGUAGAAAAAUCAUUAAAAAUAUAUUUUAGAAAGAUAAAUGUCUUAUCUUUCCAACCAUAUAUAGCACGUAACUUGAAAAAUUCGGAAAGGCUUCCGUUUCUUCACAUUCACGUAGCAUGUACGAAACUGUCCUGUCUGCACGUGGGCUAACUUUACUUGUAAUACUGUACCAAUUGGCUCGGUAGAAAAUUCUAGAAAAAUCAUAGAUUGAACUUCAAGAUGUUAGCUUUCAUCUCCAAUCAGGGGCGGCCUUGGGGAGGUGCAAGUGGCGCCACCGCACAGGGCCCCCGAAAAAAAAAAUAUUUAUAUUAUAUAUAUAUAUUAAUAUUAUAUGAAUCGUAUAUAUAAUAUAGCGUCUGGAUAUUUGCACAACAGCGUGUUCAGGGGAGUUGGAUGGAGCACAUCUCUCUUUGGCAAAAGGGCCCGAGUUCGAUGCUCCUUGAUGUCGUUCUACUGGCUAGCCUUUUGUGAUAUUAUUUUUGCAUUCAAACUUUACAUAAUUAUUGAACCAUUGGAUUAAUAUGCAACGAUGGGUGACCACAAUCUCUUGGACUCCUGUGGUCCAUGAGAUCGGGACUGAUAUUACAUGACUUAUUUUAUUAAAUUAUUAUCAUGUUGAUGAUUGGUUGUAUGAGAAUAUAGUUUGUAGAAAUAUUUAUCUAUUUCUUGUUGGGGUUUUCUUCCAGGUUAUAGGGUUUUGGAAUUUUUCUUUGUAAUCUAAACAUGCCACCUACUAGAAAAUACGUUUAUGGAUAUACAAAACGGCUUAGAAAAAGAAAAUUCGAGGAAUUGACUCAAUCUCAAAGAGGAGCUCUUGAUAGAUUCAUUGUUAGAGAAUCACAUGCUACAAUUGAUGAAAAUAUUUAAAUUUUUAUGAAUUUAAUUUCUGAUUUUCAUUGCAUAUUUAUUGAUGGUGAAUUUUAGUUAUAAAAAAAAAUUGUUUAUGACAUUAAGUUAUGGCAAAUUUUUAUAGUAUUUUCGUAUUAGAUUAUGCAAGGCCCCAAUUUAAGUUUCGCACAGGGCCCUCAAAAUCUCAGGGACGGCCCUGUCUCCAAUUGGUCUUGUGCUAAAAUUCCUCCGAAAAGUUGAUUUUCCCUUAAAAACCUUCUAAGAGUGCAGAAAAGCUGAAAAUCAGAAAAAUAAAGUAAUAAGCCAUUUUUAAAUCUAAUUCUCUUACAAAACCAAAGUAAAAAGAGUACAUAAAUGAGUAUAUUUAUGGACUUAUCAACGUCUUCUUCGUUGGACUUGGGGUUGUUUUCCUUAUAUGUCCCCUAUAUAUAUAUAUGGCCUUUAGUUGAGCCCACAAAUACCUUCAGUUAGUUUUUGGGUUUAGGGGCCUACAGAACCUGCACUAAACAAUAAAAGAAAAUACCUAAUUAGUUUAGUACGAAUUUAUAAUGAAGGCUUUAUUAGGUGAAGUUUUAUUUCUUAAUCGUUAGAUCAAAUUGGUUAGCAUCUGAAGUCGCCCAAAGAUUUGAGAGGGAUUCCACAAACAUAUAAUAUAAAGAAAGAAAGCAAUAGUAGGAGAUGAACCAGUACAAAAAACAAUAUAUAAAUAGUACAUAAUAAUUCCAUAACCUUGUCACAAACGCACUCACAAAUGCUUUCCAUAAACCUUGCCCUAACAUAUAACAAAUAAAGGCAACAUUGCAUAUGAUGCAACCAUGUCCAAAUCUGAUACGUGAUAAAAAAAAAAGGACAUGGCAGCAACAUAUGACUGAAGUAGAUGGGCUCUUUGCAUCUCGUGUUAUCGUAAUUAAAGACAUCAAAAUAUUAAGGUUGAAAUCUUCUAUAGUAGCAAGCAUUAAAAUAGGUUUGAAGCAGAGUUUAAAGAAAAUUCCAAUUCCACUGAUUUGCCUCUGCUCAAAGACGAGAACCAAAAUGGUUACUUCCCUUGCUGAGUAUAUUUGUUAACGUCGGAAACGGUAAUAGAUGACCAAUCAAACCCAAGUACGACGAGUUUUGCAUAGGAUCAGAAGUAGUUGAAUCCAGCUUGCAUCACACGCUUCUUUGACUCCAUUGCAUUAGAUGAGUUUUUGUAUUUUUGAACAGCUACACUCCGAAGUCGUUUGUGUCUACGCUUCAUGCGCUGCAACUUCGCCCUAUCCAGAUUGGCCUGCCUUUUGUCAUCUUCAAUUUGGCCUUCAACAAAUUCCAAACGUGCCCUUGCCCUUUGGAUUUCAUCACCAAGUUGAAGAUGCCUCUCCUUCCAAAAAGCAAGAACUCUUUCAGACUCAAAACUUCCAACAAAAUGGUCAUUCUAUCUAGGAAUGUGACAUUGCUUGUCUGGUGACUCACCUGCGUUUCAAAGGCGGUCUUUGUUUGGAGGGGUGUUUAUUAUGCUCACAUCAAACUUGGUUAGUAAAUCCAUUCUAUGGGGGGAGUGAGUUUCUGUGGAGGAGAGAGUUUCAGUAGAUGGAGACAGAUUCGGUGGAGGAGUGAGAUUUUUGUGGAGGGAGAAUUUCUAUGAAAUGGGUGAUAGUAAUACCAAUAAAAGGGUUCCCGCCAAAAAGUAUUUGGUUGACAAUGUAUAAAUUAAUUUUUGGUCUGAUACAAUCUAAGUUUAAUCCUAACUAGUUUGGUUAGUUUGGUUGAAUUCACUAACUAGAUGUCACUUCCAUUGAGUUUCUUUCAACCACUAUCAGUGGUGUAAGGAGAGUGUGAGGUUGACAUGCUUGAAAAGCAAAACCUAACACCUCUUUUUUUUAAAAUUGAAAGAAAGUACAUAUGUUGACUACACACAAGCUUUGGUAUGUUGGUCUAUAAAGCUAUGUUCCCUUUCUCAAACGAAAUUGCAUAUGCAAUCCUCGUCCUCCCAAAACAAAUAGAAUUAUUCAAGCAUGUCAACCUCUUCAGGCGCCAACAACACAAUCAAAGAUGACAAAUUGGAGUCGCAGGUUCUAUUUCCACAUUGUACUCGCCGACCCCUUCCAUUUUCAACAUCAUUUGGGAGUGAGGGGGACUCCGAUGAUCCAUUAGAGCUAAUACAUGCAGUCAAUAGCAAGCUGGAUUAUAAUUCCAGACUGAUCAAUUCAUGGCGCGAGAAAUAUGUUGAAGACGAAGCCAUUUUGGCUGAUCUUAACAUUAGAGUGAACAAAGCGUUCUCCCAAAAGAACAAGUACUUGAAGCUGAGUCAUAAAAGGAAGCUGAAAGCUGAGGAGUUAGAUACAGUAAUGAAUGAUGAAAUUAAAGGUUGUUUGAUGAAUCAUAUGCGAUGCGAAGAGCACCACAGUGAACUGGAGUUGGCAUUCAACGAAGGAUUCGAAAAAUUACGAGCAUUUGCAGCAACUACUCAUACAAGUUAUAAUUGGGACUAUGUGUCCCCUGAUGUUGUGAGAGAGAUACUAGACGAUGGUGGUGACAUGAAUGAGCAUAAGCACGUCAAAGCUGCUUGGAAGAAGCCGACCGAUACGACUAAGUGAUUGCGGCUACAGUUGUUCAGUUGGUUGAGAGUGAUCGUGGUAUUGCACAAAUUAGAAGUAUAUUCCCAUAAUGUCAUUAUCUAAUUUAAAAUAACACAAAUAUCAGUUUCAUUUGCUUCAUAUUGUAACACCCCGACCCCAAAUUUCCCCAAAAUUUACCCUCAUUUAAUUAAUUAAUUAUUUAAGGGUAUUUUAGUCAUAUUUUUAACCGGAGAGAGUUUGGGACCAUGACUUGUAUUUUUGGAUAGGUCGUACUGAGACGAGUUCAUAGACACGUAGUGGGCUCGAAUCAGAGUUGUAACGAGAGAGAUAUGGUCAAAAGAAACCCAGUGGCACAAUCGUAAAUAUUUCAAAAUGGGAUUUUUAUAAAAAUCUGGUUUUUCUCUCUCUCUCUCUCUCUCUCUCUCUCUCUCCCGCGACUUCUCUCUCUCUCCCGUCGGCUCUCUCUCUUUCUCUCCUUGUAUCUCCGGCCACCGACCACGGCUGUGGGCGGGGCCGGUACCAAACUGACCGGGACGACGUCCCCUUCCUUCCCCGACCAUUCCCCGCCGGCAACGCGGCCGUUGCUGGCCGGAAAAUGCAGAAAACCGCCGGGAGGUCGUCGAAACUUCAACGCCGUCGAUCUCCCUCCUCCGGCCACCAUUUUCGUCGACCCAGGUAUGGAUCUUGAACCUCUCGAGCUGUUCUAGCUGUUUGUUGGUUGGGUUUUGAUCGAUUCGAUCUCUAGAUCACUCGAUUUUCGAAUUGAAAAUUGGCCGAAACUUCGGCCGCCGUGAUCGGCCAUUUUCGGCCACUUUUUGUGGUAGGUCCAAGAACAAAAGUGGCUCCAAAUAGGGUGUUAUACCUAGGGUAGAAGUUUGGAGCCGAGAUGUUGAGAUUUUCCGGCGAAGCGUUAUCGCUUUGGGCACCCACGCGUGCGGCGGCGCGUGGGCACUGUAGAAAAAGUAGAUGUGUUCCGAUGAGAUCCUUAGGUUGUCACGAGUGCGUAGGAUUUGGCGGAUCUCAAUUCGGACGUCGUUUGACUAUCGAACGGAUAAUCGCAUAUUAUGCGUUAUCCGGGUUCGAUAGGUUGAGACCGUCGGAUGGUCCCAAAUUUAAUAUAUGUUGAUCUAGGUAUUUCUAGGAUCGUGUAGGAUUUCACGGAUCGUGAAUCGGAGCCCCGGAUGUUCCGAAUAAUAAUUUAAAGUUUAUAUUUUAUAUUAACCAUCAGAUUAUGCGAUCGUGAGAAAUCCGACCGUCUGAUCUGAACCAAACUGGCAGGAAAAGUGUCCUGUACCUGGUAGAACCCAUAGGGACCUUCGGAUCGGAAAUUGGAGGUCGUGGGUUCCGCAAGUCUGUUUGACCAGGGUUAGAGUAGUUUGACCCUUGGUUGACCGUGAGUCUCCCGGAGUAAUCUCACCCUUCCAGGGGGAAUUAUCGGGAGCUAGACUAUUGUGGAGGGUUACACAAUAUUAGAAUUAUUUAUAUAAUUAUAUAUGGUUGUACAAGGGUACAACAAAGUCUAGAAUGUCAGUUUGGAGUGCUAUACGCACUACUUUAGGUACCUCCUCGGAUUUUGGAUUCGCUACAAGCACCACCAAGUGAAAGUUAGGUCCCGCGUGGCGUAGGUUAUCCGGCGUUGGGACAGACCCCAUACGUGGCGUUGGUUGUACCGGCGUAUGGGGAGAUUUGCAAUAUGAUGUUCAGGUCUCACGUGGCGUAGGUUAUCCGGCGUUGAGACAGGCCCCGUACGUGGCGUUGGUUGUACCAGCGUACGGGGAGAUUAUGUGAUAUGAUGUUGAGGUCCCGCGUGGCGUAGGUUAUCCGGCGUUGGGACAGGCCCCAUACGUGGCGUUGGUUGUACCGGCGUAUGGGGAGUUAUAUGAUAUGAUAGUAUGGCAUGGUCGCACAUGGCGUAGGUUAUCCGGCGUGUUGACAGGCCCCAUACGUGGCGUUGGUUGUAUCGGCGUAUGGGGAGAAUAUGUGAAAUGCAGAGAAAGGAAAUAAGGUAUCACCGAUGUGUGGAAUUGGGUUUUAGGGAAGAACUACGUGUGGCUUGAUCCCUCAAGGAGGGUACGUAGGCAGCCUAAGGUUAUUGGGUGCAGCCGCAGACUAAAUAUUAGUCAUAUUUGGUAUUUGAAUUGUAUGGUAGUUGUUUGAGAAUUAUUGGAAGGCCAAAGGCCAUUUAUGAGAAUUUGCAUGAAAUUAUAUUGUGCAUGCUGCUAGUUGUGGAUAUUAAAUGUGUUUUUAUGCAGGUUGAAAUUUUGGGAAAUGUCCAAUUUAUAGGGGAGACUCUGCUGAAAUUUCGGCAGGAAGUCUCGGUUUUUAGUAAGUGGGCCUGGCAUCGGGGUGAUGUCAGGAAUUCCAAAGGGUUCGUCUCGGGUUUUGAGAAAAUUCGGGGCGGGUCCUUAAACAUAUAUAAUUAUUGGGACUAUGUAUUGCAAGUCAUCAUGUGUUCCUUCUGUCUAACAUUAUAUUUUGCAAAUAUCAAAAUAUUAUUCAAUAAGCAGUCAAUAUCACAGCAAGUUGGGAAUUAGUAAAGCCCCAUUAUCAUGUCCGUUCACAUUAAAGAGCUGGCGUACUUUUUCUCAAAAAACUGACACGUGAGUCAUAAGUAACAUAACAUGUGCUAUACAUUGUUUAGUGAAUGGUUUAUGGUUUAUUUAUAUAUAAUAAAAUUCCAAAUAUUGCUGAAUAUUUGUUUUUUCUAUAUCCCUGGGAACAUGAGUGACCAUAAGCAUGUAAGACCUGUUAAGAAGAAGCUGACUAAUACGACCGAGUGAUUGUGGCUACCGUUGUUUAGUUGGUUGGGGAGAUCGUGGUAUUGCUAAGAGGGAGCACAUAAUGUGCUUUGCAAUCAAAUUUUCUUUUGUGUGUGGAAUUAUGAGUAGUUCAAAUGUUAGUGUACCCUUUAAUAUUCUUCAACCGUUUGAAAUGUGAUUAGCUGCAAUGUACUUUUUUACACGCUGCUUUCUAAUCACUCUGUUCCAACAAAGUGCUUUAAGUAUCCUUCAGUUACAAAUGUUUACAAAAUCGUGCAUCUAAUAACCAGUCGAGCUCAGAUCUUAAUAACAAGUAAAACACUAGAACAUAACAUUCGGAAAAAGUGGGUGCUGCUGGAAAUCAUUACUGGUAAUGGAAGCAAGAGCUGGCUGCUGGAAAUGCUGCAUUAGCCUGUGAUAUAAUCAAUGAAUCUCUGUUAAAACAUAAUUCACCAUAAACUACCCAUUUUACAUGGUAAAAGUCAUUGCUUCUUCACAUAACUCAAAAUUUGAUACUUUAUCAAAUGUCUAUGAAAAUUUCUAAAUAGGGGAAAGACGUAAAAUUAACAUGUGUCCAAAUUUCAUGCAAGAAUGAAACCAAGCAAAUUUUUAUUUCAAUUAUCAGUGGACAUAGUAAGAACUCAUCGGUGGACAUGAACAAAAAAAUAAUAAUAUUAAAAACUGAAUCUAGAAAACUUCACCUGAUCAUUAGUCUUCAUAACAACCGAAUUUCGUCUAAUAGAAACAUAAAUCAUUCAGUUGGUCCGUGCAUCGUGUCAAAUUCAUAGAAUAAUGGGUCACUACGAUCUAUUGGAGUUGAUUCGUCAUUGUUCGACGGUGAUGUCCUGCAUAGACAUCAAACACAAGCACAGAAAAAAUUUACCUAUUCAAAUUUUAGGUGUUAUUAUAAAUAGUGUUAGCAUCUUACGGUGUGUUCAAAUUUCUUGCGCAUUGUCUUCUAUCAUGACCAAUGUGUCCACACUCCAGACAGUGUCUAAUCCCUCGCUUCAUUGCCUUUUCUUUUGCUCCCGUUACUCGUUUCGACCUUCUUUUGCACCUCACUCUCUUAGGGUCUUUCAUAUAUUGUGUUUGAGAGCUGGACCCUCCAACUUCGUUAUUACUUGGUCCAUCCUUCAACAACUUCAACUUCACCUGCAAACUUUUUAGAGUCUCUGACAGUAGCUCACAUCCUUCUUCACUCAUUAAUGCACCCUCAACCACAUCUUAAGCAAGUCGAGACAUUGUACUCCGCCUUAUUAAAAGACCAGGAUCUGCAGAGUCUUUAAUUUCGUUGCCAUUUGCAUCUGACACCAAUUCAGAUUUUGCAGUUUUCUUCCACCUCUUUAAAAUAUAUUUAUCGGGCAUAUAUUCAAUCUGGUCCCUUCUGAACAAUGCUAGGAUGUGCUUGCAAAUAAUUCCAACAAAUUCAAAUCUUUUGCACCCACACGAUGCGUGGUCAGAAUCUUUAACAUAUACGACGUCUGCCACUCUUGUUUCCCAAUUUUUCCUUUUGCUCACGCGAAAGACAACUUUAGAAGCACCCUCUGUUUUGAGCUCUAGGAAACAUGUUGUACUUUGUAUUAGUUCUUGGUCAAACUUUUGAAACAUUGUCCUUGUGUACAAGGUAGCCAUUUGUUUGUUCAUUGGCAUCGGUAGAAUACAUUGAGCCACUUCAAAUGCAUCUACGUGAUCAGCAACUAACUCUUUUUGACGUUGAUGAGAAAGUGCCCUCUCAAAUCGUAUUAUGAAAUCCAUCAACGAAUUUCUCCUUGAUAUGUAUUGCUUGAAAAAACCAUGAGAACCUUCCACUCUUUGGCUGCUUGACAUUCCAGCGGCAAAAAAUUGUUGUGCGUAGGCUGGAACCCAAGAUUCUCUUAAAUCAAACAUUGAACUUAGCCAUGGAUGGUCAGUCAAACCAGCCUUUGUAACCACAAUAUUCCAUUUUGUAACAAACUUAUCCUUAUUGUCAGUAUCCCAUACGGCUUUCUGAAAUUCACGCCAAUACUCCUUAUAAGCAGAAUGUGGUAACUUAACAGAGAACUUUGAUGUGAUGUGCAAUAUGCAAAGUCGAUGAAAUGUAGUCGGGAAGGGUAUUGAAAUCGCUCUGGUCAUUGCCGCAUCUUGAUCUGUAAUGAUCGUUUUAGGUCCGCCACUUGGCAUGGCUUUCUUAAACUCCUCAAACAUCCAAAUAAACGACUCAGUCGUUUCCUUGCUCAAAAAUGCGCAUGCUUAGACAAUUGUCUGACCAUGGUUAUUAACUCCCAACAUUGGUGCAAAUGUCAAGUCGUAUCGAUUCGUGUUGAAUGUGGUAUCGAAUACAACAACAUCUCCAUAAAACCCGUACGCCCAUCUAGAAGUUGCAUCUGCCCAAAAACAUUGACUAAACCUGUCAUGGCCAUCUCUCUCAAUCUUGAAAUAAAAAGCCUCAUUUUUUUUUUCUGUUCAGCCAUAAAAUACUCGGUCACUAGUUCAACAUCGUGGUUCCUCAACUUCCCAUUCACACUACAUUCAAAAUUGUAGAUAUCUUUUUUGAUAAAACCGAUUUUAUCCAUUCCUCCGGAUUGCACCUCGAAAAUACUUACCUUCUGAUGAAUGAGAAUAUUAACCGAACCCAACUGUUUUGUGAGUACUUUUGUAGAAUCUGAACUAUGACGGUGUGAUCUCAAUAAAUGCAUUCUUUCUGAGGGUGUCAUCUUAUGAUUGUGUCCCUCUGCAAAAAGAGAGAUGGUAUACUUCUUGCUCCCAUUUGUCUUCACAACCACAAUCUUAGCUUUGCAAUUGCAUCUACUUAUUCCCCGCUGUCUUUUUCUCUCCCGAGUUUCAUCUCUCCUGUAUUCACCUUGUUUGCAACAUACAAAUUCUUUCCUCAAAAUCUCUUUCUUAUUUCCCCCCCAAAAGCUGGAAUGAAGUCGAAUACCAAAGCCAGCCAAGAAUGCAUAUCUAUUAUAGAAAUUGUAAACGAGGUCAAGCAAGUCGAACUUCAUCCCAACUGCUGGUGUUUCCUCAUUUCUUACUUCAAGAAUGUAAACCCUCCCAUUAGCUGUUACACAGUCAUCACUCUCUGAGCCCCCAGACAUUUUAUCCACGUAUAUUAUUGAUCCACUUCUAUAUUAUUGCAUAGCAAAUAUUAAUUCAUUAAUAAAUCAUUACUGCAUCACAACAUAUCAAUGCAUUCCACUUACACAAAACAUUGCCCAAAUUGACACAAAACACGCAUAGCCUAACUUGUUGGAUUCCGAUUACACAAAACGCAAGCAAAAUUUAAUAAUAGUUACGUCAUCUCUUGUGAAAUAAUCUAGAAAAAAUAACAUUAGAACCAACAUGUUCAACUAAGAACACAAAUGCAAUUCAAACCAGCAAUCACAUAACUUCACCCAAUAUCCUCUCCAAAUGCUUACUCCUAAUGUCAUUAAGCCUAAGUUUAGGAUCUUUUACCUACAUUUCAUAAUUUUUCACCCCCACCAAAAAUAAUCAACUAAGUAUACUGAAUAUUCAUAAGGAAAUGACGCAUUAUUGAUGCCACAAAUGACGAAUUUCCUACCCUCACAAAAAACAAAUCAAACCCAAUUAAAUCAAUCCAGCAAGAGUGAACUUACCUCUCAAAAUCAAUCGGGAGCUCCGAAGUCAGUAAGCUUGAGAGAAUGUGGUGGACAUUAGAGAAGACUCUUUGGUAUUGGAGACUCCAUCUCUACCAAAAUCGAGGAACGAACUGCUGCUACGGCGUCUAGCUACAGAAAAAGAUAUGCUACUUUACUUUCAUCUGGAAUCUUGUUUGCUGAACGAAAAAGAGAAAGGGUUUUCACUUGAGCCAUAGAAUCAAAACAAGGCAACAUCUAGGUAAGAGCCAUUAAUCGUCAUAUCGAGGAUACCAUAGAUCGCAGGCCUCCCAAGGAGCUGAUGACAAUGGAGCGACUAUAGGGUUUGGGAGCUUUGGAUCCUUCUAAUUGUGGGUUUGCGUUACAUUCAAAAAAAGAGGAGUGUGUUGUUGAGUUUUUCACAUAGAGGGAAAGAGGGAAAGAUCUUCAACUGAAGUUGGGUUUCCAACGGGUCAAAUUUCAACCCGGUUCUACAUGCACCCUCUUUUAAAAACUCACCGUUGGAUUUCAUCCAACGGCUCGUACAUACCCCUCAAAAACACCCCUUAUAACUUUCCACUCACUAUAGAAGCUCUCCCCAGGAAAUGCUUCGAGGUAGAUUUUAUGUUUUGGGCCUUGGGACCCAACUUCACAAAAAGAAAACAAAUUUGACCAAAAAACAAAGUUGAAGGACAUUGAUAUUGUACCUGUAGGAUAGGUUAAAACACUAAAAGGAAGGUAAAUAGUACGUUUACAGAGUUUAAGUGUAAUAAAGGAAUAAAAACAUGCCCAGAGAAUUGAUAAGUGAUAUCAAUUCUUGAAUAUAUAGAACGUAAAAUAAAGGAAUACGUAGAAAAUUAUUUUAUGUGGUAAAACUCAAUCUAUGGGGCCACGGGACUUCUUAGUCCAAAAAAAAUCCAUUGAACGAUGAUUACAAGAAGUACUCACACACUUAUCCUAGACACAUUCUAGAUAAUUUUUACUAACAUCUUUGUAACUCAACUUCUGUCAUAGGAUGAUUUUUUGACACUCCUUAUGUUGAACGCAAUACUGGUCACGAUUUCUUCAAGCUCGCAGGAACUCUCCUUAUAUUGAAUAUGAUACUAGUCACGAUAGAUUCAAGCUCAUCGGAGAAAAACAGCCACAACGGUCUUGGUGCCCUCAAUGGUAUGAGUCACUGAACAUGCAAAUAAAUACAAUAUGAAUGAUAAAAGUGUUUGAUAAAUCACCAAGUUAUGGAACACUUGAUGAUUUAUCUCAAAUAAAAACUCAGCUUUCCAAAGUUUAUGAAUUGAAAAUAUGAUCGUUAAAGCUCUCUAAACAAAGAAGACGAAGAUCUUAUUUUAUAGAAUUUUUCUUUAUAAGAAAGAAAACACAUUGAAAACCAAAUCUCCAAGGCUUGACAGAAAAUCACAAAAGUAUCUUUCCUAUUCUAGAGAUUGGUCACAUGUAGUCCAACCAAUAGGACAUGAGAUAUUUAAGAAAUGAAGAUUUUGAUCAAUAUCAAUAUCAAAUGAAUUCUUAUACGCCUAGUCAACUAUUAAGGGUAUCUUGACUCCUUGAUAUUGUGAUAUGAUUGAAACAUGAUUUCCACGUUAGAAAAUUAAGGGGAUGUUAAAACAUGAAAGUAAUAGGAGAAUCAAAUUGAUUUCGGCCAAAAUUGCCUAAAAAGAAAACACUCCUAAAUAAACUCAAUUCACUUUUAAAAACAGUAAAACGUGAUUGAAUUGUUCUUUAAAACAAUUCCCUAAUAUACAUGCAUGAUAAUGACAUCACUUACCUCUGAAUCAAAUGCCUUUCAUAGGUCAAGCCACAAGUCUGUGUUUUGGGGAUUGCUGAGCUGCAUCAAUCCUGCCAAUGUCAAUGCUGCCCCUAUGCUCUCUCAAAGCACGUUUACAACCUAUGCUAACAUAUACCCUAAACCCUAGUAUCAAGAAAAUGCCAACACUAAUUUCGUAACACGUAGAAAUUGUUAGAGAUUGGAAGUUUUUUUUCUUCAAGUCUCUCCACCACUCACUAAUACAGAUUGCUCAUGUGAUGAGUUUACAAAACCUAUUUCUCUACUCUCACAAAGACUAUACUUCUUCUCAAAAGACUAUAUCACUUUACCUCUAUCUCUGUGAAAUGUAAAAAGUUGAAACUUUAAUGUCAAACCUCGACAAAAGAUGAACUUCCAUAAGUUACGUUGAAUUUGGAUUUGUUGAACUUAAGUGGUUUUACUUUUCUGUCAGUGUUUGAUGACUUAAUUUGGUAUUUACUUCUUCUUUUUUUCCUUGGAAAUGUGUUCCACCAACGUGAGGAAGAAAAAUAUGCACAAAUUAAUAUAUUUAAUAGAAGCCCAAGAUUUCGGAAGCACAUAAUUUCUACAAAAUUCUACAAAGUGUUCUACUUUACAAACUUCAUAUGUCUACCAAUUUUUACUAAAAUUAAUUUAUCUGCAGUGCUCAAAUUCAUCAUAUGUGUGUCCUUAAUUUUAGUGAAAAUUGGAAGUUUCCAUUAUUUUUGUUUUACGGGAAUUUUUUGAACCAAGGAAAAUCAAGUAAAAUUAAUAAAGCAUAAAUUGGAAAGGGAAAAUAUCUAGAGGAUGCAUUGUAGGAUUGCUCAUGCCAAUAAUUGUACCCUCUAAAUAUAUAGGGACAUAUUUUUUUUGCUCAUACCACUUGUUGCAGUACACAUUCACCCGUUUUCAAAGAAAGAAAUUCUACCAAUCGAUAAUGUCUCAAAUUUAAUCACAUAUUUUAUGGACCAUCCAGCUAUGAGGUUUUAUCUCAAAAACCUUCGGUACAUUUCUCCCACAUGCCACAAUUGUAUAUUCACAAUUACGUCUGAUACAUCACAUCAUGCCACUUGCCUCAAAUGAAUUUAAGUGAGUGAGGCAGUUGGAAGUAAUUAAGCUCUAUAUUGGUGGGUGGAGUGUUAGUUCUGGGUACCCCUCAUCAUUCGUCUAUAAAAUGGUGAAGCCAGUUGCUACUGUUACCAUAAGAGCCAGCUCCGACUUUCUUUAAUUUCUUGCUUCAUAUCCACUAGCUACAUCUGUUGCUCUUCUCAGUGUAAGCUCUGCAAUUUGAUUAACUUUCCCAUUAUCUCUCACUGUACUCUAUAUAAAGGAAUAAGUGUCGUCCAUUAAUUCUCUCCGAAAGUGUCGUCCUGAUUUUAAUUAGAGUUCGAAUUAAUGUUGCAGCUAGCAGCGGUUGCACUGGCAAACCAUGCUGCUCAACCGGUACCUCAACUUUACUGGAACUCCGUCCUGCCAAACACACAGAUGCCAAGAUCUAUCAGUGAACUUCUGCAUCCUGGUUUGUGUUUGAGCACUUUAGAAUCUUAGAUAUCUCUUCUACCUGCCAUUUUACUAAAAUAUGUUCAACCACAUAUUUAUCAGUUAACUACUGUCAUUACAUGAGUGACACAUAUUCACAAAUCGGCUGAUCACUUAUUUUCCAUUAUGACGUUGAUAUAUAAUGUUGGGAAUGGAAAGCCAAUUGACCACAAGGGAAAACCUGAAAAUACUGUACUACCACAGCUAGCACGAAGCCCAUUUUCUUACAAGAGUGAUGUGGGGACCAAAUCUCAUGUAUCAUAGCUUAACCCAUAUGCCACAACUAAAAGACGUGGGAUGAUCGAACAGCAUACCCACAUGGUCAUGGAUCUCUUCAGAUAAUCAAUAUUAAACAACCCAUAAACUUCUCCCUUUGAAGAACAAAUUAAAACCAAUUUCUAGAGGAAGGUUACAAAACAUUUUAGCCCGUGAAGAACAAAUCAAGACAAUAUAACCCAUUUGAUAACAAAAUCAAAAUGAGAUUUACCAAUACUAGAUGACCACGGCGCCAGUAUAAUGGUACGACGGCGGCGUUAUUGUAACGGUGGAGAAGUGGAUGGUAUGACGACGGUGUUAGUGUGACGGUGGAGGAAACGAUAUUAUGAAGGAGGCGUUGCUAUGUUCGGUGGAGGAGUCGUGUGUUUCACAGUUCAAUAUAUCCUUUUUAGUCAUUUUAUAUUAGGGUAAAUCAGUAAUUCAAUAAAUAAUUUGAUAGUAUGGUGUACUCAGUUAAUAUUAGGGUUCAUUUAACAGCACUCAAAUUAACUAGUGUAGAGUCUAUCUAUAUUAUUAAUACUAAAAAUAAAUAUAUGACUAAAUAACUCAAAAAAAAAAUAAAUCUACAAUCUUUUUUUUAAAAAAUUUUUUUUAUAGAAUUUUAUUAGAUUAAUAGGCACUACUAAAAAAUCUCCUUAUAAACUACAAAUACACGCAUAACUUAUACUAAUGUGAGCUACUGACACCACCUGCCACAUGACAGUUGUCCAAGCAUAGUGUUGUCAUUCAUUAUUCCCCACAGCAACUAACAUCCAAUAAAGGGUUGGGGCCCACCCAUACUCCACCUCUCUGUAUGUAGCUCUUUGAGAAUACAGAAGAAAUAUUUUUUAGGGAAAUAGCUUAAAAUGAUACCCAUUUCAUAAUUUUAAUUAAAAAUACCACCCCUUUCCAAUUUUUGUACAACUAUCACCUAUAAAUAUAAAAUUAUUGUCCACUUAUUGCUGAUUUUUCACAAGUUCAGAAAUUUUGGAAAGAAGAAGCUCACACAGCUCUCUCUCUCUCUCUCUCUCUCUCUCUCUCUCUCUAGCACAACUCUCUUUCUUUGGUAUCUGUCUAUCACAGCUCUCUGUGUCUCUCUUGGCUCUCUCUAUCUUGGCUCUCUCUCUCUCUAGCACAACUCUCUGUCUCUCUCUUUGCUCUCUUUCUCAUAGCGCAGCUGUUUCUCUCUCUAGCUUCGUUAUGUCUCUUUCUCCCCUAUUCGAUCUCUUGCUUUCUGUUUGGAAUCGCGAACCCCUCCCUUUAGCUAUGUCUUCUGAAUAGCUGCUUGCAACCUUGAAGCUCUAGUGGAUUGCCGACCUCGAAAAGGUAGUGUUGAUGGUUAUUUUCUUAAUAUCAGUGGGAUUAUGUGAAAUGGGUUAUAGUUUGAUUGUUUGGGUUUGUGUUAAAUUCGUUUUGGCUUUAAUUUCUUUGGGUUAGGUUUUGUUGAAUAUUCAUACUCAUUCAUCUGGGUUUGUACCAAUUGCAUUUAGAUUGGUCUGGAUAUGUGAAUCUUGAAACUUGGGAUUUUCUAUUUGAUGUAGUAGAUCUGUAUAGUGUGAUUCUGUUGUGUUCCUCUUAUUUUACAGUCGUAUUGCUGUUAUAUUGUCAUUAUAUUGCUUAUAUAUUGCUGUUAUAUUGUGGUUAUAUUGCUAUUGUAUUGUUUGGUUAUUGUGGUUAUAUUGUGUUAAUGAAAUGUUGUUUUGUCAUGGUCAGAAAUGGAGACAAUUGUUAUUCUCGUGUGCUACAAUGGAAAAUGGGUCACCUCGAAGAAGAUGUGCAAAUACGAAGGGGGUGACUCAAAAGGCUUAAUAGUUCCACGGACCAUCAAAUUUGUUGAACUGUUGGACCGUGUGCAUUAGAUUGGUAAUACAAACAGCAGGGAAGACAAGGUUUGCUUAAAAUUCUCAGUUUUGGUGGCCUCGAAUGAGUGGAAGCACAUAAAUAUUGAGGACGAUGAUGAUAUCAAUUUUUUUAUGAAGUACAAUUCCGAGGUAACACCUUCAAAACUAGCUCCCUUACUCGUGAGUAUAGAAGAUAAAGGAUUGACAAAUGAUGUAGUUCAUAGUAUGCAUAUCACGACAGAUAGUAGUCGGAUGGGUCAUUCUUCAGUUGCCAUUGUUGAAAGCAAUGAAGUAACUUGGAAUAAUACGAAUGUCACUGAUGUGGGAGGUGAAGUAGGGACAGAUUUUGUGGAUAUGAUUGAUUUUAGCGAGGUGUAGGAGAUGCAUGGUGGUGAUAAUAGUACUGAAAGAAAUGAAGUGUCAGUGUACUCUGCCCCUCCUAAUUUGGGCUGCUUCAACAUAGCUGCCCAGUUGCCAAUAAUGCGUUUAGGAGGAGAAUCUGAACCCACUCGUCAACAUUAUUGGAGUCAAAUAGGUGAACAAAAUCGGUACAAUGCAGCCGGUGUAAAUGAUGAAGAAGCAUAUUUGGACAGCGGGUUUUCACGAAGUGAUUGGAAUCCGAAAAUUACAGUUGGGCAAAUUUUCUCUAGUAAGAAAGCAUUGUUGACGGAGUUACGGUUGACGGCAUUAAGAGGCCACUUUGAAUUUAAGGUGCAAUUCUCUUGCACUAAAAGGUUGCUUGUGGUUUGUUGUCAACGUCCAUGCCCAUGGCGGGUCCGAGCAUCGAGAAUUGGAGAAUACAGCUUCAUGAUUGUGAGGUGUACAACUGUCCAUGAAUGUGAUUUGAGGUUCGUAAGUGACAAGCAUCGUCAAGCAACCGCAGCACUUGUAGCCACUUCACUUAAAAGGAAGUGACAUUAUGAGAGAUGUGAAACACAACUUUGGUUGCACCAUCCAUUAUUCGAAAGCUUGGAAAGCAAAGGAGUUAGCUCUAUUGUCCAUUAGAGGAUCAGCGGAGGAGGCAUAUUAUAUCCUUCCAGCUUAUUGCUAUGAAUUGGAGCGUAUGAAUCCCGGCACAAAAACACACAUCCAAACUGAUGAGAACAAUCACUUUGUGUAUUUAUUUAUGGCGGUUGGCGCAUGUAUUAGAGGGUUCCGUUCUUCCAUGCGCCCAGUGAUAGCCGUGGAUGCCACUCAUUUAAAAUCCAAGUACAAGGGUGUUAUGUUUGUAGCAAAUGCAUUCGAUGGUAAUUGAAAUAUAUAUCCUCUUGCUUUUGGGAUCGGGGAUUUGGAGACGGAUGCAUCAUGGCAUUGGUUUUUCACUAAACUUCAUGAAGCCAUUGGUGAGUGUCCCAAUCUUGUUAUUAUUUCUGAUCGCAAUGUUAGCAUAGAGAAUGUGUGGAACAAAAUUUUUCCAACUGCACAACGUGGCAUAUGCUUUUAUCAUAUGAAGGGGAACAUGAAACGCACUUGCUAGUUGAAAAAGCGUGAUCACAUACUUAUGCACUUUGAGCAGGCUGCGAAAUCUUAUUCCAUUGCUGAAUUUGAUUGUCAUUUUUGCAAGAUCAAGCGAAAGGAACAUGUUGCUCAAUAUCUUGAAGAGACAGGGUUACAUAAGUGGUCUAGAGCUCACAUGGAUGGACGCCGCUACAAUGUAAUGACAACAAAUAUUGCAGAGUCAAUCAACUCAGUCCUUAGGUUUGCAAGGAUGCUGCCAGUGGUUCAUUUGAUAGGGGAAAUUGUUAAUCUCCUUGUGAAAUGGUUCACCGAACGUUGUGAGUUGGUUUUGAAUUGCACAACAACAUUGUGCCCCAAUUUUGGAGAGAAGAAGUUGAGGAACAGGUUGGAGGAUGCUGCAAGGAUGAAUGUGGUUAAAGUAAAUAAUGCACAGUUUAAUGUUUUGGACGGUGAUAUGGACGGCCUCGUAGAUUUGGCGAACAGCAGUUGUAGUUGUAGAAAGUUUCAGCUUGAGCAGCUACCUUGCAAGCAUGUAGUUGCAGUUUGCCGCUUCUUGAAAGUAAAUGUAUACGCAAAGGCUUCUCGGUAUUACACUCAGAAAACCUGGAUGAUGCUUAUUCGGAUAGCAUCUACCCGGCACAACCUCACGGAAUGUGGGAUAUUCCUGAAGAUGUUCGAAGUCGAGUUGUGCUGCCUCCCAUGGCAAGGGUCAUGCCAGGCAGACGAAAGAAGAUCAGAAUUCCCUCGCAAGGAGAGGGCACCAUUAGAAGAAAGUGCUCAAGGUGCGGUUCCGCAGGCCACAAUAAAAGCACAUGUAAAAACAAUAUUCCAUUGCGCAAUGUAUCUUAGACAAUAUGAUUUGUGUUGCUUUGGUAGGUCAUGUAAACUCUACUUUUAUUUGUGGUGGGUUUCGUGUUAUGUUGAAUGGGAAUUCUUUUAAAUUUGCAUAAUUUGGGUUGCAUUGCUACAGCAUGCUGUAUUGCUGACAGAUUGCUAUUAUAUUGGACUUUUAUUGUACUGGUAUUGCUUCCAGAUUGCUAUUAUAAUUUGAGUGCGAAAUUAAAGGGACUGGAAUGUAAUUCCAAAUGGAUCCAAAUCAUUAAAGUUCUUAGAAUUCCUAUAUUACACAGUUACUGUGAUACUCCGACUAUACCUUCUUUUAUGAUUACAAAUUCGGCCAAUGCAUAGGCCAGAUGUGGGGCAAAUACAAGGUGAAAUGUCCUAUGUGUUUGACUACAUAUACUUGUUGAAGGAGCAUUACGAAUGCUAACCUCAAUAGAUUGCUCAUGUCUUGCCAAGAACACUCUUGAAUUUAUGCAAUGUGCCCAAGCCAGUCCCAAAGCUGGACUCACCCGUCUGCCUGAUGUGUCCAGGGACUCCAAGUUUCCCAACCUCACCUCAUUCACUUUAUCAUGUGGCCCAAUAAAAUCCACCACUUGGUUGGUGACAACCACCGCCAACCCAAACUUAUUUGCUAAACCCUUCAAUGUCCCAGAUAUGUUGAAAAAUAUUUCAAACCGCCAUUUCAAAUCUGCUGGUGUUGUCUGAUACUGUGAUCGGAACAAUGCAGCAAUGGAAUCAAUGACAAUGAGUUUCACAGGUAGGUGGGUGUGAUCAAUGGCAAUAAAUGCUUCUAUGUCUCCAAGGACAUGGAUGAGUUGUUGAGCAUCAUGAACACCAUGAACAUAUAUGUCUUCCAAUGGCUCCAACCUUAUUAAGUUGGGGUAUGAUGCAUGAUAAAGGUUGCCUAGUUGUUGCAAUCGACGAAAUGGGAAGCUGAAUUCUGUGAAUAUGUAGACGGUGGAGCCCUCUAGUCCGCCAUGUGAGGGUGGGAGCUGAGCUGGUACCGUAAGUUGGAGACAAAGUUGCGUCUUCCCAGAACCACUCUCCCCUACCAAUUCUGUUAUAGAGUUGCAGGGUAUCCCACCCCCCAAGCAGUCAUCUAGUAUUGGGCAUCCAAUGGAUAAUUGAGGGGUUGAAAGAGGAAGGAGCAUGAGGUUUUAGGGUGUCAUAUUUGUGUAAUUUAGGGGGGGAUGUGAUGGUGCUACAAGGCAUGCAUUAUAUAUAUAUAUAUAUGUAGAGUUCAUUUUGAAGGUCUGUAUUGUAGGCCAUAUGUCUUUUAAGGGAUGUAUAAUCCAUCCUUUUUUCAGGUUGUAAUUAAUUUUUUGUUUAUUUAUUAGUAUUUUUUUGGACCAAAUAAUUUAAAAAACAUUAUGAUGCAGUACGUACUGUAAUAGGAUCAUAUUGUAACUCUAUCAUCACUCUAUUGUACUCUUAUUGACAUAAUAUUGCCGUUAUAUGCAUGUUUAUUAUAUAGUUAUUACUGCUAUAUCGCCACUGAACUGGACACCGAUAAACUGUAUACGCACAAAUACAAAAAGAGGCUUCAUCAUUCCAUAAAAUCCUAUUUCCAAACUUACAUAAUACAACAACAGGCCACCCCAUCGUUACAUAAUACAAAAAUACGCCACCUCAUAGUUCCAUUUCCCUACUGUUGACAAAUUCGAAGUUGCAUACUCUUCAAGUGCGGUGACCGCGACGCAUGAAAUUCAUGACCCCGGCCACAGUGAUGUUGGCCUAGUUUCCUGCCGGAUCCACUAUUUUUGCAAACUUACGAAAUAGUUCGAAUCCGCUUUCCACUUCUUCUUGCUUCAACUUGGCCGUUGCUUCUGAUUCCUUGAAUACCAUAAUUGCAGUGGUAGGGGCAAUUUCAAUUUUUGCUUUCAUUGUCUUUAUAUGUAGGAGAUGCAUGCGCGCAUGAUAACGAGAGCGAAUUGUGCGGUUUUUUAUGACACCCCAUCUAGUUUGGCCCUCCACAAUUUUGAAACUAUGUCUGCAUGAAGAUUUUUCCAAAACAUGGUAUUGCCUCGACAUUGCUGCAUGCCAUGGACCAAGUCUGCAGGGAGUGAAUUGGGUGACUUGGCUUGUGUUUCAGUCUUCUCUCCUUCAGUAAUUGAAAGUGUUGGGUGUGGUGUGAGGUUAUGGUCCAUGGUCUUCGAUAUUUAUUGUAGCCUAGUGUACAACUUAAUUGGAAAAAAAGGGGACUAAAUGCGAUGGGAGUGAAAUCAGUGGGGAAGGUAGUGGCUGUAAGCAGGAGUUAAUGUGAUGGAAGUUUUCAUUUCAAACAACUGGGUUGAUUAAUAUAGGCAAGUUUUAAUGACCUGGAGUAACUCAGAGAGUUAUUGGUGGGAGGGAUUAGAGGGAGUAAUUGGCGGGAGGGAUUGGCGGGAGUCUUAGGCGGGAUAGUAUUGGGCGGGAGUUAUUACCCAGUUGACUGUAUGCCUUUUUGUAAUAUAUUUGUAUGUUGGACGUUCCAAACUUGGUAAUUUUCCCAUUAUGUAAUUCAAAUAAGGGAUUUGCCUAUUUGCCUAAUUGACCAACUCAUUCAAAUUGACCAAUAUGGUUAUUGUCUUAUUUCUCAUUUCAGCAAUCUCAAUUCGUUUCCAUUUUUCCAUUCUUCAUAUUUUCCUAUUUUCCAUGUGUCAUCCAAUUUUCCAAUUUUCCAAUUUUUCAUUAUUUUUGCCUAUUUUUUCCUAUUCCCUAUUUUCCUAUUGUGCAAUUUCCCAAGUUUCCUUUUGUUGUAUUUCUAGUUUUCCAAUUUUUCAAUGUUCCCAUUUUCCCAUUAUGUAAUUUAAAAAAAGUUGCCUGCUUUGCCUAAUUCAGAAAGUAAUUAAAAUGGUCCAAUAUGGUAAUUGUCUUAUUUUCCAUUUCCACAAUUUCAAUUCGUUUCCAAUUUUCUUAUUUUCCAUGUGUCCCUAUUUCCUAUUUCCAUUUUUCAAAUUUUAAGUUUUUGUCCAAUUAUCCAAUUAUCUUUUUUCCAAUUGGACUAUUUUCUAAGUUUCCUUUUUUUCCUAUUUCCAAUUUUCCAAUUUUUCAAUUUGCUAACUUUCCUUUUGUUCUAUUUCCAAUUUUGCUAUUUUCCAAGUUGCCUUAUUUCCUAUUUUUCAAUUAUCCAGUUAUCCAAUAUUCCAAUUUUCCAAUUAUCCAAUUUUCAAUUUUCCAAUUUGCGAAUUUGCCUAUUUUCCAAGUGUCCUUUUUUCCUAUUUCCUAUUUCAAAUUUUCCAAUUUUCAUGUUUUCAGAGUUUCCUUUUUUUUUCCUAUUUUCCAAGUUUCCUUUUGUCCAAUUUCAAAUUUUCCAAUUUUCCAAGUUGCUUUAUUUUCCAAUUACCCAAAUUUCCUAUUUUCCAAGUGUCCUUUUUUCCUUUUUCCAAUUUUCCAAUUUUCCAAGUGUCAUGUAAUCCUAUUGCCUAGUUUCCUCUUUCCAAUUUUUCCUUUUUUCCUAUUUCCAAUUUUCAAUUUUCCAAAUUUCCCAAAUUUCCAACUUUCCAUUUUUUCGUAUUUCCGAUUUGCCAAUUUUCCUUUUGUUCUAUUUCCAAUUUUCCAAGUUUCCUUAUUUCCCAUUCUCCAAGUUUUCACUUUUCCUAUUUUUCAAUUUCGCUAUUUUCCAAUUUUCUGUUCUGAAAUUCGCAAUAAAUGCUUAGUUACACAGUCCUAUUUUGGGUUGAAAUCCACAAUUUUCAAUUUCCCAUUAAGGUUUGCUUUUUUGUCGUUUGGAAGCCAAUUUUAUUGUUGUUAAUGUAAUGUUGUACUGUUGUAAAUUACAGCCAAUGAGUUAAUGAUGUAGUUUGCAAUCCCAUCAAUUGAAUGCACCAACUAAAUACCCAAUAUACUUCAUAUAAGUUCGUACAUAUAACUCAACCUUCCUAUACAGAACUGCAACAGAGGCACCUUCUUAACGGGAAAGGUAAUUAGUCUUACUAAAACGCAAAUAUUCUCCACUACAGCUAACCAAUUGUCGUUUACAACUGGAGACUGAAUCUACCUUUAUUUGUUUUGUUGCAGGCAACAGCUGUGAAUUGUCCCCGGCAAUACUUAAAGAUGUCGGAUGUACGCCCUCCAAAUGAGCAUGUCACAGUUACCCGGGGGACCAGCCGUGGCAUGUGCCAUUCCCAUCUCCACCUCGGACUCCCAAUCAUGAUCCCACUUCAUCUGGAAGUGAGGCUGAGAGCAAUGAUCCGCUUGACAAAAUCUCUGCCGUCAAGCACCACCUCCAAUAUAUGUCAAAGGCAACGGAUUGGUGGGAGAGUAAGUGCGAUAUUCAUGGCCAAGUUAUGGGAAACUUGGCCAACAAGUUGAACAAAGCAUACGCUGGAGAGGUGAAGCAAACUCUAAAAGCAAAAAGUCGGAGCAAAGAGUUAGAGUCCUUGAAGUUGAAAUUGGAAGAGAGAAAGAAAAAUGCUGUCGAAAAAUUCACACAAUCUGAAGAAUAUAACCAUGAAAUGGUUGAAUGUUUCAACAACGGCUUUGAAAUGUUCCGAGAUUAUGCUUCGGUCAUCUCACCAGACUACAAUUGGAGUGAAAUUGAUGUAGCUGGUGUUUGGCAGGUGCUGAAUAUGGGUGCUGAGGGAAUGGCUCAUCAUAGCCUCGUGCAUGCAGCAAGGAGAAAGGACAAAGACUUGGAUCUUUUGAUGGACCUGUAGUAACAGUGAGUGCUGCUUCAGUUCAACUCACCUGAGUACAUGGAUCUUUUGUUGCCUUCAUUUUCCCUUCGCAGGCUAGUAUUGUUAAGGUUCGGUGGCGAUUUCUUUUGCAUGUGUAAAAUGUUGUCUGUAAUGUGUAUGUAUUGUAUGUAGAUUGACUUAAUAUUGUAGUUCUAUUGUAUGUAUAUUGCCUUAAUAUUGCCUUUGUAUAGCAUAGAUAGUGUAUGCAUAUUGCCACCGUAUUGGAUGUAUAUUGUAAAACUAUUGGUAUCGUAUUGCCCUUAUAUUGCUCUAAUAUUGCCUCUAUAGUGCACCUAUAUUGACCUAAUAUUGCUCUUAUAUCGUAUGUCAAUGGCAUGUGCUCUAAUAAGUCUCCAGUUCGUUGAAAGUAAUCCUGAAUUCAAAUAUGAUGGACAAGACAAUUGUUAUCCAUCCUUAUAUUACCAUGAAUUGAUUUGGACCUUUCAAAUGAUAGUUGGAGUUGCACAUGGAUUCAUAUUCAAAAGGAAAGUAAUUCUCUCCCUCAAUGAAUUGUCGUUCAAAAGAAGGCAGCUAUCAAAUUUUGGGUACAAAAAGGCAACAUCCACGGUAAAUUAAUUGGGCACAAACCACAUAUUACAAAACCAGGAUGAUUUUUGGCAUGCUUCAAAAGAGAAGGGCCAAAUACAACAGAAAAGAAAAUCCAUUCAAGCUUGUACAAUAGAAUGCACAAUAACCCUUUUACAUGUCCUUCCAACACCAGUGUUUUGCCUACUUUAGAGUCGCAGGAGGAGAGCUUAUUGCCAUUGUGCAAUUCGAGGGGGCAGUCAAUUUGGAAUGGUGGCAUAAACAUGUUUACUCCACGGAUCACCUAUAUGGGACAGAGCUUCCUUCUUCCCUUGUCGUCUGUAGGUUUCAACUUCACACUUUUUAUAUACAUGUAUGAGAACUUGUGGCUAUUUAUUUAUGGCCUUCUAACACUUGUUCUGCCAUUCCAAAGUGGGUUGGAGACUUUUUGAGUUGAAUGACUGGAAAGACUUCAGAUGACAGAAACUAGAGAGUUUGAAGAAAAAGGGUUACCAAGAACAGCAGUCAUGCCCACGACAUAAACUAAACAUGCUAUAAGCUCCACAGUAAUAUUUACUUCAUCUCCAUAAUCAGAAUAUUGGGAAAAAAAUACCACGGAGAAAUACGUGAAAUGAAAAACAACUCGGCAGUUACUGUGAGAUUGUGUACAUAAAACUUGGAACAACCAAACCAAUUAAAGCUAAGCCAUCUCAUACGUAUACCUACAUCAAAUAACAGUGUAUGGUCAUCUUGUUUAGAAUAUUGCAAUCAACACUUGGUUGAGACCGACCUGCAAAAACAACUGGGUUAAGUACAGAUGAAGCCAUUUAUGAAGGGCAGUUCCAGAAUUAAGACCUACGUUAAUUUGUAACUGCCACCGAAUCAGUUCAUAGUGCCAAAUGCAUCUACCAAGCACACAGAUAUGACCAGCCAAAAGAAAAAAAAGCAAAGUAAAAAAGAUAAAAGAGGCAUGCCAUAAAUGGGAACCUCAGCAGAAAUCAUCAGAUAUGCAUACAAGCAGAUUGAGUAACAUCUCACUAAGUAGAGGUCAUGUUGGUAAUCGCAUGUUGUGUUUGCACACAGACAUUUGGUUUUUGCAAACACAACAUGCAAUUGCAUUCCAUGAUGUGUGUGUUGUGUUUGCACACAGACAUUUGGUUUUUGCAAACACAACAUGCAAUUGCAUGAUGUGUGUGUUGUGUUUGCACACAGACAUAUGGUUUUUGCAAACACAACAUGCAAUUGCAUAUUGUGUGUGUUGUGUUUGCACACAGACAUAUGGUUUUUGCAAACACAACAUGCAAUUGCAUAUUGUGUGUGUUGUGUUUGCACACAGACAUUUGGUUUUUACACACACGAUAUGUAACAUUUAGUUUUACCCUUUUAUUCUUAUUUUCUUCGUUCAAACAUGGUGGUGAGAAAAGCACCAAACCAUCCCAUCAUAUAAAGCAAAACUCAUACAAUAUUUUAGAUGCAAAAGUUAUAUAUUUUAUAUAAAUGCAUCAUCCGCAUGGCUUGAAAUUACAAAUUCACGUUCACAUAUUACUUUUCACAAGCGCACAGACUAACAAUAAUAAUAAUCAACCAAGUAGUUGCGACAUUCAUCCUAUUACGUCCAUAUUGAUAAUGUCAGAAGUUUCAUCGAUAAGCCUCAUCAAACUACAAGUUUUUUAAUUUGAAUUAUGAAUUCAGAACUAAAAGCUCAUGAUAUGCAGAAAAUGACAUACAUUGUCCACAAUCGACUUUUCGAUAUAUUUCUGCUCUAGCAAUUUAUCGUCCAAAUUCUGGACUCUCUGUGUCAGGUGCUUCUUUGUGUUCUAUCCAGCAUAAGAAUAUUUAAUAGUGUGAUUUCAAUUGUUUAUACAAAUUCUAUAAGUAAUAUUGAUGAGUGCUGUAAAUCUAUUUGAUAUUGGGAACAAACAUGGUCCCACUAACAGAAACUCAAACAAAACAGGAAUUUUUUUUUAUUUUUUUUGGCAUAGACAGCCGAAAAGAAACUUACAGCAAUAGCCUCUGUCACGCUCUCCAGACGUUUAUGCAAUUUUGAAACAGCAGCAUUCAUACUACGCUUUGUCACAUACAGAAGAUCUGAGAAUUUUAGACCCUAACCAUUUGUGAAGAGCAAAUAUUAGAUUUGCUUAAAGAAGACAACAACUCACAGAACCAAUGGAUGAAAUAAUAUGAACAUAAAUAUAUCAUUUGGAUACCUUCCACCACAUGUAACCAUAACCCAAUGCCCCCAAGGUAGCUGUUGGCAUUAUUAGUGAUGUCAAACCUAUUAAAAAAAUCAAAAAAAAAAAUAUAACCAAGUAUAAAAUGUUUCUAUUGCAUUAUGAAAUACAUACGUGUAAGGAAUUAAUCGUUUUACAACUUAACCAAAAAGUCAAGGCAGGAGCAUGCAUUCAUUGAGUGGUUAUAAGCAAGAGGAAAAAGCACAAAGCAUGCUAAGAAUUCAUUUGAACACAGAAGAGAAAGUAAGCUACCUUGGAAUUUGGCUGUCAUUCCCCUUCAGGACGGCUCUCUGUAGUGACGAGUCUAGUUGUCGGACCUCAGCUGCCAGUCGGCGCACCUAAAACAAAGUAACACAGGAAAAUUGAUAUCCAUUACAAAAAACAAAAAUUGAACACGAGAAAGCAUCCUUCGACACUAAAUUUAUAGCAGUUUUUCCAAUACCUGUGAUGCGAUCGCAUAAAAGUCACCUUCUGAUUGUUCUCCGGUUCCAUUGAACAAAGGCUGCAAACAAAACAGAAAUAGACACAAAUCCAUCAAUUUUUUGAGCAACAAGACACAAGCUCCGAAAUAAAUAAACUAUCUAACUGAUCAAAACCCUAGUUUACCAAAUGCAUUACAAAAUUAAAAACUCAUACAAAAAUAACACCAAAUACAAAUGUUCUGCGAGUUCCACUAGCAAAGCAGAGUACAAAUCAUGAAAAUGGUACCUGAAGUUCACCGAUCAAUUCAGAUAAUUGACCAUUCUUACGCAGGAUGGUGCUCGUAUACCCUGUAGAAAGAGAACAAUCACUCAGAUCAAAUGUAGCUAAAUACACAAGGAAACUAAUCCAGUAUGCAAGAUGAAAGAGGAGUGAUUGGUACCUACUCCAGCGAAGAUCAGCAAACACAGUAUGAGGUUCCAAAUUCAAAUAACAACAUAAUGCUAAGCAGAGAAGUAGAAUUGCUGCCGAAAUUAUUUAAAACGAACUAAGUCAAAACUAAAUGGAGAAAUGUUAACAAAGUUGUAUGCUUCAGUAAGUCCAGUAACAGAUUCCCAAAACCACAGAGACAAAAUGUGAACAAUGGCUACAAAAGCAUCCAUAAAGAGCAACUAUGUUUAUAUAUGGAGGUGUACAAAAUAGUUAACCUUCAAAAUCGAAACAGUGUGUGUGCCAUGUAAGGCAAUUAGCCACUGCUUCUAGACUAUACAAUAUUACACCUCACAAUAAUAACUAAACCAACUAGCUCUAGCAAAAAGGCAGGAUGACCAUAUAAAGUACCCCCAGCAAAGCAUCUACGUCUGCAUCUUCAUAUCAAGGAGUUCCUGACAUAAGUAAUGAGCAAAGUGAAUUCCCAAGUCAUAAGUCCAGAAUGAGGUGAAUUCACGGACAUUAAAACAUUUACCUCAUAAAUAUGCCUCCCCCCUUAAACCCUCAAUUGCAAGCCUCAGCCGGUAAUAUUUGAUCUUCAAAGGGUCAACUUUAUCUACCGAAAUCCCAGCACUGAGAUGCUCGAUGAAUUUGACGGUCAUGAUUCCGCAAGACGUACUGUGAGACCAAUAAGUUGGGAAAUUAGAACUGCAGUUAUGUAAGAUUUGGAUAAACUGCACUAAAUUCACAAAGCUUACCCAUCUCGUUGUUGUGGCACAUCUGCAAUGCUGCAAACUGAGAAUGGCGUAAACGUCAACAUCUUCAGCCCCUUUUGCUUAACCUUUUCAACCUCAGAAUCUUCAUAAAAGUGCAUAUCGUACAGCACUCGUGCCAGCGUAUCGCUAAUAGGGUGCAGAAGUGUAACCAGCUUCGAACAUUUGGUAAAAGCAACAUAUGAGUCAUACACAGUUGCAGUAUGUCAGACGAAAUCAAUUUCGAUUGCAACCCAGUAAGACCCUUUAAGAUUAUAUGGAAUAUAGACCUUCCGGACUUUUGUCCAAGCUUGGCCAUACCCGUGUUGCCACGUACCGCGUACAAAGUAAUGUAUAUUCUGCAGCUUGCUGGGUGGAAGGUCAACGGUGUUUGAAGCAACUGCCUUCUUCGAUCCACGUUUCUUGGCAGUCGGUUUGAACGGAUCUAGAAAUUGCUGCAUAAAUUGAAAUGAAGGCAUAUUAGAAAAUCACAACCGAAAGCAAAUGAAGCAGCGAAUGUAACAUGGUAACAUGUUUACCUGCAAGCAACAAUCUGCUGUUGUCCAGUCAGUUCCAAAUACCAACGGAUGAGAGAGUUGCCUUUUCCAGAUAAGAAAGGUUGCCAUGUCCAGGUGCUGAAAGUUGACACACAUAAUAUCAGCACAAUUUCAUACAACUGUACACUUAAAAAAGGUGAGAAAACAAUUUAAUUAUCGCAAUAAAGUAGAGCUUUGUGUAUUCUUACCCUUGAGCUAAUCCAUUCCGUUUCAUCGAUAAGUCUGUAGAAAAAAUCAGCGCCCACUGAAAAUAAUUCCAGCUGCACCUCCGCACUACAAAAGGCAAACUUGCAAUGGUUACUUUUAUAGUCAUCUCAUAAUUCUGACUUUGUUGAUGACAAAAAUACACAUGUAUAUUAAAGCAAACUCUACGUUUUCUCAUUAGUCUAUGACUACAUACUAGAAUAGGAUGAAGAUUGGAAUUCAAAGGUAAAGAAUCCUAACCUGAUAUCGUUUUUCCAGGCAGUACAAAACUCUAUUACUGCCUUCACAUCUUCAAUGGGCACGGAUUUUGAUGGAUCAAAACAUGGCGGGGUUGCAGUCGCAGCCAACACACUCAUCGUCCUCUUCUUCCUCAAAGGAUCAGUAAAUGGGCUCAACAAUGUCUGCGCCGGGCGCUUCUGUCUGCACCCUUUACCUUCCACUUCUUUUUUUUCCACACUCGAACUACCUUCUUCAUCACCAGCCAUACUAACUGUGGGUAGACUUGGAGGAUUCAUCGGACCUCCCGAUGGCAUACUCUUAGUCACUUUCCAAUCUUCUAACAGAGACAACACUUUUUGGCAGAUUUCGUCACACCCGGCCACAUCUUCCGGGGUAGGCAGCUUCUCGGAUUGUGCCUGCUCAGCUGCUUCAUGCACUUGUAAGUGAGGAACUGAAGCGGCCAUUUCUGCCUCUUCGACUACCAUGGCUGCGGAAGGUUCGGCUCCAUCACCGGGAACUUGUGUUUCCAUUACCGCCGGUUCUGUAGGCGGACUAACAUGGUCAUGUAAUGGCGACAAGUGAUUGUCGCCUCCUUCAUUCAUAUGAGGACUACUGAGGUCCUCAUGUCCUUUCCCACCUUCAUUCACCCCACCAUUUCGUUUUUUCAGCUGCUCUAUCUCCACAUUAAAAUAAUGCUCCAUUAAAGCCAGGGUGUUGCGGAAAUCCUCCACACACUUUUUAUUUUUUUCGAACUCUCUUUCAACUUUCAAUGACUCCUUCCGUACCAUGUCUUCCAACUGAUGCACUCUGUUGCGAAGCGCUCGAUUUGAUAUGGCAACUUUGGCCAAUUCAUCCUUUGUCCUUUGAAAGUCACGCUUCAAAGUGCGUAACUCUCUGGACGCGACUGUACCCUGCAUUCAGUUAUAAUGCAAGUGUUACAAUAUUUUCAAAAUAUAUUGCAACAAUACAGCAGUUAUUUUCCUAUUGUAUUAUGACGUAUAUCUUGGAAAAAAAUGUAAUGCUUGCCUUAGAAGACGACGGAAGGCUAGCAGUUUCGUCAAUGUCCUUAUCUUUUUCUUCUACAGAGGCAGAAGUGCUGGUUUUUUGUUCAGCGUCAUCGCCAAACAACUGAACAAGUUCUUCAGUGUCGUCAACACUGUCACCCCAAGUCCAAUACGGCUGCUGCUUGUCGAUUACAGAUGGCCGGAGAAGUUGCACAUCAACCUGCAAUUUACACAUACAAUAUACAUAUCAGUAAACUUAUUAUAUUAUAUUUUCAUAUGCCUAACAUUAUCAUUAAAAACUUAACUAACCUCACGGUUCUCGAAUACUUGGCUCAUUAGCUCAUAAAAACACGGCGAACUAUUGCUCCUCCAAUGUAGUAAACGAGGGAUGUAGGCAUUAUCUUCGUGCACCACCAAAUGUAGUGCAGCCAACGCUGGAAAAACCUCAUAAGCCCAAAUCUGGUUUGAGGAAUAAAACGUGAGUCACUGUAAACAAAUGAAAUUUAACUUCAACAUGAAUGGAAAUUUGCUCACCUGAAGUGCAUAGGCAAAACCUUUGAGGUGGUACUCUCUUGGUCUACCAGUUGCCGUUGUUUUUGCUUUCUUUUCAGAUUUUUUUGUUUUUGCAGCUUUUUUGGGCACUUUCACUCGCUGGUAAUCUGUACAAAGUGCCCUCAGAAGUGACACAAUUGUCUUGGCAUAACACACAGCACCCCAUGGAUACUUCCCAAACUCUUCAAGGUCUUCCACCAACUUCAAAUAUCGCAUGUCAAUCUGGACAUGUUUUUCACUGCCCAACAGCACAAACACAGCAAAGUAUACAAAUCUGAGCUUCAAUACAUCGUCCGCAUCAACGCAUUUGAGGAAGGCCUUUUCUAAUUCCAAAACAUUGACAGUUUUAUAGUUGCCAAAGUACUUCCUUUUCAAUGAGCAGUUCUCAUUAGUGGGAAUCGGAAUAAAGGGAAGGUUUCCAAACCUUAGCCCUGUCACGAUGCAAAAUUGCUGCGCCGUGAAUUGGAUCACCUUAUUGCCAACGAUGAAUUUGAUCCCGUUGAGUUGGGAAACUGUCUUUGGAUCAGCUUUCCUCAGCAGCAAGCCGUGGACAAUUGGCGAAGUCCACUUGAGGUCCUCAAUCAGUAGGAGAUGCCCAAAACAACUCUCUUCAAACCUUUGUAGCUGUUGUUCACUGAAUUUCUCCUUUAUCGUGCUGAUUGCAGUCUUCGUAUGGGAUAGGGACAAUGCUUUUCCUUGGAACUUUUCUUCCUCUGCAAUCAUCAACUUCAUUUGAGCAACCAUCUUUCCCUGCAUGCCAAUAUUAUAAAAAAAAAUUCAGUCCGUUGCAAUCUAGACAAUAACAAGCAAUAAACAAUCAGCACUUAUCUACAGCCUAUUAUAGGAUAUUAAGUGAAAACAAAAAAACAAAAAAUACAGGGCAUAAACAAAACCCCAGCUAUUUACAACUGACCUACUAAUUCAAUAGCUCAAAGCCACAUCCCAAGACACCCAGUACUCUACCACUCUUGCAUAAUAUAAUAUCUAAAGACACAUCUCAACACACCAGAUAAUCAUGACACAGCUUCAGCUAGAAUGGGAAUGUGCGGUAGCACAAGCCUAAUUGAGAACAAUUCAAGACUAACGAUAGAAAUCUAUCUGACUAGAAAGAGUUUUAAAAAAACAAGAAGACAUCGGGAAAGAAUUGAUUGACUUCAAGGUAUAAUGUAAUGGAACAUCCUAUGAAUUAGUGGCAACCAUAAUAAUGACUCCACUAUGGCCCUCCUUUCAAAUGUAAGAAAAUGAAUGAAAUUGGCACCAUCCCUUCAGUUUUUUCUUAACAAAAUAAGAGAUUUGUAUGUAUUCUCUGCUUUAUCGAUAUCAAAGAUAAAUUAAUAAAUAAACCAUCAAAACUGUAUAAAAUGUUUGUUAGACAUGUACAAUUACAAAAUUAUAAGUUCUCCUCAGAAACAAAGUUCUCUAAGUACGCAAACAAGAAAAGCAAAAGCUUAAAGAGUUAGCUUAUAGCAAAAUCAAUGUCCCCAUUUCUCUAAACCACACCUGCUGGUGGUAGGUUCCCAUCUUCACUCAUUUCCCGCUUUCUUUUAAACAGACAAUGAUCAAGCACAAAAGAGCAAACUUUUAAAUAACUCAUAUUACACCACAAAUAGUUCUAAAGAAAACUUAUUCAUAUCCAAUAUGCAACCCCUAAAGUUAGUAAACAGAGUUAUAAAAAAAUAUGUCAAAUUAACAAGCAUUAUUCUCAAACAAAAAGUAUGAUAUGGUUGGGAGUUUACAAGUUCAAAAUGAUAUACACAGGUUAAUUGUCUUAGACUUUAGAUAUCAUCUUCAACAAAGAAAAUAGAUACCGAUUAGACUUGUAAGAAGGUUAAAUGCAAUGGUCAUAAAGACCCAUAGUAAGCCACCAAAUACCAAUCAAUAACUGCUAUAAAAACCAUAAUAAAACCAUAAUAAACUAAAAAUACAACAGCACUAAAAUGCCAACACAACAUCACUACAUUAGCAAUAUAGUAGCAACAAAACCACAAUACGACAUCAAUAGCAACAGCAAAACAACAGCAGUGCAAGCAUCAGUCCACAAAGAACAAACCCAUUCACUGUUUCAAACAAGGAAUCAUCAUACUAAGAUCAUUUCAGAGAAACCCCAAAACCAAUUUCAGUGAAACCCCUAAACCAAUUUCAGAGAAACCCCUAAACCAAUUUCAGAGAAACCCCUAAACCUUCAACCAAUUUCGAACAAAUCCCUGAACCAAUUUCAUAGAAAUGCAUAAACCCUAAACCAACUUCAAAGAAACCCUAAACUGUAAGAAAAUGACGAUGAACAGUACCUGUUCAAGGUGAACGAUGGAGUUGAGCUUCGAUGAACAAAUUUCGCUCGGAGAGGAAGAGAGAAGAGAGAGUCAGAGCUGAGCGACGAGAGAUUAAGGGCUGAGCGACGAGAGAGUGAGAGCUGAUCGACGAGAGAUGAGAGAGUGAGAGCAAAGUGACGACAGAGUGAAGAGAAAUUGAGAGAAGGAGCCAAGAGAGAGAGCUGAGAGAGAACUUCAGCAAAACUGAUAGAGAACUUCAGCAAAAGUGAUAUGUGUACAAUAAGGGGACAAUAAAUAUAUAUUUAUAGGUUAUAGUUCCAAAUUUUUUUAAAAAGAGUGGUAUUUUCAGUUACAAUUAUAAAAAUGGUGGCAUUUUGAGCUAUUUCCUUAUUUUUUAUUCAACAUGGACGCAGAAACUGUUGCUAAACUGCAAACUUCUUAAAAUAUUUGUCUCACUUUCUCAACCCUAUAUUUGUCUAACUUUCUAGAUCCAUGUACUGAGAUUUAUUAGGGAAAUAUUGUAGAAACUGAUUAUUUUGAAAUAUUAAAUGUGAAAAACUGAACAAAAAUUUGAUGGGUUACAUAUUUCAACUCAUUUCAGCAGCUUAGAUUUUGAAGACCUCGGAAGAGGCCAUGCAGUGAGCCUAGCUAGUGCACUGUUGAUCACUUCAGUGUCUACCGAUCUGUAAUUUUUCCAGAUUGGUUAUAUUUUCCUUUACAUAUUCUUAUAUUAUUCCCAGCUGUAAGUGUUUUACACACUUGUCUAUUAGAAAAGGGGAGACUUAUAAAUAAAUCCAAAAUGGGUACAGUAUUUAUAAAGAAUGACAAAAUUAAAGUGUUUGGGCAAUAAUGCCCUUAUUCAUUUUGAGAUUGCCUAAGGAAUAUUUUUUCUGAUUUUCAGAAGAUGCCAAAGGACCGUUGUUUGAUGAUUGCCGUAAGGAGCUAAGAAAACUUGCUUUGAUAGUUUUGGACAGAUGCAUGCUACUGUUGCUGGGAUGAUCUCUUCACGUGAAAUGAGGAUGAUGAUGCUUCUACACUACACAAUCCAACGAAUUCACAUGUCUAUUUCAGAUACAAGUAUAAACUAACAAGGCUUUAAAAUAUGGGCUGAUGCACUGUUGUUGAUGUUGCUGACACUGUUACUGUGUUGUUGAUACUGUCACUGCGUUGCUGUUGGAAAAAGCACAAGGACUUCACAUGUUGCUUUCGUCUUUUGUGGAGGAGAGAGACCUAGGACUUGCAUGUCUUAGAUAUUUAAGAUAAGGGGCUUUCGUUCCAUUUUGAAAAUACUUUGGGUGUUUUUGAAAGGUGAUUGUUUCUUUUGGGUUUCUCACUAAAUUUCGCUUUAGAAGGGAAAAUAAUAAUAAUAAUGUCAAACAAAGUAGGGUAAAUAUUCAGAUAUGCUCAUAUUAUUAUUCUUCUCCAAUAUUGAGGUAUUUAUACAAGUACAAAGAUGUGUUAACCCUAAAUAAAAUAGGAAAUAUAUCUAAAUUAUAAUAGGCAGUAAAUCUCUAUUACAAUAGGACUAAAUAAUAAUUGGUAAGUAACCAAAAUUCUAAUGAAAUAAGGAAUCAAAAUCCUAACUAAGUAAGGACUCGCCAACACUCCCCCUCAAGUUAGGGCAAACAUAUUUCGCAUGCCUAACUUGACAAGCGAGUCAUAGAACACCAUACUUGAGAAGCACCAAUUGUAGAGAAGGUCUUUUCGUCAACCACGAGUGAAACAAGUGACAAACUAAAGCAAAGUUCGCAGCGGAAACACAAGAGCGAAUCCUAAAAAAUAGGGCACAUAGCAGAACACAAAAAUCCUGGAGCACGACAGUAGAUAAGGCAGAACACAGAAACCCUGUUAGCACGGCAAUAGGUAAGGCAGAAAAAGUCAAGAGCAAAGGCAAGGUCAACAGGCGUGACCACAACGAAAACACACCAGCAAAGACAUGAGCAACAAUAUUAGCACCAUAAUAGACAUGAGCAACAAUACUGGUACCAACAACAGCAAUACAAGGCACUGGCACCAGCAAGAGCAACAAGGCAUGGACAUAACAUGCAUAAUCAAUAGUAAUCAACAUUGUCCCCAACAAGAGUCAUAAUAGGCAUGAGCAAUAACAUUGUCCCCACUAAGAGACUUAACAGGUAUGAGUAACAGUACUGGCACCAGCAAAGGGCAUAGUAGUCAGCAGCAAUAACAAUGACAAAUACUUCUAUUAUUGCAGAGACAACUUCUCUUCACUCCCCAUCUCCCCUUGAAGAGAAGGGGUCAUCGGAACCAUAAGAAAAGUGGCACUUAAGAAACAGAAGUUGACUGACGCUCAAAUGUAGAAGAAUCAGCCAUGGCAAAUAGGUAGCUGAAUUGCAGCGGAAUAGAUGAGCAGCGGUGUCACUCCCCCUCAUAUCUGAUAAUGUAUGAGAGUCGAGAUUUGGAGAAAGCAAUAUCGAAAAAUAAAGUUGCAGAACCCAAAUAAAGUUGCAUCUAUCUCCCCAUCAAAUCCGACACUGGUAAAGGGUCGAGAUUUGAAAGAGGAGAAAUUGAAAUAAUAGUAAAGAGACUCAAACAUGCAGUCUCAUGGCAGAAACAAAUGCAAGAGGGGAAGAUGGUAGCAUACGGUUGUCCCAUGAAGAAAAAACUUCAGAAAAGGAGAAUAGUAAGGGAGGAAACCUAGCAAAUCAUGAACAGAGACAAAGACAAAGAUGCUCAAACUGAGAAGCGGAAAGGCAACUCAAGAGAGCAACCGAAGAAGACAGAGGCCCGCAGAACAGUCAAAGUUAAGGCUCGGCGAGUGGUGACGAUGCUCGCGGAGGAAAGCAACGGCUCGGUGAGCGGUGAUGAGGCUCACGGAGUAAAGAGACUUGUUAUGAAGUUUCAAAGAUAGAGAAGCUGAGACAUCAAGAAAGACCAUCUGGCAUACAAAGAUGAAAAAUAAAAAUUUUGGAACAGUAGCAAAGAAGCAUGUGAAGGCUGGUGCGGUGAAAACACAUAUGAAAGGAUGAACAAAAGAAGAUGACUAUACAAGAUGAAGACCCAUGAUGGGUUAGGAAUGAGGAGUGCCAACGACUCUCAAUUUGGCAGAGGUUAUCGCAGGUUAGGAACCUGGCUCUGAUACCAUGUCAAACAAAGUAGGGUAAAUAUUCAGUUAUGCUCAGAUAUGCUCAUAUUAUUAUUUUUCUCCAAUAUGGAGAUAAUUAUACAAGUACAAAGAUGUGUUAACCCUAAAUAAAAUAGAAAAUAUAUCUAAAUUACAAUUGGAAGUAAAUCUAUAUUACAAUAGGACUAAAUAAUAAUUGGUAAGUAACUAAAAUUCUAAUGAAAUAAGGAACCAAAAUCCUAACUAAGUUAGGACUCGCCAACAAAUAAUAGUACAACUCUUAUUAGCAACAGGUUACAAACUUCUUCUACAACACACCAACAUGAAUCUAGCCCUGAUCCACUCUUUUACAUACUUGAAAACAAAACAAAACACGAAAAACAAAAAACAAGAAACAAGAUAGGGAGAAAAUGGCUACGGAGAGACUUCCUGCUAAUCAGGGGCGGCCCUGGGGUGGUGCAAGUGGCGUCACCGCACAGGGCCCCCGAUUCUUAAGGGCCCCCAAAAAAUAAUUCUUUAUAUUAUAUAUAUAUAUAUUAAUAUUAUAUGAAUCGUAUAUAAAGUAUAGCGUCUGGAUGAUAAAGAGACUCAUUAUCAUUAUCUUAGUCAUAAGAUUCAAAAUGAAUUGAUACUUUUGUUAGCUUCUGAGCUCAAAAGUGCAAUCAUUAAAAAGAUUGAAGAAGCUAAAUAUUUUUCUGUGAUUCUUGAUUGUACUCCAGAUGCUAGAAACCAAGAACAAAUGAGUUUGAUAGUAAGAUGUGUGGAUGUCUCUACUAAUUCAAUAAAGGUUGAAGAAUUCUUUUUGGAAUUUUUGAUUGUGAAUGAUACAACAGGACAAGGACUUUUUGAAGAGUUGCAAACGGUGUUGCAAAAACUUAAGCUUGAUAUUGAUAAUGUGAGAGGACAAGGCUAUGACAAUGGAUCAAAUAUGAGUGGGAAAUAUCAAGGUGUCCAAAGAAAAUUUUUGGAUGUAAAUCCUAGAGCAUUGUACACACCUUGUGGUUGUCAUAGUCUUAAUUUAACACUUUGCGAUAUUGCAAACUCUUGUGGAAAAGCAAAAGAUUUUUUUGGAAUCAUACAACGUAUUUAUACAUUGUUUGCUAAUUCUACAAAGCGGUGGAAGAUAUUGAAAGAUAAUGUUAAACACUUAACUCUGAAAUCAUUGUCAGUUACACGUUGGGAAAGUCGUAUUGAAAGUGUGAGAGCAAUAAGAUUCCAAGCUGCAGAUUUAAGAGAAGCUUUACUUCAGUUAGCAGAAAGUGACGGUGACUCCAAAAUAACAAGUGAAGCUAAUUCUUUGGCAACAUAUGAACUUGGAAAUUUUGAGUUCUUAUUGGGCAUGGUUAUUUGGUAUGAUAUAUUAGGUGGUGUCAAUGUAGUGAGCAAAAACUUACAAUCUGAAGACAUGCUUAUUGAUGUUGCUAUUGAUAAAGUGAAAGGGUUGAUUACUUUUUUUUUGAAAAGUAUAGAGAAAAUGGGUUUACAGAAGCUAUGUGUACUGCUAAAAAAAUUGCUACUGACAUGGGAAUUGACCCGGUGUUUCCUGAGAAGCGAAAAAUUCGUAGAAAAAAACAUUUUGAUGAGAAUACUUGUGAGCUAUCCCAAUCAGUUCCUGAAUCAACUGAAGAAAAGUUUAGAAUUGAUUAUUUCUUGUAUUUAGUGGACCAAGCUAUUGGUUCUUUACGAAGAAGGUUUCGACAAUAUCAAGAGUAUGAGAAUUUUUGGGUUUUUGUUUACUUCAGAGAAGUUAAAUUCAUUGGAUGAUUGCGAUUUGAAGAAUAGUUGCAGUCAUCUGGAAAGCAUUUUGAAAAAUGACAAGUUUUCUGAUGUCGAUGGGGAGGAUUUAUUUGUUGAGUUGAAAGUUUUACAAGAGCUUUUACCAAAAGUAAAUACCACAGCUACUGCAAUAUUAAAUUUCUUGAAAAGAUUAAAUUGUUUUCCAAAUGCAUUCAUUGCAUAUAGAAUCCUAUUGACUAUUCCUGUUACUGUUGCAUCUGCGGAAAGAAGUUUUUCAAAAUUAAAAUUGUUAAAAUCAUACUUGAGAUCAACUAUGUCGCAAGAAAGAUUAAAUGGACUAGCUUUGAUUUCAAUUGAAAGUGAACUUCUUGAAAAACUUGAUUAUGAACAUUUGAUUGAUGAUUUCUCUUCUAAAAAUUCAAGAAGAUCAAUUUUCAGACAUUAGUAUUGUACUAGCUGUGUUUUUUUUUUUCUUCUAGGGUAAAAGCUCUCAUAAUAAUUUUAAUUCUUCAAAUAAGACAGCAAAUACAAUGUGAUGAAUUUUGGAUAAUCAGGUAUGUUUUUGUUGUUGCUUUUGUGUUUAAUGCAAUAUAAUCUAAUUUUUUUAAUGACAUUUGUGUGCAACUACUCUUUGAUUUGUGAUUGCCAAUUUUUUUUUCUUUCUAUUAAACACAGAUUGCUUAUUGGAGGCAGCAAGAGACCUUAUAGGGGCACAAGGAGCUUAUUUUUGUACAAAACAUUUAACUUUAUCAAAUGGAAACAUUUAAAUUUUUAUGAAUUUGAUUUCUGAUUGUCAUUGCAUAUUUAUUGAUGGUGAAUUUUAGUUAUAAAAAAAAAAUUGUUUAUGACAUUAAGUUAUGGCAAAUUUUUAUAGUAUUUUCGUAUUAGAUUAUGCGAGGUCCCAAUUUAAGUUUCGCACAGGGCCCUCAAAAUCUCAGGAACGGCCCUGCUGCUAAUACUUGAUCAAUAACAGAGAUAAUAGAGCACACUGUUUGUAUGACAAUGAGUAUCAGAAGAAUAAUAGCUGCAAAGAGAGAAAUAGCUGCCCAAGGUGUGUUGAAAUACUUUUGUCUCAAAUUUGCCUUCCGUCUGUUCGUGGUCUUCUUGCAGUACUCGUUUAGUUUGCCAGCAAGAUCACCAAAAUAGUAGUUUCCGUGGUUCGGAGCAACUUUACUGCAAAGCUUGUUAAUCAUAAUGGAAACCUUAUUGUUGUCACCUAGCGUGUUUACAACAAUUCCAUUGUCAACAAGCAACUCUACAUCCUUUGGGGUGUUUACAAAUUUAUCCAGGAUGAAAACAUAAUCGCUUAUGUAUUUAUCCACGCAAUGGCCUUGUUCAAAGGCAAUGAGAUUUCUAUGUGUAAGCUGUGUAAUCAUGUAUUUCAAUUUUUGGAAUUUCCAAGGUGUUUUUCUUGAACUGUAUAUCGAAUAAGUUCUUGCUUGAUCCCACGUUAAACUUAACUCCGGCCUGGUGUAGUUUUGUCAUGCUGGGUGUACUUUGGAGCCCUCCAUUUUUUUUUCUUUUGGCAGAUGUAAAGUUCUAAUAAAAUCAACAAAAUGUAAAGGUUUUUUAGGAUCAGGAGGCAUAAAAGACUUACGGAAGGCUGGUGAGUUCUCCAAGUUUUCUAAACGCAGUGCCUGUUGGAAGAACUUGUAAGAGAGUUCAAUUAUUGAAGGCUCCCCAGUCUGAGCACCUGUGAGAUUGUAAAGAUCCUCGAGAAUGAAAAAUGGCAGCUGAUUUACGAGCAUAAGCAUGUCAGGCAAUAUAUUUUGUAGCACCCAUGGUUUUUUAAAUAUCCAAGCAUCAUCAUCCUGCAAUUUUUCUUCCUGAAAUUUUUCUUCGGAUUUAUUCCUCAACAAUAGCUCAAUGACAAAGGCGGCAUCAACUAGAAUGAUAUUCACAAAAGUAGCAAUGUUAAACUUCUUAGGGCUAGUUUGGCGGCGUUGUGCUUUUAAAAAAAUAUGCUUCUGCUGUGCUGUGAAAAUAAUUAGCUGUGAAAAAAAGCUACUAGGCGUUUGGUAAACUGUUUUUGAAAAACUGCUGUGAGUAGUCAAAGUGUUUGGUAAAUUUUUAUCAGAAGUACUUUUAGUGUGUAUAAUGACCAAAAAGGACAUGAUGAUGAAAUUGUUUGUUAUUUUCUUCAUUCUUUUUCUACUUUAAAAAAAAAAAAAACCCAAUUUCACUACAUAAAUUUUUAUUCUUUUUUAAUUCACACCUUUUUAUCAAAAAAUUUAAUCUACAAUUAACAUACAUAUUUUACCAUAAAUUAUAAAUUACUAUUAUAACAAAAGUAAUUCUAAAUAUUGUUAUAUUAAUAUGGGCUUCGGACAUGACAAAAAUACAAAAAUUGUUCAAUUUUAAAAUGCCCCAAUAGAUCACUACAAUAUAAAAGAAGCUAAUUAGAUGCAUUCAUUAAACUUGUAGCGAUGCUAUUUCUUAAUGCAUUCAUUAGCUUCUUUUUUUGGUUUCCAAUGGUUCUCUAACAAUUUUAACUAAAAAAACAACCAUAAUGCUUUGUGAACAAUAAAUUCAAGUCCAAAUCUGCUAUUGCCCACACCAUACAUAUAUACAUAAUUGUUCCUUUCAUAAAACUUGAAGAUUCAAUAGUAAUUACACAGUUUACCAAUCUUGAUUCCAACUAUAUCCAUAAAAUUAAACUAUAAUUAGAAAUAGAGGAGCUACAUGUGAUUACUCAUAAAUGCUUCCCACUCUCAUCAUCAUCAUCAUCAUCAUCUUCCUCCUCUGUACUUUGCCUUUCACAAAUGGACAAGACCAGAUGGUAACGUACACGACAUGGUCCACAUAUAGAUAAAUUUUGGGUUCACUGGAGAACAUAAAAGAGUUUUUACACGAAUACAAAGUUAGUUAAGUAGUGAAUAAAGUAAAACUAUUCUGUACAAUUCUAGCUGAUGCAGUCCAAAAAGAAUAUAUGUCUAAUAACUUAAAUAACAAUAAAGAGAAACAAAAGCCUCAUGAAAAAUGCUAGAGUAAAAGUUACAUAACUGAAUCGAUGGACAGAGAACUCCACAGGCAGAGAAACAGCAACAAAAAUUGUCAAAACAGUAGCAAGACCAUGUUGGAGUCAAGGCCAAAGAUCAUAUUUCCUGUGUAUCUUCUUCCAUUCUGAAUUAUUCUCGUAUUCAAAUACUGUAACUCUAUUUCAAGUGCACCCCAAAAUACUUAUCUAAGGCCAGUACAUAGGACUUCAUAAAGGGUGCGAUAAAAAAUAUUGCCCCUUAAUUGAUAAACAGAACCAAGAUCCCAACAGCACACCAAAACUAUACCAACCACACCUACAUAAUAUGGACAGAAAAUCCUGUUGUUCCGAUCUCUAACCACACCAAUGACAUUCAUUAGGAAAAUACAAAAGAUGGGUACCCUGCAUUUCUAACAUUUAAGAUAAAAUUCACUGCCAGCUAAUCACAAAUUUGAAAAGAUGGCAAGAAAAUUGGCUAAGCUUUAACAAAAACCAGAGCAGUCCUUGCAUAGACCUGACUUUUUGCUCCAAGCUUUAGCAGAUCACUUACUGGUAGAGAGCAGAGAACAUGUAUGUGAAUAUCUGAAGUUGGAAGGGUAAGCCAUCACAAACACCAAGAGAUCUGAUUCUCAUCUCUUGUUACAACAACAAAUCACAAACACCAAUACAUCUGAUUCAGAAUCUCAUAAACAAUGGAGGAACAAACACAUAUUCACACACAUAUAAAUCCCUAAACAGAAAAAAUAAAAAAUAAAAAAAAAACCAUGAAAGUCAUAGGAGAAUCAAAUUGAUUUGGGCCAAAAUUGCCUAAAAAGAAAACACUCCUAAAUAAACUUCAAUUCACUUUUAAAAACAGUAAAACAUGAUUGAAUCAUUCUUUAAAACAAUUCCCUAAUAUACAUGCAUGAUAAUGACAUCAUUUACCCCUGAAUCAAAUGCCUUUCACUGGUCAAGCCACAAGUCUGUGUUUUGGGAAUUGCUGAGCUGCAUCAAUCCUGCCAAUGUAAAUUCUGCCCCUAGGCUCUCUCAAAGUGCGUUUACAACCUAUGCUAACAUAUACUAGAGUUUGUUUUAGUAUCUAGAAAAUGCCAACACUAAUUUCGUAACACGUAGAAAUUGUUACAUAUUGGAAGUUUUUAUCAUUUUUUCUUCCAGUCUCUCCACCACUCACUAAUACAGAUUACUCAUGUGAUGAGUUUACAAAACAUAUUUCUCUACUCCCACAAAGACCAUACUUUUUCUCAAAAGACUAUAUCACUUUAUCUCUAUCUUUGUGAAAUGUAAAAAGUUGAAACUUUAAUGUCAAACCUCGACAAAAGAUGAACAUCCAUCAUCAAUUACAUUGAAUUUGAAUUUGUUGAACUUAAGUAGUUUUACUUCUCUGUCAGCGUUUGAUGACUUGAUUUGUUAUUUACUUCUUCUUUUUUCCUUGGAAAUGUGUUCCAUCAACGUGAGGAAGAAAAAUAUGCACAAAUUAAUAUAUUUAAUAGAAGCAAAAAUUAAUAUUUACAAAAAUAUGCACAAAUCAAGUAAAAUUAAUAAAGCAUAAAUUGGAAAGGGAAAAUAUGUAGAGGAUGCAUUGUAGGAUUGCUCAUGCCAAUAAUUGUACCCUCUAAAUAUAUAGGGACAUAUUUUUUUUUGUUUUCAUGACAUGUGGUCCUAAAAUUAUUGUUCUUAGCGGGCUCUCCACCCCUCUCGACUGAAAACCUAUUGUGUAAAUCUUCAAUCCUGAAUGAUGCACCUAAAACUCAUGUUGCAAUACACAUCCACCCAUUCUCAGGCCAAUUAUUACUCCUAGUGGGCUCUCCACCCCCUCUCAAAUUUAAGUGGUCCAUUAUUAUUAACCGUAUAUUUUAUGGACCAGCCAGCUGUGAGGUUUUAUCUCAAAAACCUUUCUCCCACAUGCCACAAUUUAUGUCUGAUACAUCACAUCAUGCCAGUUGUCUCAAAUGAAUUUAAGUGAGUGAGGCAGUGUUACUUCUGGGUACCCCUCAUUAUUCGUCUAUAAAUUGGUGAAGCCAGUUGCUACUGUUACCAUAAGAGCCAGCUCCGACUUUCAAAAUAAAAAUUCCAACAACGGUCUUAGUGCCUUCAAUUGUAUGAGUCAUUGAACAUGCAAAUGAAUAAAAUAUGAAUGAUAAAAGUGUUUGAUAAAUCACCAAGUUAUAGAACACUUGAUGAUUUAUCUCAAAUAAAAAUUCAGCUUUCUAAAGUUUGUGAAUUGAAAAUAUAAUCGUUAAAGCUCUCUAAACAAAGAAGACGAAAGUCUUAUUUUAUAGAAUUUUUCUUUACAAGAAAGAAAACAUGUUGAAAACCAAAUCUCCAAUUUCCAAGGCUUGACAGAAAAUCAAAAAAAUAUCUUUCCUAUUCUAGAGAUUGGUCACAUGUAGUUCAACCAAUAGGAAAUGAGAUAUUUAAGAAAGCAAGAUUUUGAUCAAUACCAAUAUCAAAUGAAUUCUUAUACGCCUAGUCAACUAUUAAGGGUAUCUUGACUCCUUGAUAUUGUGAUAUGAUUGAAACAUGAUUUCCAUGUUAGAAAAUUAAGGGGAUGUUAAAACAUGAAAGUAAUAGGAGAAUCAAAUUGAUUUGGACUAAAAUUGCCUAAAAAGAAAACACUCUUAAAUAAACUUCAAUUCACUUUUAAAAACAGUAAAACAUGAUUGAAUCAUUUUUUAAAACAAUUCCCUAAUAUACAUGCAUGAUAAUGACAUCACUUACCCCUAAAUCAAAUUGUCACGCCCCGGACCUGGGGGUCAGUGGAAACCCCACGUUCGGUGCGUGAGAAAAUAAAAAGUAAAAUAAAAUAAAAAGAAUGCCGAAACAAGGGUUUAAAAUAAACUUCUCUUAUAAAAAUAACUCCAAAAUCUUACAACUUUACAAGAAAUAAAUAAAGCCCUAUCAUUCUUAUCUAAUUCAGCCUCAACUGGUUUAGUCCUUGUCUUGCCCACUAAUUCAUCUAAAAAAUGAAGAGUGUUGCUAAACGAACCCUAAAAUUAAUUGAGUACACCCUACUACCAAACGAUUUAUUGAAUUUGUCACAUCUCGGGAUCAACUCCGCCGUAGCACGAUAUUGUUCGCUUUGGGCCCUCCCUCUCUGGCUCGCAUGGUUUUGUUUCUGGGAACUCACGAGUAACUUCCCAGUGGGUCACCAAUCCUGGGAUUGCUCUAGCCCACAACUCGCUUAACUUCGGAGUUCCUACGACUCCGAAGCCUGUGAGCUCCCAAAAGGUCUCGUGCUAGAUGGAUGCGGGUGUGCACAUAUAAGGCACAUCACCCCCUCUCCGUUGGUUGAUGUGGGAUCUUAUAGAAUUACUAAUUUAUCCUAAUAUAAAAUGACCAAAGAAGAUAAAAUAAUAUUGGUAUCUAUUGCUUUGAAUCCAUGCCUUCAAACAAAUUGACUUAAUUUUUAACAAACAACACGGAGUCCAGGAGAAGUGUAUUGAUCCAAGUUGAUUUUUGUAUGCGUAAAACUUAAACAAUCAAUAACACAAAGCAGUUCAUGCUGAAAUAUUGGAAACCCACACCCAAAGAGUUCUCCGCUGCGAGGUUGAAGGCAGGAGAGAUGGGUGACAGAUUUUACUUCCACUGCGAAGUUGGAGGCUAGGAGAGUCUGUGACUGCCAUGGUUGAGGGAGAAGAUGCGUUCAAAAUGCCUAUUGAUAUUUUACAUUAUUGGCUUUUUUCAAAAGUGAAAGUUUUUUUAUGGGUAAAACCUAAAUUUACUUUUUCUAUACAAGUUAACAGUGUUUGUGUAUUGUGAAAAGGUGGAGAGACGUGUCAAAAUUUUAGACAAAGGACAGGAGGAGAUAGGGAAUUUGGGGACAGCAGAUCUCAACUCCCUUGAGACCCUAUUCUCUACGCCACCCCUCCCCCUCAACAACCCUAGUCACCAUUUCUCCUUCAACUCCAACGGCAACUCAUUAAAACCCAAUUCUCAAAUGCAACAAUCUAAUCCCAAUCCCAAUUCAGAUGUUUCUAAAAAACCCAUUGUCGUGGUGGAGAACUGCAAUUCCAGGUGGUGGUGGUGGUACCACAUGGGAGAGAGAAAAAAGAAGAAGAAGAAGCAGGAGAGAGAGAGUUUUUUAUUUUAUUAUUAUUUUACUGUAAUUUUUUAAUUUAAAUAAUUAAAAAAAUUAAAAGUUAAAGAGGAUGUACCAUGGGUAUUUUUGGUAGUUAAAUAAGGUGUACUUAGGGUCAGUUUGGCAUUGCUGUGCUGUGAAAAUAAUAGCUGUCAGAUUUGCUGUGAGAGAAAUCAGCUGUGAGAGAAAUCAGUUUGGCGUUUGAUAAAAUUUUUGUUAAAAGUGUGUUGAUAUUGAUUUUAUGCUUAAUCCGAAAAUGAUUGCUGCAUAAUCAUUAAACCCAGCGCCUCUUCGAAACUGAUUCCUAUAUAAUCAGAAAAUGAAAGCACCUCAUUAGCUGCUUUCCUUUAUAGCUUUCUCUCACAGCAAUUUUUAACAAUAAGUGAUUUUCUCACAGUUUACCAAACGGGUUGGGCUUCUCAAAAUUUUUUAAAAAUCACUUAUUACCCCAAAUAAGCAAUACCAAACGGGCACUUAGUUAAUUUUACAUUUUAAUUUAAACAUUAGGGUGUACUCAGUUAAUUUUAGGGUUCGUUCAGCAGCACUCAAAAUUAAACAAGGUGAGGGAUGAGCAAGUAGGGACAUGAGACAUUGCCACAGUAGAUUGAUAUAACUAAAUAUUAUUAUAAACAUAGAAAUAUAUAAGUAUUAUUAUAAUAGGAUUCAUAAUAAUUAAUAUAAAAGUAUAACAACAAUAUUUACAUUUAUGUACCAAGAUAAUUACACAUAUAAAUAUAACCAAUAUAUAUUUUUAUAUAUUUUAAAAUAUAAGUCUUUACGUAAAUGCCUUUCACGGGUCAAGCCACAAGUCUGUGUUUUGGGGAUUGCUGAGCUGCAUCAAUCCUGCCAAUGUCAAUUCUGCCCCUGAGCUCUCUCAAAGCACGUUUAAAACCUAUGCUAACAUAUACUAGAGUUUAUGCUGUAUCUAGAAAAUGCCAACACUAAUUUCGUAACACGUAGAAAUUGUUAGAGAUUGGAAGUUUUUAUCAUUUUUUCUUCCAGUCUCUCCACUACUUAUUAAUACAGAUUACUCAUGUGAUGAGUUUACAAAACCUAUUUCUCUACUCUCGCAAAGACUAAACUUCUUCUCAAAAGACUAGAUCACUUUACCUCUAUCUCUGUGAAAUGUAAAAAGUUGAAACUUUAAUGUCAAACCUCGACAAAGUGUUCUACUUUACAAACUUCUUGUGUCUACCAAUUUGUACUAAAAUUAAUUUCUCUACAGUGCUCAGAUUCAUCAUAUGUGUGUCCUUAAUUUUAGUGGAAAUUGGAAGUUUCCAUAAUUUUUGCUUUAAGUCACUCUUCUGAAGGAAGUUGAGGUUCCACUUCAUAAUCCAAAAUGUCAGGUUGACUUAUGGCAAACAAUGUAAAUAUGUAGGAGUACUAUGACCUUUUAUAGCAUUUUUAGUUUGAAUUUGGGUUUUAUACAUAGAUUUCAAAAUUAAUAGGUUGAUGCCUAGGAAAUAGAAAUUGUAAGGGCCUAUAUUAGAGUAGCCCUCUUAAAAAUAAUAUUAAUUAAUGAAUAUUUGUUCUUCUUGUUGUUUUGAAGUAGUGGUGGGAGGCAGACCAACAAAAAAAAAAUAUAGUGAAGGCUUAUAAGAGCAUUUACAAUCAUGCUCCCUAUUUUUUAGUUAAAAUUUAGCUAAAAAUAGAAAAAAAGUUAUUAUAGGAGCUCUUUAUAAAGCUCCUUUAUAAAAUUUGAACUCCAAUCAUACUCCCUAGUUUAGGGAGUCAAAAAUACUAUAGUUAUUUUUUAAUUCAAUUUGAUUUUGGUUAAUCUCUAUAAAUAUGAAAAAAUAGUUAGCAUUAAUUAAAAGUUUAAACUAUGCAUAAAACAAAGAAACAUUAAAUUAUAGGGAGCCACUAUGAGUCAUUACUCUCUCCUCAGAUUUAGGAGCUCCUAAAGGUCUCCCUAUUUUAUGAGGUGGAUAAGGAGCAUGGUUGGAGUUGUAUUUCUUCAAUUUCCUCCCUAAAAUUUGUCUAAGGAUGUGGUUUAGGGAGCCCAUUGUGAAUGCUCUAACUCUGGUAAAACACGAGUGACAUGGACAACAUAUGUUACGUCGUACUGAAGAUUUUUGGGUUUCUUUAAUUGGUUAAGUAGCAUCCACACAGCUUCCUAAAUCAUCUCCUUAGACAAAUUUUAGGGAGGAAUUGGAAAAGUACAACUCCAACUAUGCUCCCUAUCCACCAACUAAAAUAGGGAGACUUCUAGGAGCUCCUAAAUCUGAUGAGAGAGAAAGGACUCUUAAUGACUCCCUAUAAUUUAAUGUUGCUUUAUAUUAUUUUGUAUACAGACGGGUCAAUUAUAUUAAAUUAAAAAAUAAUUAAAGUAUUUAUGACUCUCUAAACUAGUGAGCAUAAUUGUAGAUCAUCUUAUAUACCUUAAUUUGAAGAUUCUUUAUUUGGGUUUCUUUCAAGACUUAUCACCUUAGCCACGCCACCUACACGUCUGCAAGCUUUCCUAACAAGGAAGGGGAGGCUGCGCAAUACUUAUCACCUUAGCCACACUACACCAAAUUGACGUCUGCAAGCUUUCGUAAUCUAACAAGGAAGGGGAGGCUGCGCAAUACUUAUCACCUUAGCCACACCAACACCACAAGACCAAUAUGUGUAGUCCAGGAGGCUUUCCCAUUUUAAUAUAUAUUAUCAAAUAAAAUAAAAAUCAAUCUAUUAUCAUAUAUAUUAUAAAAUAAAGAUUAUUGCUCCAUCCUCCAUGCACUUGCAUGCCUCUUACAAAGUGUGAAGUAGAUUUUGUGUGCUCCAAGUCAUUGACGAGAGCUGUAACAUGGUUAGCUGGAUUUAUAAGAUCUUUUCUUUUCUGGGAAUUUUCUGAAUCAAGAAAAAUUAAGUAAAAUUAAUAAAGCAUAAAUUAGAAAGGAAAAAUAUCUAGAGGAUGCAUUGUAGGAUUGCACAUGCCAAUAAUUGUAUCCUCUAAAUAUAUAGGGACAUAUUUUUUUGUUUUCAUGACAUGUGGCCCUAAAAUUAUUGUUCCUAGCGGGCUCUCCACCCCCUCUCGAUUGAAAACUAAUUGUGUAAAUCUUCAAUCUUGAAUGAUGCACCUAAAACUCAAGUGUCCCAGGCCAAUUAUUGCUCUCAUACCACUUGUUGUAAUAAACAUCCAUCCAUUCUAAAGGAAAGAUAACCAUCGAUAUUAUCUCAAAUUUAACCACUUAAGUUCAUUAUGAUUAACUAUGUAUCUUAUGGACCAAUCCAAUCAUGAGGUUUUAUACCCAAUUAGAUCGACUAAUACAAAGUUCACACGUGGAUUGAAAAGCGCUAUCAGUAGGGGAGUGUUCGGCACCCUUUACUGCCGAACGCAACACAAGACCCCUUGCAUGCCUUCACUAAGUUGAGCCUAUCUAUUUUUUAGCAUUAACAAUAUAUAUAGAUUGAAAAAAUAAAAUAAAAAUCAAUCUAUUAUCAUAUAAAAUAAAUAUUAUUGCUCCAUCCUCCAUACACUUGCAUGCCCUCUUACAAAGUGUGAAGUAGAUUUUUUGUGCUCCAACUCAUUGACUAGGGCUGAAACAUGGUUAGUUGGAUUUAUAAGAUCUUUUCUUUUCUGGGAAUUUUCUGAAGCACGGAAAAUCAAAUAAAAUUAAUAAAGCAGAAACUGUACCCUUUAAUUAUAUAUGGACGUAUGUUUUUUUGUUUUCAAGUCUUAGAUGACAUGGGGACCUAAAAUUAUUGCUCCUAGUGGACUCUCGACCCCUCUCAAAUUUAAGUGGUCCAUUAUUAUUAACCACAUAUUUUAUGGACCAUGCAGCUGUGAGGUUUUAUCUCAAAAACCUUCGGUACAUUUCUCCCACAUGCCACAAUUGUAUAUUCACAAUUACGGCUGUUACGUCACAUCAUGCCACUUGCCUCACAUGCAACAAGUCUGUGUUUUGGGGAUUGCCGAGCUGCAUCAAUUCUGCCAAUGUCAAUUCUGCCCCUGGACUCUCUCAAAGCACAUUUAAAACCUAUGCGAACAUAUAUUAGAGUUUAUGAUGUAUGUAUCUAGAAAAUGCCAACACUAAUUUCGUAACAUGUAAAAAUUAUUAGAGAUUGGAAGUUUUUAUCAUUUUUUCUUCCAGUCUCUCCACCACUUAUUAAUACAGAUUACUCAUGUGAUGAGUUUACAAAACCUAUUUCUCUACUCUCGCAAAGACUAAACUUCUUCUCAAAAGACUAGAUCACUUUACCUCUAUCUCUGUGAAAUGUAAAAAGUUGAAACUUUAAUGUCAAACCUCGACAAAGUGUUCUACUUUACAAACUUCUUGUGUCUACCAAUUUGUACUAAAAUUAAUUUAUCUACGGUGCUCAGCUUCAUCGUAUGUGUGUCCUUAAUUUUAGUGGAAAUUGGAAGUUUCCAUAAUUUUUGCUUUAAGUCACUCUUCUGAAGGAAGUUGAGGUUCCACUCCAUAAUCCCAAAUGUCAGGUUGACUUAUGGCAAACAAUGUAAAUAUGUAGGAGUACUAUGACCUUUUAUAGCAUUUUUAGUUUGAAUUUGGGUUUUAUACAUAGAUUUCAAAAUUAAUAGGUUGAUGCCUAGGAAAUAGAAAUUGUAAGGGCCUAUAUUAGAGUAGCCCUCUUAAAAAUAAUAUUAAUUAAUGAAUAUUUGUUCUUCUUGUUGUUUUGAAGUAGUGGUGGGAGGCAGACCAACAAAAAAAAUAUAGUGAAGGCUUAUAAGAGCAUUUACAAUCAUGCUCCCUAUUUUUUAGUUAAAAUUUAGCUAAAAAUAGAAAAAAGUUAUUAUAGGAGCUCUUUAUAAAAUUUGAAUUCCAAUCGUACUCCCUAAUUUAGGGAGUCAUAAAUAUUAUAGUUAUUUUUUAAUUCAAUUUGAUUUUGGUUAAUCUCUAUAAAUAAAUAAAAAUAUGAAAAAAUAGUUAGCAUUAAUUAAAAGUUUAAACUAUGCAUAAAACAAAGAAACAUUAAAUUAUAGGGAGCCACUAUGCCAAUAAUUGUAUCCUCUAAAUAUAUAGGGACAUAUUUUUUUUGUUUUCAUGACAUGUGGCCCUAAAAUUAUUGUUCCUAGCGGGCUCUCCAACCCCUCUCGAUUGAAAACCAAUUGUGUAAAUCUUCAAUCUUGAAUGAUGCACCUAAAACUCAAGUGUCCCAGGCCAAUUAUUGCUCUCAUACCACGUGUUGUAAUAAACAUCCAUCCAUUCUAAAGGAAAGAUAACCAUCGAUAUUAUCUCAAAUUUAACCACUUAAGUUCAUUAUGAUUAACUAUGUAUCUUAUGAACCAAUCCAAUCGUGAGGUUUUAUACCCAAUUAGAUCGACCAAUACAAAGUUCACACGUGGAUUGAAAAGCACUAUCAAUAGGGGAGUGUUCGGCACCCUUUACUGCCGAGCGCAACACAAGAUCCCUUGCAUGCCCUCACUAAGUUGAGCCCAACUAUUUUUUAGCAUUAACAAUAUAUAUAGAUUGAAAAAAUAAAAUAAAAAUCAAUCUAUUAUCAUAUAUUUUAUAAAAUACAUAUUAUUGCUCCAUCCUCCAUACACUUGCAUGCCCUCUUACAAAGUGUGAAGUAGAUUUUUUGUGCUCCAACUCAUUGACUAGGGCUGAAACAUGGUUAGUUAGAUUUAUAAGAUCUUUUGUUUUUUGGGAAUUUUCUGAAGCAAGGAAAAUCAAAUAAAAUUAAUAAAGCAGAAACUGUACCCUUUAAUUAUAUAUGGACAUAUGUUUUUUUGUUUUUUUGCUCUCGACCCCUCUCAAAUUUAAGUGGUCCAUUAUUGUUAACCACAUAUUUUAUGGACCAUCCAGCUUCGGUACAUUUCAAAAAGCUUCGGUACAUUUCUCCCACAUGACACAAUUGUAUAUUCACAAUUACUUCUGGGUACCCCUCAUCAGUCGUCUAUAAAAUGGUGAAGCCAGUUGCUACUGUUACCAUAAGAGCCAGCUCCGACUUUCUUUAAUUUCUUGCUACAUCUGUUGCUAAGUUAAUUUCAGUCCUAAUGGGGUUUCAUCUCCCACUCAUCUUUGCUAUUCUCAGUGUAAGCUCUGCAAUUUGAUUAACUUUUCCAUUCUCUCUCAUUGUACUCUAUAUAUAUAAAUGAAAGUUUUGUGUUCCUAUAAUUCUCUCCGAUUUUAUUUAGUACGUACUUAAGUGUCGUCCACUAAUUAAUUACACUUUGUGAGAUUUGAUUUUAAUUAGAGUUCGAAUUAAUGUUGCAGCUAGCAGCGGUUGCACUGGCAAACAAUGCUGCUCAACCAGCACCUCAACUUUACUGGAACUCCGUCCUGCCAAACACACAGAUGCCAAGAUCUAUCAGUGAACUUCUGCAUCCUGGUUUGUGUUCAGCUCUUUAUAAUCUUAGAUAUCUCUUCUACCUGCCAUUUUACUAAAAUAUGUUCGACCACAUAUUUAUCAGCUAACUACUGUGAUUACAAGAAUGACACUUAUUUUCCAAUAUAAUUUGCAGACUCCACAAAUGAAGAAAAGAGCAAACCUGAAAUUUUCCCAUUGCAGGGCAAUAGAGUUUACACUCAAAGCCAUUAUAAAAAACGUCCUCCUCCUCCAUCUGACGAGGGCAAACCUGAAACUUUCCCAUUGGGCAAUAGCCAUUACACUCAAACCCGUUAUAAAAAACGUCCUCCUCCUCCAUCUGACGAGGGCAAACCUGAAAAUUUCCCAUUGGGCAAUAGCCAUUACACUCAAACCCGUUAUAAAAAACGUCCUCCUCCUCCAUCCGACGAGGGCAAACCUGAAAAUUUCCCAUUGGCCAAUAGCUUUUACACUCAAACCCGUUAUAAAAAACGUCCUCCUCCUCCAUCUGACGAGGGCAAACCUGAAAAUUUCCCAUUGGCCAAUAGCUUUUACACUCAAAGCCAUUAUAAAAAACGUCCUCCUCCUCCAUCUGACGAGGGCAAACCUGAAAAUUUCCCAUUGGCACGUUCUCCUCCAUCUGACAGUCAACUAAAGCAUUACAAAGACUUAGCUAUUUUCUUCUUCGAGAAGGACAUGCGCCCGGGCACAACUAUGAAGUUCCAAUUCCCUAGAAAUUCAAACACGGCUACUUUCCUGCCACGCGAAAGUGCUCAAUCGAUCCCCUUCUCCUCUAAGAAACUACCAGAAAUUUUCAACCAUUUUUCAGUGAAGCCAACAUCUGAGGAAGCCAAAACAAUUAAGCAAACAAUCGAAGAGUGUGAAGCUCCAGGC
rnacentral:lncRNA from 1 species